CCGACGACCCUUCUUUAGGAUAUUCGAGAUGGUGGAUGGUUGUUCGAAGGAAACUGAUUGCAAGAUGUGGGAGAGGAGAUCUUGUCCGAUGGUGUAAAUUUGGGGCGGUUUGGUGACCGGCCCCGUGAGGCGAUUUUCGGCGGCGGCAUUAGGGUGGUUGCAGGGUGGUCAAGAGCGGUCAAAGGGCAGGACGGGGAGGCGUUACAGCAGUGUGUUUGGUACGAGGAGGGUGAUGAAUUGGUCUUCGCAUCAAUACAGACGUUUGGACAUAUUUAUGUAAUUUUCGGGAAUGAUUCAGGGUUGUUGGAUUGCCUGAGAUCAAUGGAUGGGAUGCCUUGUCCCUGAACGGUGUCGUUUUGGGUGUAUGGUGUGGACUGGGUCGGGGGCUUAUGUUUGGGCUGGGCACAUGUGUGUUUUACAGGGAAAAAUCAUUUGGGCCACUUAGGUCUGGCCCAAUUGUGGCCAGCCUGGGUGGUUAUAUAUAUAUAUGUUCUAGGGGUUGUUACAAUAUUCUUUCAGGAUCAAAUACCCUAUAUACCCCUGUUUCCCUUCUAAUUAACCAACAUGAUGUUUUUUACCCCUGGUUUUUCAUUUGGUUUGGUCAAACCUGACCUUGGUCAAACCUCACCCUGGUCAAAUGUGUUUAAAAUAUAACACAAACAAUAAAAUCUAACAAAUAAAUUAAAAAAAUGAUUAAAAUGACAGGAAUACUAUUUAUAUUUUUGAAUUUUAUGUUUGUAAAAUAUCUCUAAUUAACAAUUAUUUUAUAAAAAACAUGAAAUUAAAUCAUAAAUGACUUUAAGCAUGCAUUAAUAAAAACACACAUUUAAAUCCUAAAACAAAUAUUAAAGGAAAAUCCUAAACCUAAGGGUCCUGUAGGAUUCGACUUAACAGGGCAAAGAUCACAUGCUCACAAUCCCAACCUCAAUAACAAAAUUUUAUAAACCCUAGAUAUUUUAGUCACCGAAACCAAACAUGAAAAAAUUAAGUUUUAAUCAACUAAAAAAAUCAUACGGCUAAAUUUUUACUGUGGUAGAAAAAUUAAUUUGCCCUUAGACCAUCAAAAUCUCCAGAUUGUAAUCAACGGUAAGAGUGAGAGUCGUCUGAUUUAGGUAUGUGAGAUUAGACUUUAGAGAGAAAUAAACUUUAAUCCUUUUUUGUUUUAACGUAUAUACAAGGCUAGGAAUAAUGAAGGGGGUUAGCGGGUCGGGGCUAAACGGGUAAGGGAUCCAACUGGUAAGUGUCCCUCUAGAAAGGUCUAUUAAUAAUGAGGUAAGGAUAUUAAAAUAUAUAACAUUAGGGAUAAAUAAUGUGGGAAAGUAUAACGGAGGUAACUAAUAACUAAUUUCUAAUCGUACAAGGAUAUGUAUGGCAGUUUUCUGUGUAUAUAUAUAUAUAUAUAUAUAUUGAAUAUUUUAAUAAAUAUUAGUUGAGACUUAAAAGGACCAUUAGACUAAAGCUUUUACUUCUGCCAAAAAUUCGUGCGUUCUUUUUUUUUUGGUAAUUAAGGAUUUUAUUAAUCACCAAAGAGAUUUCAAUACAAAACCAUAGUUUGAGCAGCAUGCAAUUGGUCUGUAUUCUUUUACUGUAGUUGCGUUAGGGACUUUAGGGAUCAAAGUGAGAGAGGCACAAUUUACUGCUUUAUACAUCUUGGUAGUCUGGAAGAAGUCCUUGAUUGCACCUAUGAUCUGCUUGCCAAUGAUAUUCCAGGUCUUCUUGAAAAACAUGUUCCUCUAACAUUACAAGAAUAAGCUAUGUCCCUGAGUAGGUUGUCACUGCUGCGGAAAAAAUUCUCAAAAAUCCUCGCAUUUCUCUCCAACCACAAAGCGUAUAAAAGUUCAGCUGCCACCAUUUUGAAUAUGUUAGCCCUACUUGAUUUUCCUUUCGCUUUACUGAUUAUCCAUUGUAUAAAAUGUUCCCAGUUCUGCAUACUGGAAUGAUCUUCUCUGAGUCAGGACAGUGUUUGGUCCCUUAAUUCUGUAGCAAAUGCGAAAGUAUGGAAUAGAUGAUCUCAUGUUUCUGGAGCUUUCUGGCACAGAACACAUUUGUUGUCCACAGUCAUACCCCAAUGUAUUAGCCUAGCCUUGGUUGGUAGCCUGUCAUGAAGUACCAACCAUAAGUUGAAGACAGCCUUGGGCCUAGCAUAGUUUUGAGCAGUUAGAUUCUUCCAUGGGACUCUCGGGAGUUGGCCAAUCUGAAGCAGAUAGAGUUGCCUAAUGGAGCAUACUGGCCUGUGCAGACUUUGGUGUUGUUGUAGGAGUCCACUUGCUGCAAUUAUCUUUCGGACCAUCCAACUAGCUUGCUUGGGUAUAGGAAUGUUCUCCAGUUGGUGCUGCUUUAUAUACACAGUGUGAAUUCAUCUGACCCACAGAGUGUCUUUCUUGUGAGCCAGAUCCCAACAUAAUUUAGCAAUAGCCGCCUUAUUCCACAGCAGGAGGUUUGUGAGGUUCAGCCCACCAGCUGAUUUCGGCACAAAGUUUAGCAAUAGCUGCCUUGUUCCACAAAUAGAGGUUUGUGAGAUUCAGCCCACCAGCUGACUUUGGCAAACACAUUUUGUCCCAGGCAAUGUAGGCCUUCUUAGUGAUAACAUUUGAUCCAGACCAUAUGAAACUUCUGCAGACUACUUCAAUUAGCUUUAGGAUCUUUGUAGGGAUAAGGAAAAGUUGUGCCCAGUAAGCUUGUAUACCAAAAACCACUGACUGUACCAAUUGCAUCCUCCCAGCAUAUGACAGCUUUCUAGCAGUCCAUGAGGUGAUCCUAGCAGUGAUCUUUUCCACCAGAGGUUGCCACUGAAUCAAUGCCAUCUUCUUGGUGGAUAGAGGAAUGCCCAAAUAUUUGAAAGUCAAAUCUACAUACACAUAACCUAGGUGAUCAGUAAUCUGCUGCUGUACUUCAGAACUAACCCCUCCAAUGUAUACUGAACUUUUGCUCAGGUUGGCUCUCAGUCCAGAUGCUUCAGUGAAUUGGGAGAAAUACUUGAAAAUGGUAAUGAUAGACUGAGUUUCUCCUUUAGCAAACAGAAGUAGGUCAUCAGCAAAACUUAUGUAGUGAUGCCCAGCCUUCUACAGCCUGGAUGGUAUAGAAAUUCUUGGUCUUUCUUCAUCUCUGCCAGAGAUCUUCUUAGAUACUCCAUGACUAUUGCAAAUAGGAAUGGGGAGAUUGGAUCACCUUGUCUAAGACCUUUAAAAGCUUUAAAAGGUUCAGUUGUUUCCCCAUUAGUCAUCACUGUAUAGCUUAAUGUUUGAACACACUCCAUAAUCCAGUUUGUGAAUCUGACUGGAAAACCCAAUCCUUCCAUUACCUGUUGCAAGAUCCAUUUGACAGAAUCAUAGGCCUUCUUCAGGUCAAUUUUGAUCAUGCAUCUAGGAGUCACAUGGGAUCUGGAAUAGUUUUUUAUCAACUCAUGAGCCAGGAUGACAUUGUCUGCAAUCUUCUUGCCUGGGAUGAAACCUGCUUGGGCUUCACAAAUGAUGCUAGACAUGAUUUGCUGCAUUCUGUUGGCUAAUAUCUAGGAAAUUAUUUUGUAUAAAACUGAGCAGCAUGCAAUUGGUCUGUAUUCUUUUACUGUAGUUGCGUUAGGGACUUUAGGGAUCAAAGUGAGAGAGGCACAAUUUACUGCUUUAUACAUCUUGGUAGUCUGGAAGAAGUCCUUGAUUGCACCUAUGAUCUGCUUGCCAAUGAUGUUCCAGGUCCUCUUGAAAAACACUGCAUUGUAUCCAUCAAUUCCUGGGGCUUUGUCAUCCCCAAUUGCCUUUAAACUUUCCAGAAUCUCAAGUUCUGUGAUAUCAGAACUUAACUCCUUCUUCUAUUGAUGUGUUAAGCUAGGACCAUUAGUCAUAUAUCCUCGGUUUAUGGCUGGCAGAGAAGCAGCUGAUGUGCCCAUUAAUGACUUAUAGAAGUCAUUUAUCUCCUUUUUAAUGUCAUCUGGGUUAGUGACCUUGAGACCACCAGCUGUAACAAGCUCUGUGAUAUGCUUGUAUUGAUUUCGUUCCUUCAGGAAAGCAGAGAAAUACUUGUUGUUAGAGUCACCCAGUUAGAUCCAUUUUACCAUGGACUUCUGUUGUAGCAUACUUUCUUCAAUCAAGGACCACUUUUCCAGCUUCAAUUCUAUUUCCUUCUCUUGAAGUUGCAGCUCAUCAUUGUAAGCCAGUGCCAUCUGAUUCUGGAUGUCCUUCAAUUCUUGCCUACUGUGAUCAAUUGUUUAAAUAUUUUAAGGGGCCUUUUAGUGACUUGAGAUUGGACCACACUGAUUUCAUAGAAAACUGAUUAUUGUUGUGCCAGUUGCCUUUGAUCAGCUGAUAAAAGUCUUCAUGAUUGGCCCAUGUAUUGAAGAAUCUGAAAGGAGUCUUCCCUUUCCUAGUAACUUCUUCCAGUGUAAUCACCAUAAGGUUAUGAUCGGAGAUUAGGGGAUGAUCAUAUAGAGUUUAAACAUGACUUCAGUUAAUCAUCCACUCAUAAUUGCCAAAGACUCUGUCCAGUCUACUACAUACUCUAUCACUGCCUGUCUGCCUAUUUGUCCAAGUGAAAUACUCCCUUUUCCAGGGAAGUUCUGAAAGUCCAGCCUAUUGUAUACAUUGAGUGAACUCUUGGAUCUCUGCUUGCUUCACUUGAUUACUUGACUGUCUAUCAUUGGCAUACAGAACAACAUUGAAAUCACCAGCAACUAACCAAGGUUCAGUAAUAGCAAUAGAAUAAUCCUGCAGAUUUUUCCAUAGUGAUCUCCUCUGGUCCAUCCCAUUAUAGCCAUACACCACCGUGAGGUAACAGAUGGCAUCUCCAGAAAUGUUUCUGACUCUACAGUGAAUCAGUUGAGCCUCCUCCUGGAUACCAGUGACUCUUAUCAAUUGUGUAUCCCAUAUAAUCCAUACUCUACCAUUUAUGGAGCUUUGAUAAUUUGUUUGUAAACCCCAACCAGGAACCAACAGCUUAGCAAUUCUGCCUGCAUUCUUUUCUUUAACCUUGGUUUCUAUCAGACCAACAAGGUUAAUAUUAUUUUUCCUGAUAUACUCCCUAACCUUUUUUUGUUUAUACCUUUUAUUAAUACCAGACCAACAAGGUUAAUAUUAUUCUUCCUAAUAUACUCCCUAACUUCUUUUUGUUUAUACCUUUUCUUUACACCCCUAAUAUUCCAGAUUAGCCACUUCAUUGACAGUUGCUAGGUCAUCCUUCAUCAUCAGGAGGAAUCUCAACUCUACUAAUAGACAUUGCUUCAAAUCAAUUACUAACCACAAUAGGGGAUAAAGGUGGGGUUGGUGAGGUUGAAUUCUGGGAAUUGAACUUGCUUCCCUUUCUCUUCCUGUUUAUUCUUUCCUGUGACAAGUGAUGCGGGGUCAUGAGGUUCUCUCUGAGAUACACUGCUCUGCCUUGUCUCAGUUUGCUGUAGAGAACCUCCUGCUGAUUCUGAACAGUCUGGAUUGGAGCUUUGGUUCUCCAUUCCUGAAUCACUUAAGGUUUCUUCACUUGAGGAGGCUGGAUUGGUUUUGGAUUCAUCAAACAGCGGUGCCCAACCGUAAGAAAUUUCCCACAGUAAGAUGGUUUCCAGUCCAAAACCACUUCUUGCAGAAAUUUCUUCCCAUUAGCAUCCAUUAACCAUAUAUCCCCAGGUAGCUCUUUGGUAACAUUCAUCUCUAUAAGCAUUCGAGCAUAGGAAAUUCUAGAUUGUUUGGUUGUACAUUCAUCCGCGAAAAUAGGUUUCCCUAACACACUGACUAUUCUACUCAAGGAUCUCAUUCCCCAACAAGACAUAGGAAGUUUAGGAAAUUUGAUCCAUAGUGGAAUCUCGACAGGGAAUUCCUUACUGAAAUCAAACUCUGACGUCCAUUGCUUGAGAAUCAUGGGCCUAUUUGCUAUAGAAUAAGGACCAGCACAUAAGAAUUCUUUGUCAUCAUCAAUUGUUCUGAACAUAACUAUAUUGUAUCCCUCCUCGUGAUAAAACAGCUCUGGUUCUGGAACAUGUGACUAGUGGAGGCUGGUGAAUCUCUUCAUCGCAUUAUACCCACGCCCAUCCCCUAAAAUAUACACAAUUAGGGCAUAUUUCCACUUAUUCUCUUCCUCCUCCACCUCUGCUUUGUUCAGCUGGCCUACUGGUUGACCUUCAAUCAUUACCGGGGGGAUGUAUUCUAGUGCCAUACCAUUAGAAGCAAAUUGAUUCUUCUGAAAGAGAUUAGCCCAGUUCCCCUUUGGUACAUCUGUUUUGUUUGAAAACUUCUCCACUUGCUUCGUUAUGCCCAUCAGUGAUUGAGUUUGGACUGGUAUAAGCUUCUGCAUAUGUCCACUUUGACCGGCCAUCUGCUUCAUCGGAGUUAAUGGCGCUUAAAUCGAAGCAUGAUAGCUUCGUUCCAUAUCCAUUACCACAUUAGAUUGCUGUGAAAUCAAAGGAUUCUCAACUUCGCAUGACGAAUCGACUAGCUGCUCAGUUGCAACAGUGGUGGUCUGAUUCUCCGUAGAUGGUUGAUUAAUGGUUGUGAUGAUUCUAUCUAUUGUGGAAAUCAGAAUUUUUCUGGGUCAUCCCCUACCUCGACCCCUCCCUCUCGCCAUAGAUAUGAGCACGGCGUACGUUAACUAACGUGUGCCGAGAGAAAAGAAAGAAGAAGAAGGGCUUUAAAUUCGUGCGUUCUUGCCCAUUGGUUUCACCCUUUUUUUUUAAUUUAAUGUUUUUUCAUUCUUUUUGAUUUUGUAAGAUUUGACCAUCAUAGUUCUCUUUGGGAUUUUAUAGCUCUUUGUUUCUUACAAGGUACUGACACUACAUAUGAGUUUUUUUAAUUACUAAAAAGUUUACACUUAUACUGAUGAAUAGAUCUUUUGGUUGUUUUUUCUUUCACAAAGAACACUUAUAUUAUCUAGUACUAUGUAACGACUCGAUUGGUCGUUUUGAGCUCUAACGCGUCGUUCAACAGUCUGAGGCCAUGAGCUGCUUCAUUUCAGGUGUUAUGACUUUUACAUGUGGUCGGAAUUGGAUUUUGGGAAGCUCGAAGUUAAUUUGGAAAGUAAAUUCUUAUUUCGGAAAAUUUUGGAAUCCGAGCACGUGGGCCUAAGGGCAAUUUUGUCAACUUUUUGUUCGGGGUUAGAAAUUAUUAUAAAUUGGACUAUAAUGAGUAAUUGAACAUAUAUUAAUGGGUUUAUAUAGUUAUUGGCUAGUUUUGGAGCAUUUUUGCAUCGAUUUGAGUCUUCGAACGGGCGUUGAAUGCCGGUUAUGGAACUUCGGAGCGGGGAGAGUCUCCUUUCUAACCUUGUAAGAGGGAAUUGUCCUCAUAGGUGAAUUAAUUAGAUUUGUGCUCCUAUUUGUGGGAGAUACAUACGAACGAGGUGACGAGAGUCCAUACGUAGAAUUAUUCUAUUGUGUGGGUAGUCUAGGACCCAAAAGCAUGUUUUACUAGGAUCAUUUGUAAACUUAUUGAUAGCUUGAAUUUCUUAAAUCACAUCGACUUAGUAAAUGAAUUUCAGAUAGGAUUAAACAUUAUUUUCUUGACCAUUAAAGAGAAUUGCUAGUUCUUUGGGUAAUUAUUUUUCCCUGAUGAAGUUUUGAUUGACUGUUUGAAUGCAGACUUCUAUUUGACCGCGUCGCAUGGAUGAUUCGCGAGUGGGGUGUUAUUUAUUUAUUUUGACUACAUCGCAUGGAUGAUUCGCAAGCAGGGUAAUAGAUGCAUCUAUGGUUCGAGUCGUUCGACCCUCGGCAGUGCACAGUUUACUUUUAUGUUGGAUCGAGUCGUACGUCCCAUGGUGAUUAUUUGCACAUGCUUGUAUUGAUUGCCUUGAGAUUAUUUGAGAUUGAUAUUUGCUCUUCCCGACUUGAGAUAAUUGUCGCAUGAUGGAUUACGAAUCUGGAAUCUUUUAACAAAAAGGAACUUUUACCUGUUUCAUGAAUUAUCUAAAUUUAUUGUUGUUAAUAAAUCUGUGCAUCAUCGCAUUAAUAAUAUAUCAUUAUUAGACCUCUAGUGUGUGUCAAAGUCGACCAUCUCGUCUCUACUUCUUCGAGAUAAGACGGGAUACUUAUUGGGUAAAUGUUAUUUUCGUACUCGUACUACACUUUUGUGUAUUUUUGUUGCACAGGCACCUGUAUCUCAAGUAGCCUACUGGGUGUAGCAACAAGGUUGAUACGGAGACUUAGGUGGGCUACAUUUUUCGAGAGGACCCGCAGCCAUUAGGGUCUCUUUCAUUUUUAUGUAUUUAUUUCGAUCCAAUAUUGUAAGCCGGACGGUUAUUGUACUUUAUUAUUUCUUAAAAAUUGCUCAUGCACUUGUGACACCGGAUUCUGGGAUGGUUUUGAAAUAUUUUGUAUUAAUUGCUUAUUAUUUAAUUUAAAUUGAAGCAGUUAUCUUUUUAUUUAUGAAAAAUAAUUUGAAGGAAAAUCAUAGUUUUCUAGGUUGUUAAAAAUAAGAACUUCAUCAAGUAAUUUGGUUGGCUUGCCUUACUGCAAGGUCCACCGCCAUCGCGACCCUAAGUAUAUUUUGGAUCGUCAUAACAUGGUAUCAGAGCACUAGGUUCCUAGGGUCCUACGAGUCAUGAGUAAGUUUAGUAGAGCCUAGCGGAUUGGUACGGAGACGUCUGUACUUAUCCUCAGGUGUCUGCAAGACUGUUAGGAGUACUUCCCUUCUUGAUUCAUUAUCGUGCAAUUUGAUUCCUCGAGGCUUAUGCCUUUGUUUCUUUCCUACUCAAUCUUAUGCGACGCAAACUCUUGUUAUAAAUUGAGAAGCGAAGAAUUGUAAAUAGUACUACAGAUGUGGUGAGGAAUGUUUCUCCCUAUAUAGCUGGUCGGAUUAUUAUCGUCUCUUUGUGGAAGGACAUUCUAUUAUUUCAGCCCAGUAGGGAUACUUCAAAGGGCUUUAAGGCUAGGCACAAGUUGCCACGAUACUUAUGAACGAUUGUUCCGCAGUGUUGAUAUGAUGGUGGGAUGUUUGCCUAUGUGUAGGGGCGGUGAAUAACUUGAACGAAGGUUUACUAUGUACAUGAUCUAGAGAUUCGGUAUGUAAUUCCGGGUAGGGGAAAAACAAUUGGCCUACGAAUGCCCAGAUUUGAGCUGAUGGAGUAUUGAGGAUUGAUAUUGCAAGCAUGGUGGAGUUUUAUCCUAUGAUGAGAUGUCGUUGUCCCUACUGAAUGUACUAAACUCGUCGGUGUUAUAAUAUUCUACAAUUCUCCUUGGGGGAAGGAAGUGGUGAGAUAGUAUUGAAGAAGCGACUGUCAGAGAUUGCAUGGUGCGGUGGUUCAAGAUUGAAUCGGUGCUUCUAUUGUUGAAAGCUCGAAAAAAGAUGAUCUCCAGAAAGGUUCAAGUCAGUAGCAUAUGUGGGUCCAAGAGCUAUGAAGAAGGAUUUUAUUUGAGGCAACAACUAAACAGCAAAGUACGAGGAAGGACAUGUGGGAAGCGUCAGUCUGUGUUCAAAAAUUCUAAAAGGCUAUGGGCUUUGUAGUAGGAUGAUCACGUAUCUUAAUGAGAGUUCGGGGGGAUUUGAGAAUAUAGUGAUUGGUCAUUGGGGUCUACGAAUUUAAUCGGAAGUAUGGGUUAUUAUGCGGCAGUAGACUUGGUAUAACGGAAGCAGUUGCUUGAAAUUAAGAAGGAUACAACAUAACUUUGAAUAGGAAGGAUGUUGCCGCACAUUUAGUUGAUGCCCACGAGGGGUGAAAUGACUUAUACAGCUAGAGGGUUAGCUCGGACCCAGGAUGGGUUAUUGAUGUCAUGGUGAUUGUACCCUGUGUAGAAGUGUUGGAAGAUGUCGGAAAGUUAUUUCCACGUGUGGUUUAUUCCCCGUGAGCAAGUUAGCGGUCGCGUGGUUGGCGAAGCUUCCGUGAAGAAUUCUAUUAGUUAUACAACAAAGAGAUCAGUUGUGCAAAUGUGUUUGAUGAUUCAAAAUAUAAAAAGGAGGUCUUGCAGAAAGAUUUCAAGAAUUUUGGUAGUUGAUUGCGCAAGGUUGUGUCAAUAAGAGAUUAAGAAUCCCGGUAAAUUCCAAAGUUUUGUAAUAGUGGCUUCGAGGUAACUGGGAGAGUCCCAUCGCAUCUCAUGGGGUUGUAUGUUUAAUUACACACGGGAUUCCUGAUUAUUAGCAUAUUGAUGGGUUAUCACAGCUACGGGAAAAGAACAUAGGUGUUAAAUUCAGCAAAUGAAUUAUAAAAGGUAGGCUAUCGUUGGCCUUAUUGGCCAAUGUUCAGACUUGGGGAAGGAUUAAGGAUUGUGCUUUGUAAAGAUGCGGAUUCCAAGGGAAUGAUUCUGCCAGGUGCUUCACUAAUGGGGUAUUCAUGUGCUAGAAGAUUUAUGGAAUUGAUUAUAUUCGGGGCCAAAUUAGAGUGUGUGGCUCUCAGCAACGGUCCUAAUGUAUUCAAAAGAUAAAGUGUGAUGCCUAAUGAUUUCUAGCCCAUGGGUUCCGGUAAGAAUCAAGCUUGAUAGCGGCCUUUGAGAAGAGGCAUAGAAUGUUCUAUAAUGUUUUGACUUGCGAUGUAGCAAUUGGGAGGUACGAAAUGAUUUGUGGGAUUUGAGACAGCACGGUCUCGUGAUUCAGGAUCACUCGGGAAGAGUGCGGAUGGAGUUUGUUAAGUGUUGAAUGGGGUUAUCAUUGUUUAUGGCAAUUAAGGACAAAUUGGAAGAAAGGGGAUUGGUUAGCCAUAGUCGAAUUGGCAUAUUGUUGGUAUUGAUUAGUUCUUUCAACGUGAUCAAGUUAUGCAAGUGAAUUAUGACAGUGCAUGCGAGGCUUGUCGGCCGCCGUCGUUAGUGUUAUUCAGAAAGUAUUCUACUGUUGUGUCCCAUUAUGUGGAGGUGGAUCUUAAAAUGGCUAUGGUGGUUUAGACUAUUACUUAGAGAUUUGCAUAUUCUACAGUCAUGAGAAUUCACCUAUGUGUUGCUAUGGUCCUCCUGAAGUGAGUUAAGUGGAACGUUUUAUAUUAUGAAGUAAUAAUCUAAUAGUAGUUCCAAAGCUAUGAUAAAAAACGACAUCUAUCGUAUAUUGGCAUAUUGGGUGCAGUGAGUGGUAUGGAAUUUGAAGUGAUGAUCAAGGUAGCAGUUCUGUGUCGACGAGGAUGUCACGAGCUCGGAUAAGCAGGAGAGACGUUUUGAUGUCUGAGAUAAGUUGGUAUUGUCUUCAGCGUCACCUGAGAUCGGUGUUUUGUAAAAAGGGCUUUGCAUCCUGGUUAAUAAUUCUUGAUCGCUUUUCAGUGUUAGUGCGGCCGGUGGUUUGGAGGUACGACCUAGUUAUUUUUUAUGGUAAGAUGUGGGACUGUGUCCCAUAUGAAGAUUGUAUAAGUGUUGCAGGUAGUCACUGGAUUGAUUAAAGACUUAAACCAAGUAUGAAGGUUGUGAUGAUAUCGUUGAUUUGAGAACAUAUGCCUGGAGGGCACUUAGUUUAUUGGGUUGUGGAUUGCAGAGGAUUAAUCCUGUUGUGAUGGUUGUUCUAGUGUGUUAUGAGAAAAGGGAAGUUAGUAUGGACAAUUGAAGGGUUAUUGGCCUAGUUUGGUACGAUUAGGGUCGACUCGAGGGUGGUGGAUGGUUUGAAAUGUAAAUAUGGGCUCUAUAUCAGGCCAGAUGUGUUCAUUUCAACACAACACUCCUUAAUGGAGGAGUAGUCGGGGUGUUAUUUUGUCAUCAGCUAUUUCAUGUAAUGACGUAUUGUGCCGUGUGAGUUGUGAGACGGCUUAAUGAAUUUCUUAUGUGUUGAGGUUCCGCAUAGAGAUGAUUGUAUAAGCGGUAUGUCUUUUGAGAUUCAUAUCAUUAUCGCACCUCAAAUAUGUGUGAGUUUUGUAGCUUAUGGCACUAUAUGUUCCCCUAGGGAUAAUAUUAUGCACUUAGUGUGCUUAUGACCGAUACUCGGUAUUUUGUUGUAAUGAGCAAUUUAGCUCGAUGUAUAUAUCCUUAUGUGAAUUCUAAGAAUGUACCGGAUGGCACACCCCCAUGGGUAUGUUAUUUAGAUCGCGUUGCACGCCAAAAUAGUGUGAUAUAAAUACAGUUUUCUAUAUGCUAUUUUUAUAUGCUUUGUUUCCCAUUUUCUAAGGAAAGUCGAUAGUAGUGUGUGAGCUGAAUAGUUCCUUCCAGAAUUCGUUUUCUGUUGUAUCGCAUUCGUUAUGGUAGCCUAUUGGCACAUUAUAGCAUUAUAUGAGGCAUUUGGUCAUAUCGGGAUGACUUAUUGUCUAAGCAGUUCGUACUGGGUGAGAUGAGAUCAUCGAAUUUUGGAUUAGUGCAAUAUGAUUAUAUGAAGUAUACUAAGGAGCUAAGACCAUUAUUUGGUUCAGAAUGGGGUGAUAUUUCUUGUUAGGGGUAUAGACCCAAUGAUUAUUGAUUCAAUAGUUGGUUAUGAAUUUCUACACAUCUCUUCCAUUGUGUCGGUAUUGUAAGAGUUAGAAUGAGACCUAUGUAUGUCAUGUAGAAUGAGACCUAUGUAUGUUAUGCGGUGCCAUGGGAGCAUCAGAUUCGUGGAAUUUCGACUAAAGUGAUCAGAGAAUGUUUUUGUGGUCCUAUAAGUAAAAUAGUGCAUAGUGUGAAGUCAGCUAAGGUAUGCAGUCAUGCUUUGGUGUCGGGUGUAGUUAUUAAUAUGGUGUUCAUAUAUUGGAAGCAGGCCUGGCAAAGAAUUCCGGAUGUUUGAAUUAGGCUCUACGCUUAUUUUCUUUAAUAAAAAGGGAAUAUUUUCAGAAUUGAUCGAGCUAAUAUGCUCAACUGAGCUGUGGUAGCACGGUAAGGUGCAUGAGGUUUUAAACAGUGAUUUCAGACUACUUCAGGGAGUUCUCAGCACGUUCGAGGACGAACUUGUGUUUAAGAGGGAGAGAAUGUAACGACCCGACCAGUUGUUUUGAGAUCUAGUGUGUCGUUCAGCAGUCGGAGGCCAUGAGCAGCUUCAUUUCAGGUGUUAUUACUUGUACGCAUGGUCAAAAUUGGAUUUCGGGAAGUUCCAAGUUGAUUUGGAAAGAGGAUUUUCAUUUCAGAAGCUUAAAGUUGAAAGAAUUACCUAAGAUUGGAUUUUUAAGUAAACAACCUCGAAAUAGAGGUCUGAAGGUUCCAGCAGGUUCGUAUGAAGAUUUUGGGCUUGUGCGUAUGCUCGGAUCGGUUCUUGGAUGACCCGAGGGCAUUUUGGCGCCUAUUGUGGAAGUUAGCAUUUUGGAAGAAAUUUCACAAGUUUGGCUUGAAGUACAUUUCAGUGUUACUAAUGUCCGUUUGGGAUUUUGAGUCUGUGAAUAGCUCCGUAUGGUGAUUCUGGAGUUGGGAGCGCGAUCGGAAGUGAAUUCGGAGGUUCGUAGGUCAUUUUGGAGUCAUUUGGCUAAAGAUNNNNNNNNNNNNNNNNNNNNNNNNNNNNNNNNNNNNNNNNNNNNNNNNNNNNNNNNNNNNNNNNNNNNNNNNNNNNNNNNNNNNNNNNNNNNNNNNNNNNNNNNNNNNNNNNNNNNNNNNNNNNNNNNNNNNNNNNNNNNNNNNNNNNNNNNNNNNNNNNNNNNNNNNNNNNNNNNNNNNNNNNNNNNNNNNNNNNNNNNNNNNNNNNNNNNNNNNNNNNNNNNNNNNNNNNNNNNNNNNNNNNNNNNNNNNNNNNNNNNNNNNNNNNNNNNNNNNNNNNNNNNNNNNNNNNNNNNNNNNNNNNNNNNNNNNNNNNNNNNNNNNNNNNNNNNNNNNNNNNNNNNNNNNNNNNNNNNNNNNNNNNNNNNNNNNNNNNNNNNNNNNNNNNNNNNNNNNNNNNNNNNNNNNNNNNNNNNNNNNNNNNNNNNNNNNNNCCGAGUCAUUUGGCUAAAGAUAGAAAUUUGAAGGUUUUUGAGAAGUUUGAUCGGCAAUGGACUUUUUGAUAUCGGGGUCAGAAUCCGAUUCUGGAAGUGGCAUUAGGUGCGUAACGUCAAAUAUGAUUUGUCUGCAAAAUUUGAAGCCAAUCGGACGUGAUUUGAUAGAUUUAAACAUCGAAAAUAGAACUUUGAAAUUUUAGAUUUCAUUAAGCUUGAACCGGAGUGCAAUUCAUAGUUUUAGCGUUGUUUGACAUUAUUUGAGGCUUCAAGCAAGUUUGUGUUAUGUUAUGGGACUGAGGUGUGUGAUUGGACAGGGUCUCGGGGGCCUCAGGUGUGUUUUGGGUUGUAUUGCGCUCUUAUUUUAUGUUGUAUCGUCGUUUUAUUUGGAAAUAAAGGCGUUCCAUAUUAAUCAAAUGAGAUCCAAAUUCAGUUUUUAUUGGACCAUUAGAUCUGUAUCGUAAUUACGGAGCCAUAGAAAAAAGAAUCAUCGAAUUUGGACAUUGUAUGAGAAAGUUAUGCUCAUUUUUGUGUCGGGAAAAACUGUUGCUUCUAGUAUGGUUGCAAUUGCGAACAUAUCCAUCAGAAUUGCGAUGCUCAGUUCGCAAUUGCAAACUUUUUGUCACAAAGGCCAUUUUUUCCAGCCCUUCUUUGUUCGCAAUUGCGAAGGCAUUCUUCGCUAUUGCGAGGGUUCGCGAUUGCGCACCCUGGAUCGCAAAUGCAACAUCUGCAGCUUGAUUUCAGCUAUGUAGCUCGAGUUUUUGCUUCAUUUUAUCAUAUUUUGAACCCUAGGUCCAAGAGUGGCAAUUUUAAGAGUGAAUGUUUGUAUCAAAUAAUAGGGAAAGUUCCUCUAACUAAUUGUCAACUAUCUUUUGUGGUUAUACCUUAGAUUUAACAUCAAACUUCAUGAGAAUCUAAAGGAACAUUUGGGGUUUUAAAGAAAAACCUAGAAAAUAAGAUUUUUGGAUUUUGACCAUGAUUUUGGCAUGGAAUUGAGAAUAAAUUAUAUAUUUGAGCUUUUAAGGUAAUGGGUAAACUUUAGCUUUGGAAAAUUUUGGAAUCCAGGCACGUGGGCCCGAGGGAAAUUUUAUUAACUCUUUGUCCGGGGUUAGAAAUUAUUAUAAAUUGGACUAUAAUGAGUAAUCGAACAUAUAUUAAUGAGUUUAUAUAAUUAUUGGCUAGUUUUGGAGCAUUUUUGCAUCACUUUGAGUCUUUGAAAGGGCGUGAAAUGUCGGUUAUGGAACUUCGGAGCGAGGAGAGUCUCCUUUCUAACCUUGUAAGAGGGAAUUGUCCUCAUAAGUGAGUUAAUUGGUUAUGUGCUACUAUUUAUGGGGCUACGUACACAUGAGGUGACGAGAGUCCGUACAUAGCUACUAUUAUGCUAUUGUCUGGGUAGUCUAUGACCCAAAAGCAUGCCGUACUUUGAUAAUUUUUAAACUUAUUGAUAGCUUAAAUUUCUUAAAUCACAUCGAAUUAAUAAAUGAAUUUCGAAAGGAUUAAACAUCAUUUUCUUGACCGUUAAAGAGAACUUCUAUUUCUUAGGGUAAUUAUUUCCUUGAUGAAGUCUUGAUUGACUGUUUGAAUGCAUGCUUCCAUGUGUACCUGCGUCGCAUGGAUGAUUCACGAGCGAGGUGCUUGUUUAUUUUUAUUUGACCGCGUCGCAUGGACGAUUCGCGAGAAGAGUGUUAUUUAUUUACUUUUGACCACGUCGUAUGAAUGAUUUACAAGCGGGGUAAUAGAUGCAUCUAUGGUUCGAGCCGUUCUACCCUCGGCAGUGCACAAUUUGCUUUUAUGUUGGAUGGGGUCAUACGUCCCACGGUGAUUAUUUGCACAUGCUUGUAUUGCUUGCUUUGAGAUUGAUGUUUGCUCUCGCUGACUUGAGAUAAUUAUCGCGUGAUGUAUUACGAAUCCAGAAGCUUUUAAUAAAAAGGAAAUUUUACUUGUUUUAUGACUUAUCUGAAUUUACUGUUGUUGAUAAAUCCGUGAAUCAUCGCAUUAAUAAUAUAUCAUUAUUGGACCUCUAGUAUGUGUCGAAGUCGACCAUCCCGUCUCUAAUUCUUCGAGAUUAGACGGGAUACUCAUUGAGUACACGUUAUUUUCACACUCAUGCUACACUUCUGUGUGUUUUUGUUGCACAUGCACCUGUAUCUCUAGUGGCCUAUUCGGCGUAGCAGCAUGGUUGAUAUAGAGACGUAGGUAAGCUGCACUUUCCGAGACGACCCGCAGCCAGUAGAAUCUCUUUCAUUUUUCUGUAUCUAUUUCUAUCCAAUAUUAUACUUCGGACGGUUGUUGUACUUUAUUAUUUCAUAGAAAUUGCUCAUGCACUUAUGACACCGGGUUCCGGGAUGGUUUUGAAAUAUUUAUAUUAAUUGCUUAUUAUUUAAUUUGAAUUGAAGUUGUUAUCUUUUUAUUUAUGAAAACAAUUAAAGGAAAAUCGUAGUUUUCAAGGUUGUUAAAAAUGAUAAUUUCAUCAAGUAAUUUGGUUGGCUUGCCUGACAGCAGUGUCCGACGCCAUCGUGACCCUCGGUGGAUUUUGGUCAUGGCAUACUAAAUAUCUAACACAUAAACAUGUUCAUGCAUAAAUACAUAUAGUUAAAAAUUAUUUCAUAUCUAUGAUAAAAAAGUAUUACUUAUAAGUAAUACUUAUUUUUCAAAUAUCUUUAAUCACAUAUAAUUUAGCCCACUAAACUAAUUCAACAUAUUACCAUAUGGUUCUUGAUUUAAAUAUAAAUCAGAAAAUUUACCUGUGUCAGCAUAUGAAUUGCAUUAUUAAAUGGUUAGCCAACCAGUUACUUAGGCAUAUCGAUCACCAUGGAGUUGCUCCUAUAUAGGUGACUCUGUUUUUGUAGAGGACUUCAUAAGAUGUUCUGGUUAUACAUAAUUUAAAUAGUAACCAGAUCAAUUAAUUAAGAAUUUAAUUAUUUAAAGCUACGUUGGACUUAUAAGGCUCCAUCGCUUCUCCCUCAAUGGUUACGGAUAAGGAACCAUAGUUCUGAGUUUAAUGUCGCCAGCUCUACUUAUUAAUUGUAGACAUCAUCAAUCUAUCAAAGUAAUAUAUGGUUAUUGCUCAAAAUGCCCUCUAAAAUAUAAUUUUAAUAUGUGACACAUUUACCUUAAAUUUGUCUCCUCUAUUGGUAUGUUGAAUUUCAAUUUCUCCAUAUGGAGUAACAUCUGUAACAUUAUAAGGACCCGUCCACCUGGAUUUUAAUUUUCCUGAAAAUAGCCUGAGUCUACUGUUGCAUAGAAGUACAUAUCUUCAAUUUUAACAAAAUCCUAUCGGAUUAAGUUGUCGUGCCAUUUUUUAUUUUUUCUUUAAAAAUUUUGGCCUUUUCAUAGGCUUCUAAUCUGAGUUCUUCCAAUUCAUUCACCUAAGAGAAUCUAUUUUUACUAGCAGAGGUUAAUUCAAAGUUUAAUAUUUUCAAUGCCCAAAAAGCUUUGUGUUAUAAUUCGAGUGGAAGAUGACAAACUUUUCCAAAGAAUAAUCGAUAUGGAAACGUACCAAUUGGCAUUUUAAAUGUCGUUCGAUAUGCCCAUAGUGUGUCACCUAAUUUUGAAGCUCAGUUUUUUCUAGAGAUUCCAGCCAUUUUUUCAAGUAUUCUUUUUAAUUCACGGUUAGAAACAUCAAUUUGCCCUUGUAUUUGAGCAUGAUAUGGUAUUCCUAUUUUGUGAAUCAUGCCAUAUUUGCCAAUAAUGCUGAAAAUUAUCUAUUUAUGAAAUGAUGACUCGUGGUGUACCAAAUCUGGUACAAAAAAAUUCUUGAAAAAUUUGCACACAGUUUGAGCAUCAUUUUUCCUUGUUGGGAUGGCUUCAACCUAUCUUGAAAUAUAAUCCACAGCCACAAGGAUAUAUUCAAAAGAAUGAGAUGAAGGAAAAUGACUCAUGAAAUCCAUUCCCAAACAUCAAAUAUUUCACAUACUUGUACUGAUUGUAAUAGCAUCUCAUCUCUCUUAGUGAUAUUACAUGUUCUUUGACACCUGUCACAUUAUGCAAUGUAGGCACGAGCAUCCUUAAAAAGUGUUGGCCAGAAAAAUCCAUCAUCUAGAACUUUAAAGACAGUUCGAUUUGAUGCAUGAUGUGCAAGUGCUCCAUCGUGGAAAUGAUACAAAAUUUUGGUCAUUUCUUCUUUUGGUACACAUCUUCUGAUAAUAUUAUCUGCACAAAUUUUAAACAAGUAAGGAUCAUUCCACAAAUAACAUUUAACAUCAGAUAUCAACUUUUUUCUCUGUUAGUAAGUGAGAUUUUGGGGUGUCCAUUUACCAACCAAGCAAUUUGCAAUAUCUGUACACCACGGUGGUUGAGCCACAACUGAGCUAAUAGAAAAAAAAAUAUUCAUAAGGAAACUCUUCUUUUAUAUCACAUAACUCAAGUGGGGAGGGGGGGUCUCCAUUCUAAACAAAUGGUCAGCUAGCUAAUUCUUUAUUCCCCUUUUAUUUUUUUUUUUGGAGCUCAAAUUCUUGUAGAAGUAAAAUCAAUAAUAACAAUCUAGGUCGCGCAUCGUUUUUUGCUAAGAAGUAUCUUAGAGCUGCAUGAUCAGUAAAAACAGUAACCUUAGUUCCUAUCAGAUAGGAAUGAAACUUAUCAUAUGUAAAUACCAUUGCUAGUAGUUCUGUUUCAAUCGUGGCAUAAUUUAGCUGAGCCUCAUUCAUUGCCCUAAUGGCACAGUAAAUUGGGCGAAAAAUCUUAUCUUGUCUCUAGCAUAAAAUAGCUCCAACUUCUGUAUCACUAGCAUCACACAUGGCCUCAAAGGGUUGGUUCCAAUCAGGGGACACAACUAUAGGAGCAAUUGAUAAUUUUUCUUUAAAGGUAUCAAAGUCUUUCAUACAAUCACCUGAAAAUUCAAACUUAACAUUGUUCAUUAAAAGGUUAGUCCGCGGUUUGAAAUCUUUAAAAAAUCUUUUGUGAACCAUCUGUAAAAACCUGUAUGACCUAGAAAGCUUCUGUCAUGACCUAAAAUCUACUAAAGAUCGUGAUGGCGUCGGACUCUAUUGUCAAGCAAGUCAAUAACAAAUAACUAGUAACUUCUUGUUUUAAAUAUUUCUGAAAUCACUUUUUUAUUUGUUUAAACAAUACAUAAUAAAUUCCGCUGAAUAAAUAAUUAAAACAUUUAACAGUUUUAAAAUUUUUUAAUAAACUCGUAAACAUCCCAGAACCCGGUGGCAUGCAUGAGUAAUUUUUAAGAAAUAAUGUAAUACAACAAUCAUCCGAAAUACAAUAUUGGAUAGAAAAUAAAUACAGUAAUCUGAAAGAGACUUGCUGGCUGCGGGUUGUCUCGGGAAGUGCAGCUCACUUAAGUCUGUAUAUCAACCAUGCUGAUGUGCCCUCUAGGCCACUAGAGAUACAUGUGCAUAUGCAACAAAAAUACACAGAAAGUGCAGUAUGAGUACGAGAACAACGUAUACCCAAUGAGUAUCCCAUCUAAUCUCGAAGAAUUAGAGACGAGAGGUCGACUUCGACACUUACUAGUGGUCCAAUAAUGUUAUCUCAAUAAUAUAGUAAUUCGUGGAUUUUUAUAAACAUGAUUGUAAUUCAAUAGAUUAAAGAAGUAAGAGAUUCUUCAUUUAUAGGAAAUUUUCAAAUUUCCUUUUUAUUGUUUAUACAUAUAUUCUCAAGCCGGGAAGAGGUCAUAAAAACUUCAAUAAGUUCAAGGCAAGCAAUACAAGCAUGCACAAAUCAUGCCGAUAUCGUACGGCCCGAUCCAAUAAUAUUUAAACUGUGCAAUAUUAGAGGGUCGAAUAGCGCGAUCCAUAGAUGCAUCUAUUUAAUCUACCAAGGCGUUCGGCCCGUUCCACAAUAGAUAAACACAUUCAAACAGUCAAUCACGAAUUCAUCAAGGAGCAAUUAUUCAGGAAAAGGGCAAGUUUCUCUUUUAAAAGUCAAGAAGUGAUAUCUAGCCAUAUAGAAAUUUAUACAUUCCAUAUGUGUUUAAGAAUUUUUAAAUUGACAACAAGGUUGCAAAUAUUACAAGUAAAGUAUGUUUCUGGGUCCUAGACUACCCGUACUUAAGCAUAAUAGUACACACAGACUGUCAUCACUUUGUACGUACUUAGCCCCCACAAAUACGAGCACAUACUUAAUUAAUUCACUUAUGAGGACAAUUCCCUAUUACUAGAUUAGAAAGGAGACUCACCUUGCCCCAAAGCGUACUUCCAAGACCAAGAGCGAGCUCAAAUUCUCAAUUUGGAACCGAACGAUCCAAACUAGAUAAACGAGGUAAGAACUAGUCAAUACAAGCUCACAAGAUAGUAUUCUGACUAUUUAAGCAAUUUUCCAACCUAGAACAAAAGUUUCCUAAAAUCUGACUCGGGUCCACGUGCCUGGCCUUGGGCUGCUUCUACGAUAGGUGGACCGCUUCUGUGGUCUCGCACCUGGGGUUUUGGCAGCAACUAGCAGCUUUAGCCUUUUCCAGAAUCCAUUUUGAUCUGUUAACCACCUGAAAUCCACCCAAGGCCCCUGAGACCCCCAACCAAUCAUACCAACCAGUCCCAAUACACAUUACCAACUUGCUCGAGGCCUCAAAUCAUAUCUAACAACACUAAAACCACGAAACACACUCCAAUUUAAGCUUAAUGAACUUUAAAAUUCCAAACUUCUGCUUUCGAUGUUUAAACCUAUCAAGUCAAGUCCGAUUGACCUCAAAUUUUGCACGCAAGUCAUAUUUGACAUUACAGACCUAUGGCCAACAUUCAGAAUCGUAUUUCGACACCUAUAUAAAAAGUCCACUUCCAAUCAAACUUCUAAAAAACCUUCAAAUUUCUAUAUUUAGUAAAAUGACUUCAAAAUGACCCACUGACCUCUGCAUUCACUUCCAUUCGCUCGCUCCCAACAUCAGAAUCACCAUAUGGAGCUACUCCUAGAGUCAGAAUCCCAAACGGACAUCGAUAACACUGAAAUGCACUUCAACCUAAAUGUAUGAAAUUUCUUCUAAAAUGCUAACUUCCACAAUAGGCGCCAAAACACUCUCGGGUCAUCCAAAACCGAUUUGGGCAUACGCCCAAGUCCGAAAUCAUCAUAUGAACCUGCUGGAACCUUCAAAUCCUUAUUCUGUUGUUGUUUCCUCAAAAUUCUUUCAACUUAAAGCUUCUGAAAUGAGAACUCUCUUUCCAAAUCAACUCUGAACUUCCCAAAAUUUAAUUCCGAUCACGCGUACAAGUCGUAACACCUGAAAUGAAGCUGCUCAUGGUGUCAAGUUGUUGAACGAUUUGCUAGAGAUCAAAACGACCAGUCGGGUGGUUACAUUCUCUCCCGCUUAAACAUACGUUUGUCUUGAAUGUGCUAAGAUUGGUAUUGGGGUUAUCCGAAAUUACUGUUUAACACCUCUAGCACCUACCCGUGCUACCACAACUCAGCUGGGAACCCUACCUCGAUCAAUCUGAAGAUAUCUUUUUUCACUCAAGCAAAUAAGCCUUAGAGCCCAAUUCCAACAUUCGAAAUUCUCUACCAGGCAUGUUGCAACAUACACUCACUGUAACAAUAACUACACGCAUCACCAAAGCGUGACUGCGUACAUUAGCAGAAUUCACAACUUUCACCACUUUACUCACAGGACCACAAUAUCAUUCUCUAAUCAAAUAAGUCAAAUUUCCACGAAUAUGAUGCUCCCAUUUCACCUCAUGACCUACAUAGAUCUUUCGCUAACUCUUACAAUGCUGCAUGAUGGAAGAGAUGUGUAGAAAUUCAUAACUGAGUGCCGAAUAAACAAAUUAUUAGGUCUAUACUGCUGACAAGAACCCUCACCUCAUUCUGGACCAAAUAAUGGUCUUUGCUCCUUAAUAUACUUCAUAUAAUCAGAUUGCACUAAUCCUAAAUCCAAUGAUCUCGUCUCACCCAGUACAAAAUGCUUAGGCAAUAAGCUACCCCGGGCAUGAUCAAAAGUCUCAUAUAAUGGCCAAUAUGCUGCCAAUUCGAACGCGAUACAAAAGGAAAAUGAACUCUAGAAAGAACUAAUCAACUUGUGCAACUAAUAUGAACUUUCCUCGGAAAAUAGGAAACAAAACACAUAUAAGAUAAAGUAUGAUAACUGUACUUAACAUCACAUUGUUGCGGCGUGUGACCCAAUCCAAACAUAAAAUUUACCUAGGGAGAUGAACAUCGAGCUAAUUUCUUAUUAUUAUACAAUGCCAAAUAUCGAUCACCAGCACGCUAAGUGCAUAAUACCAUCCCUGAGGGGACAUAUAGCGCUAUAAGCUACAAAACUCAAGCGCAACUGAGGUGCAAUAUACGAUCUAAAUCUCAAGAGCCAUUUUGCUCAUAUAACAUCAUCUCUAUGCGGAACCUCAACACAUAAGCAAUUCAUCAAGCUGUCUCACAUCUCACAAGGCUCAAUAUAUCAUUACAUGAAAUAACUGACGAUGAAAUAACACCCUAACUACUAUUCCAUAGGAGCAUACCAUGUUGUAUCAAAACUCAUACGACACAGUAUAUCAUUACAUGAAAUAACUAACAAAACAACACCCUGACUGCUCUUCCAUAAGGAGCGCAUUACAGAAAUGAACAUAUCUGGCUUGAUAUAGAGCCCAUAUUCAUAUUCGAAUCUAUCCACAGACCUCAAGUUGAUUCUGAUUGCACUGAACUAGUCUAAUAACCUUUCAAAGGUCCAUAAUAACUACCUUUUUUCUCAUAACACACAAGAACAACCAUCAUAAUCGGAGUAAUCAUCCAUAGUCCACAACCCAAUAAAUUAAGUGCCCGUCAAUUCCCGAAUCAACAAUAUCACCACAAUCUUCAUACUUGGUUUAACUCUUCAACCAAUCAAGUGACGACAUGCCACAUGUAUACAACCUUCCUGUGGGGCACACUCCUACAACCUUCCAUAAUGGAUAACUGAUCUGUACAUCUAAACCACCAGCCACACUAAUGCUAAAAAGUGAUCAUGAAACCUUAACUAGGAUGCAAUGCCUUUUUCAUGAAACACCGAUCUCAAGUGACGUUGAAGGCAAUACCCACUUGCUUUAAACAUCGAAACUCCUUUCUUGCUCAGCCGAGCUCGUGACAUCCUUGUCAACACCAAAUUGCAACCUUGAUCCUCACUUCAAAUUCCAUACCACUCACUGCACCCAUCAUGCCAAUAUACUAUCAAACACAAUAUUUGCCAUAACUCUGGAACCACUAAUAGAUUAACGUUUCAUCGUAUAAAAACCUUUCACUUAACUCACUUAAGGAGAACCAUAGCGACACACAUGUUAAUUCUCAUAACCAUAGAAUAUGCAAAUCUCUAAGUAGUGAUCUAAGCCACCAUAGACCUUCCGGGAUCCACCUACACAUAAUAGGCUAUAACAGUUCCUGAAUAACAUCAAUUACGACAGCCAACAGGCCUCGCACGUACCCCUACAAAUUACUUGCAUAAUUUGUUGAAGGAACUAAUUACUACUACAAAUAUGCCAACUCAAUUAUGGCUAACCAGUCUAUCUCCUUCCAAUUUAUCCUUGUUUUCCUUAGUAAUAAUAACUCUAUUCAACACAUAACACACUCUAUCCGCACUCAUCCUGAGUGAUCAUAAAUCACGAGACCAUGAUGUCUCAAAUCCUACUAACUCUUUCAUACCUACCCAUUUGCAUGUCAAAACAUCAUAGAACAUUCUGGGCACCUUCUCAUAAGUUGCUACAAAGCUUGAUUCUUAACUGUACCUAUAGGCUCGAAAUCAUUAGGCACCAUACUUUACCCAUUUGAAUCUGCUAAGACCAUUUUUGAGAGUCACCCACUCUGGCUUGGUCUCGAAUGUAAUCAACUCCCAGGCCCCCCGACACAGGAACACCUAUCUCAAUGAAGCACUCGAAUGGAUCACUUCCCUUGUAAAUCACCUCUGAACGAAGCAUAAAUCCAGAAUCUUCCCAACCCUUUAACAUGAGCGGCCAACUAUAGGAUAUAUUUUCCAAUUCCUUUGUUCAGAUACCAUUUACUUUCUUUUCCCUUAGCCGAAAUAACUUACCAAUACGCUAAUAACCCGAAACCUCACAAGAAGUUAACCAUACAACCCAAUUGUGGACAGUGGGACUCUCCCACUUAGCUUGAACCCACCAUUACACAAAUCUAGGACUUAACAAGAUUCUUUCUUCAUUGUUGACAUGCUCUUGCAUAACCAACCUGCCAGAUCCUUUGAACUCUUUUUGUAAAAUGCUUUACGGAUAUUCUGAAUCAUUAACCACAUUCACAUGACCGAUCUCUUUACCAUAUGGCUAGUAUAAUUCUUUGCAGAAGCUUCACCAACCACGCGAUCGCUAACAUGCUCAUAGAGAAUAACCCGAUGUGGAAAUCACUCUCUGACAUCUUCUAACAUCGCUGCAUAGGGUACAAUCACUACGACAUCAAUGACCCAUCAUGAGUCUAAGCUCACUCUCUAGCUGCAUAAGUCCAUUCACUCCUCAUAGACAACAAUUUAAUGUGCAGCAACAUCCUUCUGUCACACCUCAUUUACACGGCUACCCUGAAGGAUAAAAUGCAUAAGGGAAUUUUUCCAAUUAAAGUGACAUUAAUCGAAAUGGAAUUAUUUAUUUAGAGUCUCCACUUGGAAUAGGUUUAGCUUUUUGUGUCCAAGUCACCGGCUUAAUUAAAAUCCCAAAUCGAGGAAAUAUUUUGACUACCCAAAUGGAGUCUGCGAACCAGCAAUUCUGAGUAAGGAAUUCUGUUGACCCGACGGAAGGUGUUAGGCACCCUCGGAUCCCGUGGUUCUAGCACGGUCGCUUAAACUAUUAUAAUUGGCUCACAAUUCUGAUUCUCGUACAUGUUCAUCCUAUAAUGCAAAUUAAAAUUAUUUUAUACCGCUUUUAACAUUUUUUAAGGAAAUUUGCAAUGUCAUUAAAACAUGUCGCGAACUGCGUCAUAAAUGCGCACGCAGUUUUUGAUAUAUUUCAACUUCAUUGAGAUUUGAAUUUGGGUCACAUAAAUGCGCAUCCGUACUUUAAAAGAUAAAAUUAUUAAAGACGCACCUAAAAGUGACUAACAUGUUAUUAUAUUUGCAGGAAAGCCGUGAAAUUCGCUAAAUGACAUGUCCUGAAUCUCUACGUAUUUUAAUAUGAACAUUUAAAGAGGGUCACGCAAUUUUUGGAUUUUGUUUGGCGCGGCACCUUAUUUUAUCAUUUUAAAGGUCAAUCCUAGAAAAAACUAUUAUUCUCUUAGAUAAUUGGCGUGGAGUCCGGGCUUUUGAACUCGAGUCCAUAUUUAAAUAAGAAGAAAAUUUCCUUUAUUCCAAUGUGUUAUCUAGUUCGAAAAAUCUGAAUUUAAUUCAAUCAUGCCUUCAGCUAAAUCUGGCCAGCAAAGACCAUUUUUUUUCCCUCAAUGCAAGCCCUGAACUGAGAGAUACAUGGAUGGGUCGAUAUUGGACUUGAUAUUGCUGCCCAUCGAGUCCAAAGAAGGUCUAGUAAAUACGUAGAUACUUUCAAAUUUCCAGAUUUUUAUAUUGCAUCAUGUAAGUGAAGAAUAAUGCAAAGUAACGGCAAAACUAGAACCAACUUUCAAGUCCACAUAUAAUCAACGAUUUUAUAAUGUAUAAAGGUUCAGAGGAAUAAUCCUAAAUAGACCUAUCACAAACACUCAUUUACCCUGAGUUUAACCAUGAUAUAAUCACAUCAACUAACACAAGCAUGUCACCAUACCAAGGUUGACAGUAUAUUUGAACUAUAAAUUCGUUUCACUACUGACUACUCUAACACUUAAGAGGAUUAUGCUAAUAUCAGUAUUUUUACUCAUUGAAUCAAAAAAUAAUAAUUAUUUAACAGUCCAAAAUAUUCCCAUAAUUAUUUACAGUGAAUAUUUAAACAAAUCAAAAGGCUACUCGAAAUUUAAACAACAGAUCCAGAAAUAAUUUAGUGCAGCGAGCUUCAUCUCUCGUCUCAAAUUGGUUUUUACAUGGUCAGGGUUAAGAAGUGUACCUGGAAUUUGAGUAAACAAAGGCUGAGCGUCAGCAGGCUCAAGCAAUAAUAUAAUCAACAGGAAUCAAUAGCUCAUGAGCAAUUAGGAACCUAGGAAUGAUACCAAUAUAACCAGGAAGAUUUAAUACCCAACCAAACCAGCAAAAACACUCAAUUAACUCAAUAAACCCCAACCAGCCGAAAAUAUGAAUCCAUGAUAAGUGUUGAAACCUUAACACUUCAAAUAGGCAUAUUUUAAGUCAUCUUUCAUCCUAUAGAGCUAAACAUUCUACUGGACAGCUGAAAUUAGGAUUAUUCUGAGGAAAACAAGUCAAAUGGAACAGUAAACACCACUGAAUUCAGAGGAUUUCAAGACCUUGAUAAACUUUGGAUUUCUAGAAGCUUUUUCAGGAAUUUUUUGAGAUUCUUUAGGCUUCAAAAUUUUCUGGGAAUUGUUUAUAGAUUUUCAGACUGUGUAAAAGCUUUUCUGAAUGAAUUAGGGUGCCUUUUUUAUAGCCAAAGUUUAGGGCAACCCCUUUAUUUUGUUUUAACUACUAGUCCCUCUUUUAUUUUUCAGAUUUUUCAUUCUUGGUCCUUUAUUUUCUAACUUGUUUCUCAAGUCAUUGCACUAAAACUACUGAAUUUCAGACUAUGGCCCUCUUCUAAAAGAGUCUAAAGGAUUCUAGCAUUGUUUUCUCUUUAUAGAAUACCUAUACUACCAUUAUCCUUAUCUUGAAAUUACCAGGUCUACCUCAAACAAACCCAACCCCUUGGUCUCAAUCUUACUAUGGUCAAGUAAUAUUGGAUCAAUCAGCUAUACCCAAACAAACCUUAAAUUUGAACUGGUUAUUUUAGUUUAUACUAAACCUAGACUAAACAGCUAUAUCCAACAAACUAGUAUCACUUAGAGGUUCAGGGAUUACCAACAAAAUUAAAAUCAAUAAAAACAUAGGAAUUCUGCUAUAACCAAAACUAAAAAUUGCUUCUAAUUAAAACAAAAACACAAUCAAGUUUAAUUAAACAGAAUAAGAAAAAUGCAUGGUCAGGGAAUUUAGAACUACACAGGAAGAAUUUUUAACUAAACUAAAAAAGAAAAUCAAACAGUAACGUAUUACUCGCAGAAAAAAUAAAAUAAUCUAAUAAGAAACAAAGCAUUAGAGACAGAAAUCAAAAAUCAAGUCUAAACUACUCAAAUAGCUUAAGAAUUAAACAUGAUGUAAUCUUCACUUAAACUAAGAAAAAUCAUAAAUAAUGUAAAACUUAAUUAUAAACAAGAGAAAUAAAAAUAAAAUAAAUAAAAGAGAAAACAAUCAAAAAUGAAAGUGAGACUCACUGAUUGGGUCUUCAAAGAAAGCUUGGCUGGAUUCGACUCGAAUCCUCAAACGGAGUUACAUGUUAGUUUUGGUCAAAACAAAUAUGCAACUCCAUUGGGAACACAAGUAUAACCUUGAUAGUCCGUCUCAAAAUUAGUCAAUUCCCAAAUUUGAAAUUCGAGACGAUUUAGGGUUGUUCGAAGGAGAUAGGGUUCGAUUUUGGGUAGAGGAGGCCAAGGAGAGUAUGGCGUGUAUUUUUGGUAGCCAUGGGAGCCGGAGCCGUCGUGGACGGCGGAGCAGCCUCUCCUUUGGAGGAAUAUUCGAAGCGUUUGGCUAGGGUUUGAUGGUUGAUUUAUGGGGGUUGGAAAGAGGAGAAGACGGGGAGUAUGGGGUGUUAAUUUGGGUGGAUUUGGAGUUACGCCGUCGCCGCCGGCGGGCGUUAUAGAGACGGUGGGGAUAUGGUGGUGUUACACCGGAGGUAGGUUUGGUACGAGGAGGAUGAUUUUUGUCUCUAAGGAUUAUGCAUAUCAUUCAGACACUUUUAUUAAAAAUGUGUGGCUAAAUCUGGGUCGUUGGAUUAAAAGGAAUGAAUGGCUGAGAUCAAAUGGACGUCAAGUGACGUCGUUUUGAUGCCUCCUCUGGCUGGACCGGGUAUGGGAUUUGGGUCUAAGUUGAUUUAGUGGGUCUGGCGGUUUGGGCUCCAAAUUGUUGCCCAAAUCAUAGUCUUUAAUGAGAAGAGCCAAUUUGUGUGUUUUUCUCUUUUUUAUUUUUUUUUUAAUUUAGUUUUUAGACUUAAAAAAAAAUAGACUAAAAUAUAUUUAACUUCCACAAAAUAAAUUAAUUAACCAUUUAAAAUAACCUAAAUUUUAAAUUUAAAAAGGAAAUUAAACAAAUGUACAAAUAACCAAUUUUUUUGUUAUUUUCUAUAUUAAUUAACUAAUAACCCAAAAGAAAAAAAUGUAAAAAUUAAGUCCUUGCUGCAAAACAUGCUAUUUUUGUAUUUUUUAUUAAAAAACGCACAACAUGCAAAUAAACACAAAGUCAUGCAAUUAAUUCCUUUUAAUUUAAAUUAUAAAAGGAAAAAUGCAAAUAAACACAAAAUCACGCAAUUAAUUCCUAAAAAUUCAAAUAAUAAAAGAAAAAUCCUAAUUUAAUGAAUUUUAUAGGAACAUUUUGAGCGAGGCAAAAAUCAUGUGCUCACAACUUCCCCUCUUUGCUUGGAGACACGAAGGAUUUCGGGGCAAAGAUAAAUGAGCAACUGAUAGAUUUUUGCCUGCUUUGCAUUCUAAGAGAAGCAUUUUGAAAACUGUUUGACCGAACCCUGCUUCAAAAGUUUCCUACAUAUCCUUGGAUAUAAACGAAUCACGUCAGUAUAGUUCUGGAGUGUUUGGUAGAUGGGACUACCAUGAGCUGUGAUCCGGGACUUGGAAGAAAGACUCCUAGGCUAUGCUAGGGGGAUCCGCGGGUUAUGCCGGGAUUUGAAAGAAAAAGACUCCUGGGUUAUGCCAGGGGCAUCCGCAGGUUAUGCCGGGAUAGGAAGAAAAGACUCCUGGAUUAUGCUAGGGGAAUCCACGGGUUAUGUCGGCAUUAAGAAAAAAAGGACUCAUGGGUUAUGCCAGGGGAAUCCAUGGGUUAUGCGGAGAUUUGCAAGAAAGACUCCUAGGUUAUGCUAGGGGGAUCCGCGGGUUAUGCUGGGAUAGGAAGAAAAGACUCCUGGGUUAUGCCAGGGGAAUCCACGAGUUAUGCCAGGAUUAAGAAAAUGGCUCAUGGGUUAUGUCAGGGGAAUCCAUGGGUUAUGCCGGGAUAAGAAGAAAAAGACUCAUCGGUUAUGCUAGGGGGAUCCGUGGGUUAUGCUGGGAUUUGAAGGAAACAAACUCUUGGGGUUAUUCAAGGGGCAUCCGCAGGUUAUGCCGAGAUAGGAAGAAAAGACUCCUGGGAUAUGCCAAGAAAAUCCACGGGUUAUGCCAGGAUUAAGAAAAAAAGGGGCUCCUGGGUUAUGCCAAUGUAAUCCACGGGUUCUACCGAGAUUUGGAAGAAAGACUCCUGGGUUAUGCUAGGGGAAUCCAUGGGUUAUGUCGAGAUUAAGAAAACGGCUCCUGGGUUAUGCCUGGGGAAUCCACGGGUUAUGCUGGGAUUAAGAAAGAAAUGACUCGUGCUGGGGAAAAAAGAGAAAGACCCUCAUAUUAUGAUGGGGAAUGCUGGGAAUGACAGAAAGAAAAGUACCUCAGGUUAUGUUGGGGAUACAAGGAAAUUGGUCCUUAGGUUAUGCUGGGAAAAUGAAAGAAAGAAAAGUCCCUCAGGUUAUGCUGGGGAUGGAAGAAAGAAAGGUCCCUCGGGUUAUGCUGGGGUAGAGAGAAAGGAACCAUCGGGUUAUUUCGGGGAGUGAAGGAAAUGAAUCCUCAAUUUAUGCUGGGGAGAUCUAGGGAAUGUGGUCCUAGAUUUGAAGAGAUGGAGUCGAGGAUCGGGUCCUAUACUACCAUGAUUUGUGAUUCUCCUUUUCUUCUUUUCAUUUAUAAAACUGCGAGAAAAGAUGUAAAGAGAACCUCCCUUUUGGUUGCUCAUUGUUGCAAGGCUAUUCUUAGCUCUUGUGCAUUUCCUUUGGUCGCAUUUGCCAUUUAUCACAUUGAUUUGGAUUACACCUAUUUAACAUUUUCAAACAAAGCAUAAUUUGUUAGUUUAAAGCGAUGGACGAUUUUGUGGCCUUGAUUUGUUUCAUCUCGACCUCCCUUCUGUUGAGAAGACCUUGGGCUUUCCAUACUUUGCCUUGUUGGUUGGUCAGGAGGUCUCAUCUUUCAGAUAUAUUUCACCUUCCUAGGCUUUUUGGUUACGAUUUCUUUGCCCCGAUUUCCAUUUCAGAGCCUUUAGGUAUCCUACCUUUUGAAACCAUGUUGAGGCGAUUACCUCACUCGGGCUUAAACCUUCUAAUCUUCAUUUUUUGUUCAUGGGCAUUGGACUUUGAUUUGUUUUUUUCUACCUUUCUGCUUCUGAAUUUCCAGCCAUCAUGACUAGCCAGGAUCGGCUAGAUACGUCCGCUAAGGCUGGGUAUUUUAGUCCUUUCCAGGCGAGCCUUGUGAAACCAGUCUUACCCACUUUUCUUGAGGAAUUUUCACAAAUCAAAGUUAAGCCAAAAGGGAUUUGAGGAAGCAAAAAGCAAUCAUAUGGAUUUAGAGAGAAGUGUCCCUUUCGAGGAAAAGAGAAGGACUUAUCUGGGGGUGCGUGCUGACUUCAAAUGGACAUGACAUGCUUCUUGGACUGGAUGCCCAACCCGUACACAUUUUCAGCUUUUUGUGAACUUUAUUUCAACCUUUCGAAACUAGGGAAACUUACCCGGACUUUUGAUGAUGAUAUAUCUUCCUUUCGGCCAACAGUGCCCUUUGCGGGUUUUCGCCAAUCGGCCUCUCUCAUUUAUCUUCUCUCGUCGCCCGAUAGUGCUCUUUACGAGUUUUCACUAAAUGAACUCUCUCAUUUUAUUUUCUGUACUCACCAUCGCCUUAUGGUGCCCGAAGGUUUUCACCGAUAAGACUCUCAUUUUUUUCUCUCAAUUGAAUUGUGCCAAAUCCUAACAAUGGCAUUUGUCAUAUCCCUGCCUUUGGUAAUCGACCGGAAGGACUUGGGCCAGGUUUUUGGGUAAAGGAAAUUGGAUGGAAACUACAACUUUGGAACCAUUUAGGCGGGUUCAUGUCCAAACCAUUACAUCAACAGCCCCAGUUUUGAUUGGGNNNNNNNNNNNNNNNNNNNNNNNNNNNNNNNNNNNNNNNNNNNNNNNNNNNNNNNNNNNNNNNNNNNNNNNNNNNNNNNNNNNNNNNNNNNNNNNNNNNNNNNNUUUUAUUUGGGGGGGGGGGGGGAAUUGGGGUUCUUAUAUUGAUAUGACUAAAUCUCAGGGAGAGGCUGCCUACGUACCCUUUCGAAAUCAAGUCAGAUGUAGUUCAGGAAGUGUUUUCCUAAACUAAUUUUGUUUUGUUGCUUCUUCUUCUCGUUUUUUUCAUUUUUCAUUAAUUUUUUUCAUUUUUCUUUUGUUUUCUUUUUUUUUUGUUUUCUUUUUCUUUUGUUUUCAAUCUUUUUUUUCUUUUUUUUCCGAAUAGCACUUCCGAGUUCAAAAGAGGGUGAUCAAAAAACCGUAACCGGCUCAAAGGGUUUGCGAAGGAUUGAUAUUGUUUAGGGUAGCGGAAAAGAAAAGCCUUCGUCAUUUUAACCAGCCUGAAUCAUUGCUGCAGGGAAUUCAAACAUAAUACCUUUUUACCCUAUUUGCAUUUACUACUGUUUCGGGAUCGUCUCCUUCGACGUCACCCAGGUACAAUGCUCAUUUGGGCAGUAUUUUCUGAUAAUGUAUGGACCUUUCCAGUUCAGAGCAAACUUUCCUUUAGCUUCCUGAUAGUGAGGGAGAAUACGCCUCAAUACAAGCUGUCCGAAUUGGAAAUUCUUAGGGUGCACUUUCUUGAUAUAAGCGCGGGCCAUUCUUUGUUGGUACUACUGCAUAUGACAAACCGCAACCAUUUUUUGUGUCAAUUAAUGACAACUGCUCUAGUCGAGUCUUAACCCACUCACUAUCUUCAAUUUCCACUUCGACAAUUAUCCGGAGCGAAGGGAUUUCUACCUUUGCGGGUAUAACAGCUUCAGUCCCAUAGACCAAUAAAUAUGGAGUUUCCCCUAUCGAUAUGCGCACCGUGGUGCGAUAUCUAAGCAAUGCAAAAGGUAGCUUUUCAUGCCAUUGUCUUGAGCUUUGAAUCAUUUUUCUCAAAAUAUUCUUGAUGUUCUUGUUAGCUGCUUCAAUGGAACCAUUGGCAUUGGGCCGGUAAGGAGUGGAGUUUCUGUGUGUUAUCUUGAAUUCACAUAGUUCUCCCAUCAGGAGACUAUUCAGGUAACGGCACCAUUGGCUUUGGGCCGGUAAGGAGUGGAGUUUCUAUGGGUUAAUUUGAAUUGUUCACAUAUUUCUCCCAUCAGGCGACUAUUCAGAUUGCCAGCAUUGUCUAUAAUGAUGGUUGUAGGAAUUCCGAAGCGGCAAAUGAAGUUGGAAUGCACAAAGUCUACCACAACUUUCUUGGUGACUGACUUAAGUGUGAUGGCUUCGACCCACUUUGUAAAGUAGUCAAUAGCAACCAAUAUGAAUCUAUGUCCGUUUGAGGCUUUUGGUUCAAUGGGCCCAAUGACGUCCAUGCCCCAGGCAGCGAAUGGCCAUGGUGCUGACGUAGGAUGCAAUAGAGUUGGCGGCGCAUGAAUCAAGUCACCGUGCACCUGACAUUGAUGACAUUUCCAAACGAAGCUGAAGCAGUCUUUCUCUAUGGUCAUCUAGUAAUAUCCUGCCCAAAGUAUUUUCUUUGCCAAGCAUACCCAUUCAUAUGAGGCCCACACACUCAUGUGUGUACUUCAGGCAUAAUCCUUCCGGCUUCUUCGUCAUCAAAACACCUUAGCAAGUUGAAAUCUGGGUUCCUCUUAUAUAAGAUGUCACCACUCAAGAAGAAACCACUCGCAUGUCAUCGCAUGGUUCUCUUUUGAUCCCCAGUGGCUUGCUCGGAAUACUCUUGUGUUUUCAGAAAUUUUUUGAUAUCAUAAUACUAUGGCUGAGUGCUGGAUUCUGCCUUGGUCACAUUACAAUACCCAUGCCUUUCCCUGAUUUGGAUUUCCAAGGGAUCGAUAUAGGCGUUUCCGGGGUAAGGCAACAUGGAGGCCAAAGUUCCGAGUGCAUCUGCUAACUCAUUGUGACAGCGAGGAAUGUACCUGAACUGUACCGACUUUAAUCGUUUGCUGAGAUCCUCCACAUGCUUUUGAUAAAGGAUGAGUUUGAAAUCUCUCGUUUCCCACUCUCCUUGGUUUUGCCGGAUAAUCAGAUCUGAAUCCCCCAUGAUUAAUAAUUCCUCGAUGCCUUGGUCAAUAGCCAUAUUCAUGGCCAUGAUGCAGGCCUCGUAUUCAGCUCUGUUGUUGGUGCAGAAAAACAAAGCCGUGUUGUGGCUGGGUAGUGUUGACCAGUGGGUGAGAUAAGAUUGCCCCAAUUCCAACUCCUUUUGCGUUUAUUGCUCCAUCGAAGAACAUUUUCCAAGCAGUGAUGUCUUGAGAUGUUACCUCCACCAAAUUCACUUCUUCAUCCGAGAAAUAGGUAUUCAAGGGUUGAUAUUCAUCAUCAACUGGGUUCUCAGCUAGAUGUUCUUCUAGCGCUUGGGCCUUCAUCGUCGUGUGAGUGACAUAGACUAUGUCAAACUCGGUGAGCAGGAUUUUCCAUUUCUCCAAUCUCCCCGUGGGCAUCGGUUUUUAGAAUAUGUACUUCAAAGGAUCCAACCUAGUUAUGAGGUAGGUGGUGUGGGCUUGCAAGUAAUGCCUUAGCUUCUGGGCCACCCAAGUUAAGGCACAACAGGUUCUUUCUAACAAGGUGUAUUUGGCCUCAUAACUGGGAAACUUCUUGCUCAGGUAGUAAAUGGCUUGCUCCUUCUUUCCGGUGACAUCAUGCUGCCCGAGAAUGCAUUCAAAAGAGUUCUCCAAGACCGUCAAAUAUAGGUUCUUACUUAGGUAAUAUAUGGCCUGCUCCUUCUUUCCAGUGACAUCAUGCUGCCCGAGAAUGCAACCAAAAAAGUGCUCCAAGACUGUCAAAUAUAGAAACAAUAGCCUUCCCAAUUAUGGCAGGACCACGACUGGUGGAUUGGAAUGGUAAUCUUUAAUUUUGUCAAAAGCCUCUUGACAUUCAUUAGUCCAUUUAAUUGUUGAAUCAUUUUUUAACAUCGUGAAUAUGGCCUUACACGUAGAGGUAAACUGGGCGAUGAAUCGGCAAAUAUAAAUCAGUCUUCCCAACAUGCUCAUUAAAUCCUUCUUGGUUUUCGGAGGAGGUAGCUCUCGUAUGGAUUUUAUCUUGGUUAGAUCUAUCUCAAUACCUCUCCGACUGAAGAUGAACCCCAGGAGCUUGCCCGAUGGGACCCUGAAUGCACACUUGGCUGGGUUCAAUUUCAAAUCAUACUUGCAAAGCCUUUCAAAGAACUUUCUUAGGUACCGUACAUGAUCACCUUGAGUCUUGGACUUGAUAAUCACGUCAUCUACAUACACUUCUAUCUUCUGAUGCAUCAUGUCGUAGAAGAUAGUGGACAAAGCCCUCAUAUAUGUCGCCCCAUUAUUCUUUAAACCAAAGGGCAUAACCCUGUAGCAAUAAGUACUCGAAGGUGUGGUGAAGGCAGUUUUCUCAACAUCUUCAUCAUCCAUCAACACUGGGUGGUAUCCUACGUAAUAAUCCACGAAAGACUGUUUCUCGUGUUUGGGACAGUUGUCAACAAGGAUGUGGAGAUUAGGCAAAGGGAAAUUGUAUUUUGGACUUGCCUUGUUCAAAUCUAUGUAAUCUACACAUACUCGGGUUUUCCCGUCUUUCUUUGGCACCAGGACUACAUUGGCCAACCACGUGCUCCUCUUUAUUUUAUCGCUGAUAUCAGGCUUGAACUUUCUCUGUUUUUGUUGGACUGGAGGACAUUCAGGGCAUCUAGGCAACAUAUGAACGACCAAAUCAAAACUCAACUAUGGCAUAUUGUCGUAGGACCAAGCAAACACGUCUUUGAAUUCAAAAAGAAGUUGAUCAGUGAGUCCCAUAUUUCCUCAUUUACAUGGAUGCUUAUUUUGGUUUCCCUGGUUUAGCCGGGACCACCCUAGUUAACCUGUUCGGUAUCAUUUAGAUUUGGCUUAGGUUUAUUUUCAAAAUGUUCCAGUUCUCGAUUGAUUUCCCAAGAAGCCUCUUCUUCUUCAUACUCUGCUUCUUGGUUCAUUAUUUGACAAUUAGGAGGCAUGUCUGGAUUGGGUCAUGAAGACUCUAAAAGCCUCUUCUUCGUUAUACACCGGUUCUUGGUUCAUUAUUUCACAAUUAGGCGGCAUGUUUGGAUCGGGGCAUGAAGUCCGCGAGCAUGUCAUAUUAUUUAAAGCCAAACUACUGGAACUGAAAGAAAUGAAUAAAGAAAACAGAAAAAUCAGAAAGAAUAAAGGAAUGUAGACGAUGAAAUAUUGAUUUCAAUUCUUUGAAAUUGUAAGAUAACAGGGUUUACAUUUGGAAAUUAAAGGACAAAAAACUAAAGGAAAACACCCGAGUUACACCCUGAAAUAACUCGUGAAGCAAGAAAAGAUGGCAAGGCAGGACUCACGGGCCUCCCGCCUGACUGGGAAAGGCGAAGCCUUCCAAUUUUGCAAUUUGGCAUCCGGUCCCAUGUAGAGCACCUCAGCGGUGCUCGAGCCUUCUCCAAGCUGGACCAUGUUAGCUUCAUACAAUAGUUUUUCAUGGCCCCACAUAUGUCUUCAAUUUCUUCCGCUGUGAAGGUCUCGUCUUUUUCAUCAUCACUGUACUUAGGCUUCACAAAUGUUUCGUACAAGUGGAGUAAGGGUUGAGGUAAAGCCUAUCCAUUAUGCUUUCUGCGAUUUGCCUAUGUUAUAUCCUCUGGUGUUGGGUGGAAGCCUAACCCAAAAAACUUCUCUACAGUAGACAAAGCAAUUGGCUCAAUUAUCCCUUGUAAAGAACUUUCGAUCCCCUUCCCUGGUUUGAAUCGUUGAUGUAUCAUCUCUCUAGCCACCAUGAUUGGGGCAUUGGAGAGGAAAGGUUGGGGACAUGGUUUGCCUUCCUCGUGUUGAUCAGCUACCACAAUUUCAAAAGCCUGAUAGACUAUAUGCUCACUUCGUUCUUUAGCUUCGAGGCAGGGGACAGAGGGAUCGCGGUAAAUGGAUUGUUCAUAUUCACCAUGAACCACAAUUUCCUGGUUCUCAUGUUCAAAUUUCAACAUCUGGUGUAGAGUAGAAGGCACAGCCCCUGCUGCAUGAAUCCAUGGCCUUCCCAGCAAGUAAUUGUAGGAUGUGUCCAUAUCUAACACUUGAAAUGUUACCUCAAAAUCAACCGGGCAAUGGUCAACACCAGAUCAAUCUGUCCUAUUGUGUUUCUUUUAAUUCCAUCGAAAGCUCGGACACACAUUUUAUUGGGGCGAAUCCUCUCCGUCCCGAUUUCCAUUCUUUGUAAUGUUGAUAAUAGGCAUAUGUCCACCCUAGAGCCUCCAUCUACCAUUACUCUUUUGACGUAAUAGCCUUUGCAUUUGAUGGUGAGAUGCAGGGCUUUGUUGUGGGAGGCUCCCUCUUGGGGUAAAUCAUUCUUACUAAAUAUAAUCUGAUUAAUGGCGAAGAAUCUCUCCGCCAUUCUCUCAAAUUGUUCCGCGAAGGUUUGAACCGGCACGUAAGCCUCAUUUAAAGUUUUGGCUAACACCUUCUGGUGCUCCAGAGAAUCCAUCAGCAAUGAUAAUAAAGAGACUUGUUUAGGGGACUUCCGGAGCUUGUCCACUACUUCAUAGUCCGGCAUUUUCAUCUUUCAAAAGAAGGCUUCUGCCUCUUUGGCACUUACUGGUUUACUGGGUGGGAAUCGCCUUUUGGUAGCAUUGUUCACUUCCUCCAAGUCAGAAUAUUUCUCUACAGUGUGGCUUUCUUGAGUUUCACCAGUGAUUUCUUUGCCUUUGUAUGUCACCACUGUUUCUUGAUAGUUCCAAGGGACUGCAAAAGGGUCUGUCAUAGCCCUCUAAGGUGAGUGCCUAACUACCACGGGCUCAUUCAGCCUUUGCGGUUUAGUUGGCCCCGUACCACAUAGGUUCCUUUGUGUACGUACAUAGUCCUGUUUAACUCAAACAUCUUUGUGGGACUCAGAGUUGGCUACUUUUCUUGACGACGCCGUAGGACGUAAAGGAUAGUUUCUUUGACGGGUGCCGGCACAUUUUAGCUUCAACCUUCUUUUCAACUUCUGGUUGCGUGGUUUUAUUCUUCUUCUCCUCCUCUUUUUAGGGGUAACCUUUGACUUUUUAUCUGCAUCAGCAAUAGCUAUUAUGUCUUUCAAAGCAGGGUUGAAUUCUUUGCCUUUGCAGAUCAUCCUGAUUUUUGGCUUGUUGUGAGCCGGUAAUGGGCUGUUAGUCAUAUUCGGGACAUCUUCAUCCCUCAACACUAUUUUUCUUUAUUCUAUUAGAUCUUCCAUAGCUCGCAUUAGAGUCCAACAAUUUUUUUGUGUCGUGCCCCUCAGCCCCUGAAUGAUAAGCACAGCGGACACCCCAUUGGUGAGAAGGUGACUUAGGGUUCUGUCUAUUCAGAGGCACAGGCUGCAAGAGACCCAUUUGGACCAGCUUUAGGAACGUUCUAGAAUAAGACUCCCCAAUUGUCGUAAAGUUUUGCCUUCUGGGUAGCUCCCUGAGACGGAAAUUAUUUUGAGGAGGGCGGGGAUUAUAGUGGUUUUUGGGAAGCUGAUUUCUCGGGGCCUGGUUCCUGUUGACCUGCUGCUGCUGUCGUGAAAAUGGCUGGGCCUUCAUAACUCUGUAAGGUUGGGGAGCAUAAUGCAUGUCUUGAUGGGGUUAAUAUUUUUGAGAGGUUCUUUCCGAGAACAUGUGCCUAUGAUAUCUUCUCAUACCGGAGGCUGUCAUCGAAGCUUCUUCUUUCUUUUUGUUCCUUGCGACCCUCCUGCCCCGCCUUGGAUGGCCUAGGAGGUUGCUCUGAUGGCUUACUGACUCAAAAUUCUUCCUGUUUUCAAACCAUUUUCUACCAUCUCUCCAAUCUUGAUUGCUUCCGAAAAAGGCUUGCCUAUGGCUGACAUCAUAUUUUGAAAAUAAUCUGCUUCUUGGGCUUGGAGAAAAACAGUGGCCAUCUCUAUCUCGUCCAUGGGCAGCUUCACCCUCGAUGUCUGUUCGCGCCAUUUAAUAGCAUAUUCUCUUAAACUCUCUGAAGUCUUCUUUUUCAAAUUGGCCAAGGAGUUCCUGUCUGGCGCAAUGUCAAUGUUGUACUGAAAUUGCCUUACAAAAUCCUGGGCAAGAUCAUCCCAAAUAUGCCAUCGUGAGACAUUUUGGUCCAUAUACCAUUCUGAAGCAAUGCCUACCAGACUCUCUUCGAAGUAUGUCAUCAAUAGUUCUUAUUUUCCGCCUGCCCCACGCAAUUGGUUGCAAUACUUUUUCAGGUGAGCAAUGGGGUCGCCAUGACCAUCAUACUUUUCAAACUUUGGCAUUUUAAAUCCCAUGGGAAGAUGUACAUGCGGGAACAUGCACAGGUAUGUGUAUGAAACACUCUUUUGCCCACUCAAGCCCUGCAUGUUCUUUAAGCUCUGCUCAAGGCUCUUUAUUCUUCUUGUUAUCUCAUCUUGUUCAGGCAUUUUAGGAGUUUUAUCCUGCAUUGGUGUAAUUUCAUAUGGUGUUUGAGGAUAAGUGUAUGAGGCGUAUGUGGGAGGCUCAGUUUGGUCAUUGGGAGUUUGAAAAGUGAAAGUCGUCGGAUCAAACAUGGGUCUUGGCACCGCGGGCUGUGUGGUUGGUGCACAUGGGGGAGCCGUAAAAUGUUGGGGACUAUGCUAGAGGUGAACAUCUGAGGGUGGACUUCAAAAGGUGCUCCGACAAAAUUGGCCGGCAUGGUAGGCUAUCCUAGGAAGAUGUUUGGAUGGCUAAUGGGAAUAGUGGAAGUACCCCAUGACCUUGCGAAGAGCAUAGGAAAUCCAAGGAUGGCACUUGGAGGCUCUUUUCCAUUCGUCCAUGCAUCCCACAUCUCCAUGACCCUAAGUCGUAGGAUCCUAUUUUCUUCGGCUGCCGUAGAUUCAGAGGUUGGGAUGCCUGUAACCGGGCUAUCUUAUGAGAUGGGAAUUGCCAGCAAAGUCAUUUCAAAUGGCAUUUCUGCGCUUCCUUUUGAUCUGGUGAAAUAACGAUCUGAUGCCAGUUUACCAUAAACCAACCACCGUUUCUAAAACCUGGACUGGAAUUUGUAACAGCAAACGGUUAGUUUGAGACAGAUAACAGAUAGGGAAUCGCACAUUGGGGUGUGAUGCACCUACACAGUUAACAAAUGUCUACAUGUUUGCGAUGGUUGCAUGUGUCAUCCCGGAAUUUAUUCCAAUUUUUCCUUUUUGAUUUCCACUCUUUAUUUUCUUGCUUUCCCCAUUUUUUGUAUUUUUCUCCCUCUCUGGUUUUUCUUCUGUUUUGGUUUUUCUCUCUUUUUCUUUCUUCUCAUUCCUCCUUCUUCCCUUUUUGGCUUUUGUUUUUAUUUUUAUGAAUACGGUCUAAUCCUAUGAAGAUUACCUAUGAAUCAUGCCUCGCAUGAAUCAGACCGAGCGUAGUUCGUGAAAAAUAAAAUGAAACCAACAAAAUAUUUUUUUGGAAUUUCAAUUUUCAUAAUAACAAACUUCGGUUACAAAGACUGACAUAUUUAAAUAGGCAACUAGCAUACUCUGACAUAAGAAGAACUACAGACUUGAAGAACAAUUAACCAUGCUUAAAAAGAAAAUACAGACUCUAAGACAAACUAUACAGACUGUAAAUAAAAAUACAAAUUUCCAAAAUCACGAAUACAUUAGGACUUCAACUGCCCCUGGAGCCCGCAAAGCAUCGUUUGGCCUUGUCGCAGGUCGACUAGGUAAUCCCCUUGGAGGUGAUGGAGAUAUUCCAUUACGCGGCGAACAAAAAGCAUCACGGUGGCAAAGAACAUGGAUCUAGGCAUGUCCUCAUAGCUAUUACAUUUCAUUGUGAUAUAGUGAGUGAUUCCUUUGAUUCUUUCUCGUAUGACAACUUUCUCCUGUAGUAACCACCCAGUCUGCUCGGUUCUGGAUCCCAAAACUUGUUCGGCUACUUGAUUCUUCUUUUGAAGCUAUUGCAAAUCCAAUUCUUACUGUGCCAAUGUUGUGUAACAAUGCUCCCUUUCCAUUUUUAAUUCUUUUGCUUGUUUGAGAAUUUUAUUUUCCGUGAUGACGACCCUUUUCUUUAAUCCUGACACCUCACCAUCGAACUCUUCUUUUAAUUGCCUUACCAGACGUGCUCGUUCUGCUGCAUUUUCAUCCAAUUGUUCCCGAGCCCUGGCUAGCUCCUUUUCUGCUUUGCUCAAAUCAAAACAAUAGUCAUCCACCUUCUGUCUCAAGCCAUUUAUAAGUUUCACAUCUUUGGCACUCCAGACGGGGUUUUCCGCUACUACUUUCAUCUUCUGAAUUUGGGCCGGAAGGGCUUCAUUUUCCUUGACUAGUUUCUUCUUUCGCCCUCAUGUGCGGCAGCCUAAAAAUCUUUCUGGAAUUGCAAAUUCAUGACAUGUUUCUCUAGUUUGCUUAUCGUAGCCCUAUACUCGCGUUCUUUAUCUAGCCAAUCCCACUGCUCUUGUGAUGCAUCAACGAAUUCCUGGAGAUGGGGCCUUUUGGACGGCCUUUCAAACUCAAAUUCUCUCCUAUACCAAGCAAGAUAUCCUGGCGACACUUUGCCUUUAAACCGAUCCCGUACACAAGUGUUUGUUGUUAGGUAUUAGCAUUCAUUCAAAAUUUUGCGGACUGUUGCUUCGGGGAACUGACCGUUAGGUCCAAUCUCGACUACUCGGGUACUGAGAUCUUUGUCUUUUGGCACUACCUGGCACCUUCCAAGCUGUCUCAAGACUCGGUGCGGGUCAUUAGGCUGGAUACUCCUAAGACCCAUCAAGAGGAAGUGAGGUUCUGUUGUUCGCUUGUUAUGAUCUCAUCCACAAACAACUAUCCCAACGUCUGUUCUAUUUGACUGGUAGUGAGGGACUGAAAGUAAGAUAUCCAUUUUGCUACUCCUUCGGGAAAAUUGAGCCCUUCAAUCCUUGUGUAAAAUUCCUCUAUGCAAGUUUUCUCUGCGGACCCAUAGCUCAUAAAUUGGGGAUGAUGGCAUAGAUGCUUGAUCAUCCAUAUUUGCAAUAAUAGAUUACACCCCCCAAAGAAAUCUUUCCCGGCCUUGCAAGCUGUGAGAGCGCGAAAGAUCUCAGCUGCUAUCAUAGGUGCGAGUGUACACUUGGUUUGGGUGCAUAGAGUGCUGACAACCCCUGGUAUUUAUAUGUCGAUGUUCCCGUCUUUCCUUGGGAACACCAGAAGCCCUAGAAAAGCAACCAUAAAAGCGAAACUUCUGUGUUCUUACCCAUUUCACACGGUUUCCUUUGCUGCAGAUUUUGUUUUCUGGAUUGUUCAACCCUCCUAUGUGACCAUAUCUUCUGGUAUACAGGAAUGAAAAAGUGCAAAACCCUUCUGCCAUGUUCGAGUCAUGUACCACUCUGCUUAUCUUCAAGGUAUCUAAGAAUUUAUGCACUGCUAUGCUUCUUAGAGCAACCAAAUAUUUAUGUCUUAAAGGAAGCUCAGCAUCUCCGAUGUACCCAGCUAUUUCUUCUAAGGUUGGGGUAAGUUCAAAAUCUGAGAAGUGGAACACAUUGUGCGUCAGAUCCCAGCACGUGACCAACGCUCUUAUGAUGUCACCUCGAGGUACAAUCUCCAGGCCUCCCAAAAAUUUCUUUACCUCAUCUUGCCCUUCUAUACCUAGAUCAUUCCACUACAGCCGUAACUCCAAAGGGAUUCUGCUUACUAAUGAAAAAUGUUUGUUUCGGAUUGUCCUCAUCCUGCAAAUUUAUUAAGGCGAAUUAGCAACUUAAGAUUUUUAUUUCGUUUGACUUCAAAAUAAAAAAUUGACCCCUUUCUUUUAUGCAAUUUAUUUUCUGAAAUCAGAGCCCAUCUUUGUAGAUACGACCUUUCAGCACUUCAGGAGGAAGACGUGACCAAUGCUCUUAUGAUGUCUCCCCGGGGUAUAAUCUCCAUUAAGCCCGGAAGGCCCCCCAAAUAUUUCCAUAUCUCAUCUUGCCCUUGUAUACCUAUAUCAUUCCACCAUAGUCGCAACUCCGAAGGGAUUCGGCUUACAAAUGAAAAGGAGUCAUUUUGGAUUGUGCUCAUCCUGCAAAUUUGAGGCGAAUUAGUAACUUAUGACUUUAUUCCCGUUUGACUUCAGAAACCAAAAAUUGACCCCUUUCUUUUAUGAAAUUUAUUUUCUAAAACCAAAAGCCUAGCUUUGCGAAUACGGCCUUUCAGCACUUCUGGAGGAAGUUUUUAAGGCUGUGCCUGCUAGCUGGCCAAAAAUACAAUAAAGACCCAAAGGUGGCCGUUUGUGCAAAAUCAGCCUUCCGGGUCCCGUUCGGGAACAUUUAGCUAUUCUUGACAAUAACGGCAUCACCCGAUUUAUUUAGGACAACAAAUAAAAAUAUGACAUUUGUUUUGGCUAUUUUUUGCAAAAAGGGAGGUUGGACCCGAUGGGGGUUGCCUACGUAUCUCACACCUGGUGAGGAUAAAACCGACGUAGUUCGGGCAAAACAUUUUGUCAAAACCAAAAAUUUGUUGAAAACCCCCUUUUUCUUUAUCUUUUUUUGUUUUUUUCCUUUUGUUUUUUUCCUUUUGUUUUUUCCUUUUUUCUCUCUUUUUUUCUUUUUUUUCAAAAAUUCGGCAUUAUUUCGGCCCUAUUUAAGCAUUGAUUUUGCAAAACAAACAGUUACUCUUAGUCAUCCCUAAUACUACUAUUUUAUCAAUUUUUCUCUCCUUAUUCACGAGUCGGUCAACAUGCAAAUCCAAUGCAAGUAAAUGCGCAAGUAGCACGUAAUAUGCAUCAGGAUGGUCCUCUCAUUUCGGGUCACCUAUCUUAGACAAACCCAACCCCUAUGUUGAGUCCCCUGAGUCAAAUGCACGUGAUGCAAACAGAUGUUCCUACUAGGGAUCUUUGUUUUACUAAGUUCAGAACCUGGGUAUUUGUUCUAGAUUGUGUACCCGAGCGAACAACUCGAGUCAAGGAGGGGGCUACGUACCGGGGACCCACAAGAUCGUCUGGCUUAGUAACUUGUCCGAGCGUCUUUCUUAUGUCAAGGUAUGACACUAACAGAAUUGGGAGUCUUGACCAGUGAGCACAUCCCCGAAGAUGAAGAGAGAAGGGUUUCGUAACAAUUUAUAUACAAUUCAUCCAAUAUCAAAGCGGUAAAACAUUUAGCACAUUAUCAUGGAACAUGUAGGAAAAUCAUAAAAAGCCAGAUAUAACAGUUAUACUAAGCUCGAAUUGUCGAACCCUGAACCAGAGAUUCUGGGUUCGCUCCCCAGCAGAGUCGCCAGAGCUGUCAUACCUCCUUAUACACGGCCACCCUGAAGGAUAAAACGCAUAAGGGAGUUUUUCCAAUUAAAAUGACAUUAUUCAAAAUGGGAUUAUUUAUUUAGAGUCGCCACUUGGGAUAGGUUUACCUUUUGGCGUCCCAAGUCACCGGUUUAUUUAGAAUCUCAAAUCGAGGAAAUUUUUCAACUGUCCAAAUGGAGUCUGCAAACCAGAAAUUCUGAAUAAGGAAUUCUGCUGACCUUAGGGAAAGUGAUAGGCACCCUCGGAUCCCGUGGUUCUAGCACGGUCGCUUAAACUAUUAUAAUUGGCUAACAAUUCUGAUUUUUGUACAUGUUCAUCCUAUAAUGCAAUUUAAAAUUAUUUUAUACCGCUUUUAACAUUUUUUUAAGGAAAUUUGCAAUGUCAUUAAAACAUGUCGCGAACUGCGUCAUAUAAAUGCGCACACAGUUUUUGAUAUAUUUCACUUCAUUGAGAUUUGGAUUUGGGUCACAAAAAUGUGCACCCAUACUUAAGAAGAUAAAAUUAUUAAAGACGCGCCUAAAAGCGACUAACGUGUUAUUCUCUUUGCAGGAACGCUGUGAAAUUCGCUAAACGACAAAUCCUGAAUCUCUACGUAUUUAAAUAUGGACAUUUAAAGAGGGCACACAAUAUUUGGAUUUCGUUUGAUGCGCCGCACCUCAAUUUAUCAUUUUAAAGGCCGAUCCUAGAACAAACUAUUAUUCUCUUAGCUAAUUGGCAUUGAGUCCGGGCUUUCGAACUCAAGUCCAUAUUUAAAUAAGAAGAAAAUUUCCUUUAUUCCAAUGUGUUAUCUAGUUCAAAAAUCCGAAUUUAAUUCAAUCAUGCCUUCAGCUAAAGCUGGCCAGCAAAGACCAUUUGUGUUUGGGCGUUAAUGCAAGCCCAGAACUGAGAGAUACAUGGAUGGGUCGAUAUUGGACUUGAUAUUGCUGCCCAUCGAGUCCAAGGAAGGUCUAGUAAAUACGCAGAUACUUCCAAAUUUCCAGAUUUUUAUAUUGCAUCAUGUGAGUGAUAAAUAAUGCAAAGUAACGGGAAACUAGAACCAACUUUCAGGUCCACAUAUAAUCAACGAUUUUAUACUGUAUAAAGGUUCACAGGAAUAAUCCUAUAUAGACCUAUUAAAAACACCCAUUUACCCUGAGUUUAACCAUGAUAUAAUCACAUCAAUUAACACAAGCAUGUCACCGUACCAAGGUUUAUAGUAUAUUUGAAUUAUAAAUUCAUCACAUUGCCCACUACUCUAACACUUAAAAGGAUUAUUCUACUAUCAGUAUUUUUACUCAUGGAAUCAAAAACAAAACAAUUGUUUAACAGUCCAAAAUAGUCCUAUAAUUAUAUACGGUGAAUAUUUAAAGAAAUUAAAAGGCUACUUGAAAUUUAAACAACAAAUCCAGAAAUAAUUUAGUGCAGCGAGCUUCAUCUCUCGUCUCAAAUUGAUUUUUACAUGAUCAGGCUUAAGAAGUGUACCUGGAAUUUGAGUAAUGAAAGGCUGAGCGUCAGCAGGCUCAAGCAACAAUAUAAUCAACAGGAAUCAAUAGCUCAUGAGCAAUUAGGAGCCCAGGAAUGAUACCAAAUAACUAGGAAGAUUUUAAUACCCAACUAAACCAGAAAAAUACUCAAAUUACUCAAAUAAAACCCAACUAGCUGAAAAUAUGAACCCACGAUAAGAGUUGAAACCUUAUCACUUCAAAUAGGCAUAUUUUAAGUCUUUCAUCUUAUAGAGCUAAAACAUCUACUGGAUAGCUAAAAUUAGGAUUAUUCUGAGGAAAACAAGUCAAAUGGAACAGUAAAAACCACUGAAUUUCAGAGGAUUUCAAUACCUUGAUAAACUUUGGAUUUCUGGAAGCUUUUUCAGGAAUUUUUUAAGAUUCAUUAGGCUUCAAAAUUUCUGGAAAUUUUUUAGAGAUUUUCAGACUGUGUAAAAGCUUUUUUUGAAUGAAUUAGGGUGCCUUUUUUAAAGCCAAAGGCUAGGGCAACCCCUUUAUUUUGUUUAACACUAGUCCCUCUUUUAAUUUUCACUUUUUACUUACUUGGUCCUUUAUUUUCUGACAUGUUUCUCAACUGCACUAAAACUACUGAAUUUCAGACUAUGGCCAUCUUCUAGAAUAGACUAAAUGAUUCUAGCAUUGUUUUCUAUUUAUAGAAUACCUAUACUACCAUUAUCCUUAUCUUGAAAUUACCAGGCCUACCUCAAACAAACCCAACCCUUGCUCUCAAUCUUACUAUGGUCAAGUAAUAUUGGAUCAAUCAGCUUUACCCAAACAAACCUUAAAUCUGAAUUGGUUAUUUUAGUUUAUACUAAACCAAGACUAAACUGCUAUAUCCAACAAACUAGUAUCAAUUAGAGGUUCAGGAAUUACCAACAAAAUUAAAAUCAAUAAAAUCCUAGGAAUUAUGAUAUAACCAAAACUAAAAAUUGCUUCUAAUCAAAACAAAAAUACAAUCAAGUUUAAUUAAACAGAAUAAGAAAAAUGCAUAAUCAGAGAAUUUAGAACUAUAGAGGCAGAAUUUUUAACUAAACUAAAAAAGAAAAUCAAACAGUAACGUAAAAUCCGAAUUACUCAUAGAAAAAAUAAAAUAAUCUAAUAAGAAACAAAGCAUUAGAGACAGAAAUCAGAAAUCAAGUCUAAACUACUCAAAUAUCUUAAGAAUUAAACAUGCUGUAAUCUCCACUUAAACUAAGAAAAAUCAAAAAUAAUGUAAAAUCAAAUUAUUAACAAGAGAAAUAAAAAUAAAAUUAAUAAAAGAGAAAACAAUCAAAAAUGAAAGUGAGACUCAGUGAUUGGGUCUUCAAAGAAAGCUUGGAUGGAUUCGACUUGAAUCCCAAACGGAGUUAUAUGUUUGUUUUGGUCAAAACGAACAUGCAACUCCAUUUGGGAACUCAAGUAUAGCCUUGAUAGUCCGUCUCAAAAUUAGUCAAUUCCCAGAUUUGAAAUUCGAGACAAUUUAGGGUUGUUCCAAGGAGAUAGGGUUCGGUUUUGGGUAGAAGAGGCCAAGGAGAGUAUGGGGUGUGUUUUUGGUAGCAAUAGGAGCCAGUGCCGCCAUGGACGGCGGAGCAGCCGCUCCUUUGGAGGAAUAUUUGAAGCGUUUGGCUAGGGUUUAAUGGUUGGUUUAUGGGUUGGAAAGAGGAUAAGACGUGGAGUAUGGGGUGUUAAUUUGGGUGGAUUUGGAGUUACGCCGCCACUGGCGGCAUUUUCUGGCAGGCGGUGGGCAGUGGAGAGACGUUGGGGAUACGGUUGUGUUACACCGAAGGUCGGUUUGGUACGAGGAGGAUGAUUUUUGUCUCUGAGGGUUGUGAGUGUCAUUCAGACACUUUUAUUAAAAAUGUGAGGCUAAAUAUGGGCCGUUAGAUCAAAAGUAAUGAAUGACUGAGAUCAAAUGGACGUCAAACGACGUCGUUUGGAUGUCUUCUCUGGCAGGACCGGGUAUGGGGUUGGGUCUGGGUUGAUUUGGUGGGUCUGGUGGUUUGGGCUCCAAAUUGUGGCCCAAAUCAUGGUCUUUAGUGAGAAAACCCAAUUUGUGUAUUUUUUUCUUUUUUAAUAUUAUUAAAAUUUAUUUUUAGACUUUAAAAAAUUAAUUAACAUCCACAAAAAAAUAGACUAAAACAUAUUUAACAUCCACAAAGUAAAUUAAUUAACCAUCUAAAAUAACCUAAAUUCUAAAUUUAAAAAAGGAAAUUAAACAAAUGUAAGAAUAAACAAUUUUUUUAUUAUUUUCAAUAUUAAUUAACUAAUAACCCAAAAUAAAAAAAUAAAAAUAUAAGUCUUAGAUGCAAAACAUGCUAUUUUUGUAUUUUUAAUGAAAAACUGCACAACAUGAAAAUAAACACACAACCAUGCAAUUAAAUUCCUAAAAAGUCAAAUAAUAAAAGGAAAAAUGCAAAUAAACACAAAAUGACGCAAUUAAUUCCUAAAAGUUCAAAUGAUAAAAGAAAAUUCAUAAUUUUAAUGAAUUUUAUAGGAAUAUUUUGAGCGAGGCAAAGAUCACGUGCUCAUACCUUCCAAUUCAAAGCUAGGUUGUAUCCUUCUUCAUUUCAAGCAGUUCUUUUCUGUUAUAUCAAAUUUCGUGCCGCAUAAUAGUCCAUACUUCAAAUUAAUCCGUAGGCCAAAACCACCAAUCACUAAUAUUCUCAAAUCACUCCAAACUCUCCUUAAGGUGCGUGAUCAUCCUGCCACAAACCCAUAUUCAACUCCGCCACUUUCCCACUUUGGUGAAAUUACCCCUUUGGUCAACUACCCGACCUUUGCUUCUUAUACCUGGCCUUCUAGAAAUUUUAACCACUGCUUGAUACUCUCCUCAUGUCCUUCCUCAUUCUUUGUUGCUCAGUUAUUGCCUUAAAUAAAAUCUAUCUUCAUAACACUUGAACCCACCAAUCACUACUAACUUUACACCUUUUCAAGGAUCAUCUUUCCCACUGUUGACAAUAGAAACAUCGAUUCAAUCCUGAACCACCGCACCCCGUAAUCUCUGACAUUCACUUCUUCAAAAUUGUCUCAUAACAUCCUGCUUCAAAGGCGAAUUGUAGAAGAUCAUAACAUCGGUGAACUUAGUAAAUUCAACAGUACAACGACACCUGAACACGGAUGAUAAUUCUACCAUGCUUGCAAAUAGCAAGCCUCGUUACUCCAUCAACCCAAAUUUUAAUAUUUUAGCCUGAUUGCCUUUCCUCCGCUGGAAAUAAAUGUAAGGCCCUGUGAAUUUCAUACUCAAAAAACCCCGAAUCUCGUAGUGCCAGGUUGGGAUCAUGUGUUAGAAAUUCAUAAAAGAAUGUUCAGACCUUUCGAGUUGAUCAUUCUAUUAAAAAGUCAAGAAAUUAUGUUUCCAGAAAAAAGUGCAAUUUUGCGGUCGAUAAUGCGGUCGCAUAUCAGGUAUGCAGACCUUAUUUUUGCUAUAGAGUGAGUCGGUGUGUUGGCCAAAUUUGAAGUCAACUAUGCGGUCAAUUAUACAAUCGCAUAACAAAAAUGUGGACUACAUAGUCGUCGCAUAAUUUUUUUGGGAUUUUGUAGGGGCAGUUCUGCGGUGCAUUUUGUGACUGCAGAUGAAUGUGGACCGCAUAUCUGCUGCAACCCAGUCAGUGUGUCUAGUUUUUGGGGAGCAUUUUGCGAUCCACUCUGCGGACCGCAUGAUUGCAGAUCUGACUCGGGGCUCCUAUUUUCUAAAAUCCGACUCCACCCUAUUAAGAACGCCCCAAUAGAUCUUUUUCUGUUACUUUGCUCAACAUAGAGAGAGAGGGGGGAGUUCUUAAGUGAGAAGAGGUGAUCUUCAUCAAGCUCUCUUUAAAUCCUUGAACAAACCCUUGAAGAUUGUUAAUUGAGGCUACUAGGUCUUCAUCCUAAUUGGUAAGAACUGUACCCUCAUCAAUAAUUUCAAUUAUUUCUAUUAAAAUGAGUAGUUAGCAAGUGAAUACAUGGGUAUAAGGAUAGUAAUUUCAUGCAUAGGAGACAAUGGGAUAUGGGGAGGAUGAGAAUUAAAAAGAAAGCAAUUGGGGUAUAAUGUAGAAGAAAUUUCCUUAUGAAGGGGCUAAGAUCACAAUGCACCUUUGGUGUUUGAUAAAAUGCUCAAAUUAGCUAGAAUCUCAAUCUUGUCUCUAAAUUUCAGUUCGUUUUGUAGUUCUUGCACAAUAGAUCGAAGUGCUAAGAGUUUCGAAAUUUUGUAAAGAUUAAGGAGAACUAUAUUGAGGUAUGUAUGGCUAAAACCCCCUUUUAUUAUAAAUUGAGCUCCGUUGGCAUUUCCACAGGUGCGGUAAGACUAGAAUUGGUUUAUGUAUUGAUUGUUACUUCACAUUAAUUGAUUUGCAACUGUAUACAUAUAUGCAUGAAGGAUGUGCCUCAAUGUGAGUAAUAUAAAAUUCUUGAUAUUUAGAUAAGUUUUAAGAAUACGAAUCAUGUGUUGAAAUGCUUAGGCUAAAAGCCAAGAUUAAAACCGAGAUUUGUCAUGCUAACUAUGUGGAAACUAACAUGUGCUUGUAACCUAAAUUGCUUAUAUAUGCCUAUGAUCGUGAAAUUGUAAGAUGGAUACCGAAAAUGGAAUGAUGUGAUAAUUGUGGGCUUAAGUGCCAAUGAACUGAAAUGAUCUAUGUGAAACAAAGAUUUAAAUGAGAUGACCAAUAUGUCUAGGUAAGGUGGCUUAGCCAGUCAAGCUGUGAUCGGACACCAUGCCGCACACAUGGUGGUAAUGUGCUAACAUUGAAUUAUGGGAAAAAAGAAAUGAAAUGGUGAUUGUGAUGUAAGCCUCAAGUGAGGCAACCUAGCCGAUCGGAUCGUGAUUGGACUCCCCUUAAGAUAGCAGUGACAUUAAGGACAUAGAUGAAUGUGAGCACGUGAUUUUUGCCUCGUUAAAAUUACUCCUACAGAAUUCUCAGAGUUAGGAUUUCUCCUUUUAUUUUUCAAUAUUUAUGAUUUAAUUGCGCAUGUUUGUGUGUAUUUUUAUUGGUGCGUGCAUGAUAAGUCAUACAAAAUACAAAAAACUUGCAUGAGCAUUUUAGGAUUUGAUUUUUACAUAAUUUUGCUAGAAUUAAUUAGUAAUUAGGUUUUUGUUUUACAAAAUAUAAAAAUUACAAAGAAAACGUUGAUUUUUUUUAAUUUUUCUUUUAAUAAUAGUAGUUUAAUUGUGAUUUAAUAGUUUUGAAUAACUUUUCGUGUUUAAUUGUAGUUGAAUUUUAAAAAUUGAAACAAUUAUUAAAUAAUAGGUAAUUGAAAAAGAAUUAAAAAAGAGAAAAAAAAAAAGAGAUGAAUCAGGUUGGCCUUACAAUUGAGCCAAAGCUAGAUGGCCCAAACACCCCCUACCCGUCCAAACCACCCUAAAACCGGCCCGAACCCAUCCUAAACCCGGUCUUUCAUUAAGGGACGUCCCAAAACAACAUCAUUUUAGGGCCAGUAAUAUUAAGCGUUCAUAUGCCAUCAUUCAACGGCCCUGGAUCAAUCUCAAUUAUUAAAUAAAGAUGUUCGAAAUUGUGCCAAACCCUAGAGAUCAAAUAUCACUUCCUUGUACCUAUCGUCUCCACUGAUACUCUACCUUAAAGUCACCGACCGGAAAUUGUCGCCGACGGAGGCGAAGCACCAAUACCACCCAAAAAUACACCCCUGAACCACUAUUCCCUCCUCUUUCUAAUGCCCAAAAAACCAACUUUCAACUAUGAGCCAAACCUUUCGAAUAUAGGAAUUUGUGGACGUCGCCUCCGCCGCCUACGGCGACGCCACUGCCGAAACCCUCUAAAAAUAACACCCCAGGUUCCUUACCCCAUCCCCAUAAUGGAUCCAGCCUCAAUUUCUUUCAAACUUUAGCCAAUCACCUUGAAUAUUCAUUCAAAGCUCCAAUCAAAUCCUCAACCUCCCCGGAAUUCCCUAAAAUUGACACCACAUAACCCCAUCACCUCCAUCUCCAUGAAUCUAUAACCAGUAACCCUCGAAUAUGACCGGUUCGUGUCAAAAAUCAAAUCAAAAAACCAAUCUAAAGCCCAACCCAUUCCAAACCCAACUAAUCUUACACCCGCUAUUGUUUUCACCCUCUUUCUCUCAAAUUUCUGUUCAGCGUCUCUCAAAUGUCAAAAGACCAUCUCAAAUUUGAAAUCAAGGGAUGGCCGGAAACCCUAAAAUUCAAAGGUCAUGGGCUUUUGGCCAUGCUAGUCGUUAAGCUAAGUUUCCCUGUUCAUGUUUUAUUUUCAUCUUGUUGUUACAUGUUUGUUCUACGCUAUUUGUUCUUUCUUAUCUGAUAAUGAUUUUCUAUUAGUUUAUUUGCAAUUUUGGUCUAUUCAGAAUUAUGUUCCUCUGUUUAAAGUCGUUGAUAAUCCGCUUUGAAUGAUUCCUUGUCGAUUGGAAUUCUAGAUUUUUCUUUUUAGAUUGAGUCAUUCUGUAUUGAUCCAUGAACAGCAUGUUUGAGUAAUUCAAAUUGAAAAGUUGAGGAUUGAGUUGGUUUGAUAAGAAGUGAUUAUUUCAUCAUGCUUAGGAUUAAUUUGGGGUUUGUGAUUACAUGAUUCUUGUUUAGCAUUUAGUCAGUAUUGAGGUCUUCAAUUUUAUUGAUUCUGUUUGCUUUUGAAUUUAGUUAAAAUAAUUGAUGAAACUUCAGUCUCCUUUACAUCUAGUGUCCAUGUUUAUUAUUACAUUUUGGCUCAGUUUAGUUAGGGUGAUAAUCAGACUGGGUUGGGUCAGGGUUAAAUCAUGCUAAAUUAACUAUAGUCAAUUUUUGACCAACUUGAUAAGAAGUGGGGUGUAGUUGGUUAGGCUGAGUAAUUGAGGGGAAAGGACAAGGGUAAUAGGGGUAUUUGGGUAUAGGAAUCUUGCAACAGACCCCUGGAACCUUCUAGUUGGAGGUUCAAAGACUAAUUUCUUAUAAUUUUCUAAUAAGAGGCACAAGCUAGAAAUUGAGGUACUAAAUAAGCAAUUAUGAGAAAUAGGAAAGGGACUAGUGAAUAAAACACAAAAGAAAAGAGUUGCCCUAGGUCGGUGUUAUAAAUAGGCAAGUGAGUGCUUUCAUAAAAAAACUGAAACAAAAACCCCUGAAGAGUCUGAAAAUCUUUGCAAAAAUUCCCAAGUGUUUUGAAGUCUCAAAAUCCCUGGAAAAAUCCUUCUGAGCUAGCACAAUAGUAGGUCUGAUUCCAGAAAAUCUAUUAAAACUAAAAAAACACAAAAGGCAAAGGAAUGCUAGAAUUAUUGUUCCAUUAACACCAAUCGCGUUUGAAUUCAAACUAGAAGUUAUUCUGUGUUAAGAGUUGUGUAGAUCCUUGGUUUAUUUUGCGCAAAAAACUCUUUAGCUGUCACUAGGUGUCGAGCUUGGUUUUCUUUUAAUCUAUUGGUGGAUUUGCUGCUAUUAUUGUCUCUUGCUUACCUACUCAUACGUGUUUCUUCUUUGCUGUAAUUCCAGGUACACACACAUGAACCCGAUCUGAUGUAACCAUGUUUUGAAAUCGAAAUGAUAAGCAUUCCAUGCAUUCUUCCUUUUAAUUGAAUCUGGUUGGCCUUCAAUAAUGUAGAAUCGUGUAGUCUUAAACGAUUUGUAAUAUCUGGUGUAUCUUAGUUUGAACUGUAUGCAUAGACCAUUUUGAGUACUAGUAGGAUGAUAUAUCUUAUGUAGUAAUGUUUAGAUUGAUUAGUUUCUUACACUUAAUUAAAUAGUAGUGAUAGUACGUAUGCACUUAUGCAGAUUUGUAUAAAUAAGUCUAUCAUUUUGGUUAAAACUUGAUUUUCAACAUGUGAAUCCUGAAAUUUGAUAAUUCCUGCUUUAAGAUUUAGGAGUUGUGUAUUACCAUGCUAAAUAUUUAGAUUGUUAAAGCAACACAACACAAAUAUUAACAAAGUUAACUUAUAACGGCUGUAGCGUUGUAAUUUCUGGAUUUUGAUCCUUGAUUCAUGAUUGGUGUUUAUGUUGUUUCCUCCAGUUUCUGGGCUCCAAUUGUUGGGCCCAAAUGAUUACCGCCCGAGAUCAAUAAAUGUUGAGCCUUCUGGGUUAGUCUUCCGGACAAUGCGCCCAAAUGCGAAAUCAGUACAGAAAAACAUACUGAAGAUAUGCAUGUUGAACGUUUUUGAGGUAAAUCAUUAACAUGUGAAUUAAUUAGAACUUCUCCUUUAUUUUACAGACGUCAUAUGAUAGACAAUCGUAGUUACUUUAUGUUACCUUUCUAAAAGCAAAAGAGGUGCACUACGCCAAACCAAAUCAUACGGUGUGUGGCCUUUUAAUCAUAGUAAAAUGCUUAGAAAUCCGGGAGAUGCCGUUUAGCGAAUUUUGAGGUUUUCCCACGAAGUUAAAAACGCGUAGCUGCUUUAGGCACAUUAUUUUAAUAAUUUAUCUUCCUUAAUUACGGUUGCACAUUUAUGUGACCCAAAUCCAAAUCCCGAUGAAGUUGAAAGAUAUCAAAAACUACGUGCACAUUUAUGUAACAUGGUUUGCGAUAUAUUUUAGCGACAUCGCAAAUUUCCUUAAAAAGCAUCAAAAGCGGUGUCAGUAAUUAAAUUGCAUUUUAGGAUGAACAUGGGUAAAAUCAUAUUCUUAGCCACUUAUAAUAGUUUAAGCGACCAUGCUAGAACCAUGGGAUCCGAGGGUGCCCAACACCUUCCCUCGGGUAACAAGAAUUCUUCUGGUUCGAAGACUCCAUUUGGGCAGUCGAAAUUUUCCUCGAUCUGGGAUUCAAACAAACUGGUGACUUAGGACACCAAAAGACAAACCUAUCCCAAGUGUAGACUCUAAAUAAAUAAAUAAAUAAUCUCAUUUCAAAUAAUGUCACUUUAAUUGGAAAACUCCCUUAUACGUGUCAUCAUUCGGGGUAAUUGUGUAAAAAGGAAGUGUGACAGCUCUGGCGACUCUGCAGGGGAUCGAACCCAGAAUCUCUGGUUCAGGGUACAAGAAUUCGAGCUUAGGAUAACUGUUAUAUUUAGCUUUUUUCUGAUUUCAUUACAUGUUCCAUGUUAAGUGCUAAAUCCUUUUACCGCAUUGAUAUUAUCUGAACUGUAUAAACUGCUACGAAACCCUUCACUGCUCACCUUCGGGGAUGUGCUUACUUGUUAAGACUCUCUAUUCUGUUAGUGUCAUACCUGAAAAUAAGAAAAGGCCGGACAAGUUACUAAGCCAGAUGGCCUUUUGGUUCCCAGUACGUAGCCUCCUCCUCGACUCGGGUUGUCCGCUCGGUUGCACAGUCUAUACCCUAUACCAAGGUUUUUUAACUUAGAAUAACAUGACUUCAUGCAGGAUCCCUAGUUGGAACGCUUAUUUGCACCAUACGUUUGACUUAGGGGGCUCAACACAGGGGUUAGAUCCGUCUAGGACAAGUGACCAGAAAUAAAAGACCAUUCUGAUGCACUUUACCUGCUACUUGUGCAUUUAUUUGCUUUGGAUUCGCAUGUUGACCGGCUUGUGAACAAGGAGAGUAGAUUGAGGAAAAUAGUAGUAUUAGGGUGACCACUUGUAAAACCUAUGCUCAAAUAGCACCGAAAUGCUGCCGGAUUUUUCAAAAACAAAAAAAAAACAAAAGAAAAAAACAAACAAAAGAAAAUGGGGGUCUUUCAAUAAUAUUUUGGUUUUGAUAAAUUGCUUUAACCGAACUACGCCGGUUUGAUUCUCGUCCGGAGCGAGAUACGCAGGAAACCCCCAUCGGGUCCAACCUCCCUUUUGCAAAAAUAACCAAAAAAAGGAAAAUAAUUGGCCAUUUUUAAUUAUUUUCAUAAAUAAAUCGGGUGAUGUCGUCACUGCCAGAAACAGCCGAAUGUUACCACAAGGGACGCUGGAAGACUGAUUCUGCACAAAUAGCCACCUCUGAGUCUUAUUUGACCGGCAAGAGAGCACAGCCUUAGAAGAACAUGCAGGGCUUGAGUGGGCAAAAGAGCGUUUCCUACAUAGAUCUGUGCAUGUUCCCGCAUGUACAUCUUCCCCUGGGAUUUAAAAUGCCGAAGUUUGAAAAGUACAAUGGUCAUGGUGACCCCAUUGAUCAUUUGAAAAAGUACUGCAACCAAUUGCGUGGGGCAGGUGGAAAAGAAGAACUGUUGAUGGCAUACUUCGGGGAGAGUUUGGUAGGCAUCGCUUAAGAAAGGUACAUGGACUAAGAUAUCGCACGAUUGCAUAUUUGGGAUGAUCUUGCCCGGGAUUUCAUAAGGCAAUUCCAGUAUAACAUUGACAUUGCCCCGGACAGAAAUUCUUUGGCCAACCUAAAAAAGAAACCUUCAGAAUGUUUUAGAGAAUAUGAUGUCAAGUGGCAUGAGCAAGCAUCGAGAGUAAAUCCGCCCAUGGAUAAGAUAAAGAUGGUCAUUGUUUUUAUCCAGGCACAGGAAGAAGAUUAUUUUCAAAAUAUGAUGUCAGCAAUAGGCAAACCUUUCGCGGAAGCAAUCAAGAUCGACGAGAUGGUAGAAAAUGGUUCGAAAACAGUAAGAAUUCUGAGCCAGUCAGCCAUAAUGGCAACCUCAUAGUCCAUCCAAGGCGGGGCAGGAGGAGUCGCAAGAAACAAAAAGAAAGAAGAAGCUUCAAUGGUAGCCUCCGGUAUAAGAAGACACCAUCCCCCAGGCCCAUAUUCUUAGAAAGGACCUCUCAACACUACUAUCCCCAUCAAGACAUGCAUUAUGUUCCCCAACCUUAUGCAGUGGCCCCCAGAAAUGAGCCUCCCCAAAACCACUAUAAUCCUCGCCCUCCCCAAAAUAAUUUUCUUCCUAGGGAGCCGCCCAGAAGACAAAACUUUACACCGAUAGAGGAGUCUUAUUCCAGCUUAUUCCCAAAACUGGUCCAGAUGGGUGUCUUGCAGCCCGUGCCCCCGAACAGGUAGAACCCCGAGUCACCUUCUUAUCAACGGGGUGUACGUUGUGCUUACUAUUCAGGAGCUAAAGGACACAACACCGAAAAUUUUAGGACUCUAAAGCGAGCUGUCGAGGAUCUAAUAGAACAAAGGAAAGUAGUGUUGAGAGAUGAAGAUGUCCCGAACGUAACUAAUAACCUGUUACCGGCCAACAACGGGGUAGUCAUCAUGAUGAUUUGCAAGGACAAAGAAUUUGAUCCUGCUCUGAAAGUCAUAAUAGCCAUUGCUGAUGUAGGUAGAAAGCCAAAGGUUACCCCCAAAAAGGUUGAAGAAAGGAAUUGAGUGAAGCCAAGCACUCGGAAGCAGAAAAGAAGGUUGAGGUUUAAAUUGAGACGGCACCUGUCAAUGAAACUGUCCUUUACAUCCCACGGGGUCAUUAAGAAAAACAGCCCACUCUGAGUCCCCCAAGAAGAUUCGAGUUGAACAAGAUGAUAUACGUACCCAAGGGAUCUUAUGUGGUGCAAGGAUCGAUUAAACCGCCAAGGGUGAAUGAGCCUGUGGUAAUCGGUCGCCCGCCUCAGAAGCCAAUGACAAACCCUUGUGCAGUCCCGUGGAACUAUCAAGAAACAAUAGUAACAUACAACGGCAAAGAAAUCACUGGGAAAAAUCAAAAAGGCUACCUUGCAAAGAAAUAUUCGGACCUGGAAGAGGUGAACAAUGCAACCAAAAGGCGAUUCCCACCCAAAAAACCUGUAAAUGCCUAAGAGGCGGAGGCCUUCUUUGGAAAGAUGAAAAUACGGACUACUAAGGUAGUCGACCAGCUCCGGAAGUCUCUCGAGAAAGUCUUUUUAUUAUCAUUGCUGAUGAAUUCUCCAGAGCACCAGAAAGUGUUAGACAAAACUUUAAAUGAAGCUUACGUGCUGGUUCAAACCUCUGUGGAACAACUGGAGAAAAUGGAAGAAAGAUUCUUCACUUUUAAUCAGAUUACAUUCAGCAAGAAUGAUUUGCCUCCGGAGGGAGCUGCCUAUAACAAAGCCCUGAAUCUCACCGACAAAUGCGAAGGCUAUUACGUAAAAAGAGUAAUGAUAGAUGGAGGUUCCGGGUGGACAUAUGCCCACUGUCAACAUUGCAAAGAAUGGAAAUCGGGGCAGAGAGGAUUCACACCAAUAAUGUGUGUGUCCGAGCUUUUGAAGGAAUUAAAAGAGACACCAUAGGAGAAAUUGACUUGGUAUUGACCAUUGGUUCGGUCGAUUUUGAGGUAACAUUUCAAGUAGAUAUGGACACGUCAUACAACUAUCUCCUAGGAAGACCAUGGAUUCACGCAGCAGGAUAUGUGCCUUCACUCUGCAUCAAAUUUUGAAGUUUGAAUAUGAGAACCAGGAAAUCGUGGCCCAUGGAGAAGAUGAAAAAUCACUUUACCGUGAUCCCUCCAUCCCCUGCCUCGAAGCUAAAAAAGGUAGUGAGCAUAUAGUUUACCAGGUUUUAGAAAGCGUGGUAGUUGAUCAACACGAAUAAGGAAAACCAUUUCCCCAGCCUUUCUCUCCAAUGCCUCAAUCAAGGUGGCAAGAGAGAUGAUACGUCAAGGAUUUAAACCAGGUAAGGGACUUGGAAGUUCUCUAUAAGGCAUAAAUGAGCCAAUCACUUUGCCCACCACAGAGAAGUUUUUUGGGCUAGGUUUCCACCCAACACCAGAGGGUAUCACCUGGGCCAACCGUAGAAAACGUAAUGGAUGGGCUUUACCACAACCCCUACCCCACUUAUACGAAACAUUUGUGAAGCCAAAGUACAGUGAGGAAGAAGAAGACGAGACCUUCACAACGGAGGAAAUUGAAUAAAUAUGUGGAGCCAUGAGGAAAUUAUUGUAUGAAGACAACAUGGUCUUGCUUGGAGAAGGCUCAAGCACUGUUGAGGUGCUCUACAUGGGACUGGAUGCCAAGUUGCAAAACUGGAAAGCUACGCCUUUUCCAGUCAGGCGGGAGGCCCGGUAGUCCUACCUUGCCACUUUUUCUUGCAUCACGAGUUAUUUUAAGGCAUAGCUCGGGUGUUUUUCCAUUCGUAUUUUGUCCUUUAAAUUCCAAAUGUAAACCCUGUUAUCUUAGAAUUUCAAAGAAAUGAAAUCAAUAUUUCAUUGUCUACACUCCUCUAUAUUUAUUUGAUUUUGUUUUUCUUUUAUUUAAUUUUUCUUUCAGUUCAAUUAAUGCGGCUUUAAAUAAUAUGACAUGCUCACGGACUUCAUGCCCCGACCCGAACAUGCCGCCUAUUUGUGAAACAAUAAAUCAAGAACCAGAGUAUGAUGAAGAAGAGGCUUUUAGCUAAAUCAACCGAGAGUUAGAAAAUUUUGAAAAUAAACCUAAGACGAACUUAAAUGAUACCGAACCGGUUAAAUUGGGUGGUCCCGGCGAAACUAGGAAAACUAAAAUAAGCAUCCAUGUGAAUAAGGGAAUCCGGGACUCACUGGUUCAACUUCUUUUUGAAUUCAAAGAUGUGUUUGCUUGGUCUUACAACAAUAUGCCUGGGUUGAGUGUUGAUUUGGUGGUUCAUAAGUUGCCUACAUACCCCGAAUGCCCUCNNNNNNNNNNNNNNNNNNNNNNNNNNNNNNNNNNNNNNNNNNNNNNNNNNNNNNNNNNNNNNNNNNNNNNNNNNNNNNNNCCCGAGUGCCCUCCAGUCCAACAAAAACAAAGAAAGUUCAAACCUGAUAUCAGCGAUAAGAUCAAAGAGGAGAUCACAAAAUAGUUAGAGGCGGGAGUAAUCCGAGUGAUUUGAUAAACCACAUUGUUGGCCAAUGUGGUCCCAGUACCGAAGAAAGAUGGGAAAACCCAAGUAUGUGUAGACUACAGAGAUUUGAACAAGGCGAGUCCCAAAGACAACUUCCCUUUGCCUAACAUCCACAUCCUUGUUGACAACUGCGCCAAACACGAUAUUCAGUCCUUUGUAUAUUGCUAUGCAGGAUACCACCAAGUGUUCAUGAAUGAGGAAGAUGCUAAGAGAACUGCUUUUACCACACCUUGGGGAACUUAUUGUUAUAGGGUUAUGCCUUUCGGUUUAAAGAACGCCGGGGCAACAUAUAUGAGGGCUAUGACCACCAUUUUUCAUGACAUGAUGCAUCAAGAGAUAGAAGUAUAUGUGGACGAUGUGAUUAUCAAGUCCAAGACUCAGGGUGACCAUGUACGGGACUUAAGAAAGUUCUUUGAAAGGCUUCGCAAGUAUGAUUUGAAAUUGAAUCCAGACUCAGGAUGAUCAUGUAAAGGACUUAAGAAAGUUCUUCGGGAGGCUUCGCAAGUAUGAUUUGAAAUUGAAUACAGCCAAGUGUGCAUUCGGGGUUCCAUCUGGCAAACUUCUAGGAUUCAUUGUCAGCCGAAGAGGUAUUGAGUUGGAUCCAACCAAGAUAAAAUCCAUUCGAGAGCUACGUCCUCCAAAAACCAAGAAGGAUGUAAUGAGCCUGUUGAGAAGACUAAAUUACAUUAGCCGAUUCAUCGCCCAGCUGACUUCUACAUGCGAGCCCAUAUUAAGACUAUUGAAAAAGGACGCAGCAAUUAAAUGGACUGAUGAGUGUCAAGAGGCUUCCAAAAGAAUCAAAAAUUACAUGUCCAACCCACCAGUCUUGGUCCCCCCGGAACCAGGAAGGCCAUUGUUUCUUUAUUUAACAGUCCUGGAGAGCUCCUUUGGUUGCAUUCUUGGGCAACAUGAUGCCACGGGAAAGAAGGAGCAAGCCAUAUAUUACUUGAGCAAGAAGUUUACCAGUUACGAGGCCAAAUACACGCUGCUAGAAAGAACCUGUNNNNNNNNNNNNNNNNNNNNNNNNNNNNNNNNNNNNNNNNNNNNNNNNNNNNNNNNNNNNNNNNNNNNNNNNNNNNNNNNNNNNNNNNNNNNNNNNNNNNNNNNNNNNNNNNNNNNNNAGCUCAGAAGCUGAGGCAUUACUUGCAAGCCCACACCACCUACCUCAUAACUAGGCUGGACCUGUUAAGGUAAAUAUUCCAAAAACCGAUGCCCACAGGACCAUUGGAAAAAUGGCAAAUCCUACUCACUGAGUUCGGCAUAGUCUAUGUCACUCAUACUGCAAUGAAGGCUCAAGCAUUAGCAAAUCAUCUGGUCGAGAACCCAGUUGACGAUGAGUAUCAACCUCUGAAUACCUAUUUCACUGAUAAAGAAGUGAAUUUGAUGGAGGUAACAUCUGAAGAUAUCUCUGCUUGGAAAAUGUUUUUUGAUGGAGCAGCAACUGCGAAAGGCAUACGAAUUGGGGCAAUUUUAAUCUCACCCAUUGGUCAACAUUACCUGGCUACAGCAAAGCUCCGGUUUUUCUGCACCAACGAUAUAGCUGAAUACGAGGCUUGCAUCAUGGGCAUGAAUAUGGCCAUCAACCAAGACGUUGAGGAAUUGUUAAUCAGGAGGGAUUCAGAUUUGAUUAUCCGACAGGUCCAAGGAGAGUGGGAAACAAAAGACGUCAAACUCAUCCCCUAUCGACAGCAUGUGGAAGAUCUCAGCAAACGGUUCAAGUCGGUGCAAUUCAGGUACAUUCCUCGUUGUCACAAUGAGUUAAUAGAUGCGCUCGCAACUCUGGCUUCCAUGCUGCCCUACCCUGGAAAUGCCUGCGUCGAUCCUUUGGAAAUCCAAAUCAAGGAAAGGCAUGGGUAUUAUAAUGUGACUGAGGCAGAAUCCAGCACCCAGCCCUGGUAUUAUAAUAUCAAGUAAUUUUUGAAAACACAAGAGUAUCUCGAGCAUGCUACCGGGGAGCAAAAGAAACCAUCCGACGGCACGCGAGUAGUUUCUUCUUGAGUGGUGAUACCUUAUACAAGAGCACCCCAGAUCUCAACUUGCUGAGAUGUGUUGACACUGAGGAAGCUGGGAGAAUUAUGCAUAGGUACACAUAGGAGUGUGUGGACCUCAUAUGAACGGGUAUGUACUGGCAAAGAAAAUUUUUCGGGCAGGGUAUUACUAGAUGACCAUGGAGAAAGAUUGUUUCAGUUUCGUUUGGAAGUUUCAUCAAUUUCAGGUGCACGGUGAUUUAAUUCAUGCACCGCCAACUGAAUUGCAUCAUAUGCCAGCACCUAUGCCAUUCGCUGCCUGGGGCAUAGAUGUUAUAGGACGAUUGAGCCAAAAGCCUCAAAUGGACAUAGAUUCAUAUUGGUUUCUAUUGACUACUUCACAAAAUGGGUUGAAGCCAUCACACUUAAGUCUGUCACCAAGAAAGCUGUGGUAGAUUUUGUGCUUUCCAACAUCAUUUGUCGUUUCGGUAUCCCCGCAACCAUCAUUACAGAAAACCCAGCCAAUCUGAACAGUCGUCUGAUGGAAUCGCACUUAAGUCCGUCACCAAGAAAGUUGUGGUAGACUUUGUGCAUUCCAACAUCAUUUGCCGCUUCGCUAUUCCUGCAACCAUCAUUACAGACAACACGACCAAUCUGAACAGUCGUCUGAUGGGAGAAAUAUGUGAACAAUUCAAGAUAACACAUAGAAACUGUCCAUCACAAAAAAAGCCGGUAGACUUUGUGCAUUCCAACAUCAUUUACCGCUUCGGUAUUCUUGUAACCAUCAUUACAGACAAUGCAGCCAAUCUGAAUAGUCGUCUGAUGGGAGAAAUAUGUGAACAAUUCGAGAUAACACAUAGAAAAUCCACUCCUUACCAUCCCAAAGCCAAUGGUGCCGUCGAAGCAGCUAAGAAGAACAUCAAGAAGAUUUUGAGAAAAAUGAUUCAAAGUUCAUGACAAUGGCAUGAAAAGCUGCCUUUUGCAUUGCUAGGAUAUCGCACCACAGUGCGCAUAUCGGUAGGGGCAACUCCGUAUUUACUGUCUAUGGGACUGAAUCCGUCAUACCUGCAGAGGUAGAAAUCCCUUCACUCCGGGUAAUUGUCGAAGUAGAAAUUGAGGAUAGCGAGUGGGUUAAGACUCGGUUGGAGCAGUUGUCAUUAAUUGAUGAAAAGCGAAUGGCUGUGGUUUGUCACGGGCAGUUGUACCAACAAAGAAUGGCCCGCGCUUACAACAAGAAAGUGCGCCCCAUGAAUUUCUAAGUCGAAUAGCUGGUAUGAAUGGCUGCAGUUUGUCACGGGCAGUUUUACCAACAACGAAUAGCCUGCGCUUACAACAAAAAAGUGCGCCCUAGGAAUUUCAAAGUCGGACAGCUUAUAUUAAGUCGUAUUCUCCCUCACCAUCAGGAAUCUAAUGGAAAUUUUGCUCCGAACUAGAAAGGUCCAUACAUUAUCAGAAAGAUACUGCCCAAAGGAGCAUUGUACCUGGGUGACGUUGAAAGAGACGAGCCUGAGACAUUAGUGAUACAGUAAAAAGGUAUUACAUUUGAACUCCCUAUUGCAAUGAUUUUGGCCGGUGGAAAUGACGAAGGCUUUCUUUUCUGCUACCCUAAACACUACUAAUCCUUCACAAACCCCUCGAGCCGAUUAUGUUUCUUUGUUUACCCUCUUUGGAACCCAGAAUUGCUAUUCAAAAUAUAAAAUAGAAAAAAAGAAGAAGAAAAAUGAAUGAUAAAAAAAGAGAAAAAAAAAGAAAAAAAUGAAUAAAAAUGAAUGAUUGAAAACAAAAGAAUAACAAACAAAUUAGUUUAGGAAACACUUCCUGAACUACGUCUAACUUGAUUCUGAAAGGAUAGGUAGGCAGCCUCUCCCUGAGGUUCAGUCAUAUCAAAAUAAAACCCCAAUUACCCAAAAAUAAAACUGGGGUAGAGAUGUAAUAGGUCGGCCAUAAACUCGCCAGAGCGGUUCCAAAGGUGUAAGUUUCCAUCCAAUUUCCUUUACCCAAGAACCUGGCCCAAGUCGUUCUGAUCAAUUGGCCAAAGCAGGGACGUGACAAACACCAUUGUUGGGAUUUGGCACAACUCAAAUUGAGAGAAAUAAAAUGAGAGAGUCUUAUCGGUAAAAACCUUCAGGCAUCAUAAGGUGACGGUGAGUAGAGAAAAAAAAAAUGAGAGAGUUCGUUUAGUGUAAUCCAAAAACAAUUGGGACAAAUGGAAAAUGCAAUCAAAGGAACGACACAAAGGCUAAGAAUAGUGCACCAAUGAUCAACAAAAAGGUGAGGUUCUAUUUACAUCUUUUUCUACAGUUUUAUAAAAACAUGAUAGCAUGGGACUCUGAUCCUUGACUCUUUCCCAAGAUUUAGGGCCACAUCCUUAGUCUUCCCCAGCAUAACUUGUGGACCUCCUCAGCACAACCCAAGGAUCACGCCCCACUCUCCCCAGCAUAGACUGAGAAAUUUCUUUCUUUCAUUCCCCGGCAUAACCUGGGGGUUUCUCUCUAUGUCCCCAGCACAACCUGAGGAGCCUUUUCUUCUCUCCGUUCCCGGCAUAACCUAAGGUUCCUUCUUCUUCCUUUAUUCAGCAUAAUCUGAAGGCUAAACCCCUUCUGUCCCUAGCAUAACCUAAGGGUCUUUCCUUUCUUUCUCUAUCCUUAGCAUAGCCAGAAGGACUUAUGUGGCCUUUCACUCCUUACCAUUCCCCUGGCAUAACCCAGGAAUUUUCUCUUUCCAAUCCCGGCAUCACCCGCGGAUCUCCCUAGCAUAACCUAGGAGUUUUUCUUUCAAUCCCGGCAUAACCCGUGGAUUUCCCUAGCAUAACCUAGGAAUUUUCUCUUUCCAAUCCUGGCAUAACCCGCGCAUCUCCCUAGCAUAACCUAGGAGUUUUUUCUUUCAAUCCUGGCAUAACCCGUGGAUUUCCCUAGCAUAACUUAAGAACUUUUUCUUUCCAAUCCCGGCAUAACUCGCGGAUCUCCCUGGCAUAACCUAGGAUUUCUUCCUUCAAUCAUGGAAUAACCCGUGGAUUUCCCUAGCAAAACCUAGGAAUUUUCUCUUUCCAAUCCCGGCAAAACCCCCGGAUUCCCCUGGCAUAACCCAGAAAUCUUUCUCUCAAUCCCGGCAUAACUCGCGGAUCUCCCUGGCAUAACCCAGAAAUUUCUCUUUCAAAUCCCAGCAUAACCCGUGGGUUUCCCUAGAAUAACCUAGGAAAUUUCUCUUUCAAAUACCGCCAUAACCCGUGGAUUUCCCUGGCAUAACCCAGGAAUCAUUUUUCACCGGCACAACCUGUGGAUUUUUCCUUUCAUAAGCAGCAGGGACCUUUCAUUCCCAUCCCAGCGUAACCCGUAGAUCCUCCUCUUACCCCCAGCAGGGACCCUUUAUCUUUCCCAGCAUAACCUGGCAAUCUUUCCAAAGGAUACACAAUCCCGACUUUUAUUGUUUUCAAUAAAGAAAUAGUUCAUAUUUGUGUUGCAAAUAACUCACGAAAUUUUCCCAGUGAAAAUUGGGGCAGAAAAUUUAGUCUGUUUGUGUGUUUUGGUGUCCAAGCAGGUUUUACCUCAAGGCACGGGAUUCGAGGUGACCAAGAGCGUAAAUAUCAAUCCAGAAUAAAAGAAAAGAAGAAAAGAGCAAAAGAUGCAAACUCAGAAUAUUCAAAGAAGGAAAGGAUGCGGACAACUCAAAGUUUGAUUGAAGUCACAAGUCUCGUAUAUCCCGCUCCAGUCCAAUGUUGAAACAAAAACCAAUACCUACAGCGUGCGAGCGUCAAGAUUCAGAUCGAGGUCUACAGAAAAAUAAGCUAAGACUCGAGAUCAAGCUUCAAGAGAUGUAUAUAUAGGAAUCUCGUAACUCGUAGUAAACAGGACUAGCUAGCUUAGCUUUUGAUUUUCCUUUGGUGUAAUAAGGGGUCAGCAAGCAGUAGCAGAAAAAUCAGCACCGAAAUCACAUCUCAUGGUAGUCUCAGCUACCAAACACUCCAGAACUACACUGACCUGAUUCCUUUAUAGCCAAGGAUAUGUAGGCAACCUUUGAAGCGAGUUCGGUCAGACUUUUUUCCAAAAUGCUUCUCCUGGAGUUUUGAGCAAGCAAAAAUCCCGCAUGACGCUCAUUUAUCUUUGAACGAAAACCCUUCGUGUUUCCGGGCAAAGAGGGGCAGCUGUGAGCACGUCAUUUUUGCCUCGUUAAAAUUACUCCUACAGAAUUCUCAAAGUUAGGAUUUCUCCUUUUAUUAUUCAAUUUUUAGGAUUUAAUUGCGCAUGUUUGUGUGUAUUUUUAUUGGUGCAUGCAUGAUAAUCAUACAAAAUACAAAAAAAUUGCAUGAGCAUUUUAGGAUUUGAUUUUUACAUAAUUUUUCUAGAAUUAAUCAGUAAUUAGGUUUUUGUUUACAAAAUAUAAAAAUCACAAAGAAAACUUGAUUUGUUUUAAUUGUUCUUUUAAAUAAUAGUAAUUUAAUUGUGAUUUAAUAGUUUUGAAUAACUUUUCAGGUUUAAUUAUAGUUGAAUUUUAAAAAUUGAAACAAUUAUUGAAUAAUAGGUAAUUGAAAAAGAAUUAAAAAAGAGAAAAAAGAGAUGAAUCAGGUUGUCCUUACAAUUGGGCCAAAGCUGGAUGGCCCAACACACCCCGACCCAUACAAACCACUCUAAAACCGACCCAAACCCGUCCCUAACCCGGCCUUUCAUUAAGAGACGCCCCAAAAUAACGUUGUUUUGGGGCCAGUAAUCUCAACCAUUCAUAUACCAUCAUCCAACGGCCCUAGAUCAGUCUCGAUAUUAAAUAAAGAUGUCUGAAAUUGUGCCAAACCCGAGAGACCAAAUAUCCUUUCCUCGUACCUAUCGUCCACUGAUACUCCGCCUUACAGUCGCUGGCCGGAAAUCGUCGCCAGCGGCGGCGAUGCACCAAUACCUCCCAAAAAUACACCCCUGAACCAACAUUCCCUCCUUUUUCCAAUGCCCAAAAAAACCAACUUUAAACUAUGAGCCAAACCUUUCGAAUAUAGGAAUUUGUGGACGCCUAUGACGGCGCCACCGCCGAAACCCUCCAAAAAUAAGUCCCAGGUUCCUCACCCCAUCCCCAUAAUGGAUCCAGCCUCAGUUUCAUUCAAAUUUUAGCCAAUUACCUCGAAUAUUCAUUCAAAGCUCCGAUCAAAUCCUCAACCUCCCCGUAAAUCCCUGAAGUUGACACCAGAUAACCCUCUCACCUCCCUCUCCAUGAAUCUAUAACCAGUAACCCUCGAAUAUGACCGGUUCAUGUCAAAAAUCAAAUCCAAAAAACCGGUCUGAAGCCUAACUCAUUCCAAACCCAACCAAUCUUACACCCAUUACUGUUUUCACCCUCUUCCUCUGAAAUUUCUGUUCAGCCUCUCUCAAAUGUCAAAAGACCCUCUCAAAUUUGAAAUCAAGGGAUGGCCGGAAACCCUAAAAUUCAAAGGCCAUGGGCUUUUGGCCAUGUUGGUCGUGAAGCUAAGUUACCUUGUUCAUGUUUUCUUUUCAUCUCGUUGUUACAUGUUUGUUCUACGCUAUUUGUUCUUGCUUAUCUGUUAAUGAUUUUCUGUUAAUUUAUUUGGAAUUUUGGUCUAUUUAGAGUUAUGUUCCUCUGUUUAAAGUCGUUGAUAAUCCACUUUGAAUGAUUCCUUAUCAAUUGGACUUCUAGAUUUUUCUUUUUAGAUUGAGUCAUUCUGUGUUGAUCCAUGAACAGCAUGUUUGAGUAAUUCGAAUUGAGAAGUAGAGGAUUGAGUUGGUUUGAAAAGAAAUGAUUAUUUCAUCAUGUUUUAGGAUUAAUUUGUGGUUUGUGAUUACAUGAUUCUUGUUCAGCAUUUAGUCAGUAUUGAGGUCUUCAAUUUUUUUUGAUUUUGUUUGCUUUUGACUUUAGUUAAAAUAAUUAAUGAAACUUCAGUCUCCUUUACAUCUAGUGUCCAUGUUUAUUAUUACAUUUUGGCUCAGUUUAGUUAAGGUGAUAAUCAUACUGGGUUGGGUCAGGGUUAAAUCAUGCUAAAUUAACUAUAGUCAGUUUUUGACCAACUUGAUAAGAAGUAGGGUGUAGUUGGUUAGGCUGAGUAAUUGAGGGGAAAGGACAAGGGUAAUAUGGGUAUUUGGGUAUAGGAAUCUUGCAACAGACCCCUGGAACCUUCUAGUUGGAGGUUCAAAGACUAAUUUCUGGUAAUUUUCUAAUAAGACUUGAGGCAAAAGCUAGAAAACUAGGGACUAAAUGAGCAAUUCUGAGAAAUGGAAAAUGGAGUAGAGAAUAAAACACAAAAGAAAAGGAUUGCCCUACGUCGGUGUUAUAAAUAGGCAAGUGAGUGCCUUCAUAAAAAACUGAAAGAAAAACCCCUAAAGAGUCUGAAAAUCUCUGCAAAAAUUCCCAAGUGUUUUGAAGUCUCAAAAUCCCUGGAAAAAUCCUUCUGAGCUAGCACAAUAGUAGGUCUGAUUCCAGAAAAUCUAUUAAAACUAAAAAAACACAAAAGGCAAAGGAAUGCUAGAAUUAUUGUUCCAUUAACAUCAAUCACGUUUGAAUUCAUCCUGGAAGUUAUUCUGUGUUAAGAGCUGUGUAGAUCCUUGGUUUAUAUUGAGCAAAAAACUCUUUAGUUGUCACUGGGUGUCGAUCUUGGAUUUUUUUGAAUCUAUUGGUGGAUUUGCUGCUAUUAUUAUCUCUUGCUUACCUACUAAUACGUGCUUCUUCUUUGAUGUAAUUCCAGGUACACACACAUGAACCCGAUCUGAUGUAACCAUGUUUGAAAAUCGAAAUGAUAAACAUUCCAUGAAUUCUUCCUUUGAACUGAGUUUGGUUGGUCUUCAAUAACGUAGAAUCGUGUAGUCUUAAACGAUUUGUAAUAUCUGGUGUAUCUUAGUUUGAUCUACGUUUGUAAACUUGGGACUCUGUAAUACUGACUGUACCUGAACUGUAUGCAUAGACCAUUUUGAGUACUAGUAGGAUGAUAUAUCUUAUGUAGUAAUGUUUAGAUUGUUUAGUUUCUUACACUUAAUUAAAUAGUAGUGAUAGUACGUAUGCACUUAUGCAGAUUUGUAUAAAUAAGUCUAUCAAAUAGAUUAAAACUUGAUUUUCAACAUGUGAAUCCUGAAAUUUGAUUAUUCUUGCUUUAUGAAUUAGGAAUUGUGUAUUUACCAUGCUAAACAUUUAGAUUGUUAAAGUGACACAACACAAAUAUUAACAAAGUUAACUUAUAACGGCUGUAACAUUGUAAUUUUUGGAAUUUGAUCAUUGAUUCAUGAUUGGUGUUUAUGUUGUUUCCUCCAGUUUCAAGGCUCCAAUUAUUGGGCCCAAAUGAUUACCGCUGAGAUCCAUAUAAAUGUUGAACCUUCUAGGUUAGUCUUCCGAACAACGAGCCCAAAUGCGAAAUCGGUACAUAAAAACAUACUGAAGAUAUGCAUGAUGAACGGUUUUUGUGGUAGAUCAUUAACAUGUGAAUUAAUUAGAACUUCUUCUUUAUUUUAGGGCGACAUAUGAUAGACAAUUGUAGUUGAUUUAGGUUACCUUUCUAAAAGUAAAAGAGGUGCACUACGCCAAACUAAAUCAUACGUUGUGUGGCCUUUUAAUCAUAGUAAUAUGCUUAGAAAUCUUGGAGAUGUCGUUUAGCGAAUUUCACGAUUUUCCCACGAAGUUAAAAACGCGUAGCUGCUUUAGGCACAUUAUUUUAAUAAUUUAUCUUCCUUAAUUAGGGGUGCACAUUUAUGUAACCCAAAUCCAAAUCCUGAUGAAGUUGAAAGAUAUCAAAAACUAUGUGCACAUUUAUGUGACGUGGUUUGCGAUAUAUUUUAGCGGCAUCACAAAUUUUCUUAAAAAGCAUCAAAAGCGGUGUCAGUAUUUAAAUUGCAUUUUAGGAUGAACAGGGUAAAAUCAUAUUCUUAGCCACUUAUAAUAGUUUAAGCGACCAUGCUAGAACCACGGGAUCUGAGGGUGCCUAACACCUUCCCUCGGGUCAACAGAAUUCCAUCCUAAGAAUUUCUGGUUCGCAGACUCCAUUUGGCACUCAAAAUUUUCCUCGAUCUGGGAUUCAAACAAAGUGGUGACUUGGGAAACCAAAAGCCAAACAUAUCCCAAGUGGAGACUUUAAAUAAAUAAAUAAUCACAUUUCAAAUAAUGUUACUUUAAUUGGAAAAACUCCCUUAUAUGUGUCAUCAUUCGGGGUAGUCAUGCAAAAAAGAGGUGUAACAAUGAACAUAUGAAAGAAAUGCCCCAAAAUAAGUUAUGGAAAUUUUGUGAAAGACUAUAUGGUUCAUUUAUUUGAUGAUGUGGUAUCCAGUUAAAACCUUUGAUUUACUCUUGUGAUUUCCUUGUUCUUGCUUCAUAGUUCUUUCUAGUAAAAUGGUAUUUAGUUAUACAUACUAGUACUAUUCCAUGAUACUAAACAUCCCUUUUGCUGGGGGAAUUAUAUUUUUAAAUGAAUGUAGGUGGCUCCAUAGCGGAUAGUGUCGAUCGUGUGUAGCGGAGCAUCCUUCUUCUCAAUAUCUUGGUGAGCCCCCUUCUCUUCAAGGGGCUAUAUUGCACAUCUUUGUAUUGUGGACUUUCUCUUUUGAGGUAUAAUCGAGGCCUUGUUGCUCAAGAUCUUGGUGAGCCCCCUUCUCUUCAAGGGGCUAUAUUGCACAUCUUUGUAUUGUGGACUUUCUCUUUUGAGGUAUAAUCGAGGCCUUGUUGCCGGCGCUGUCACGUUUAUCUUUGAUAUCCUUAAAGGCUUCGUAGACAUAUAUGUGGGUCAUGUGAGGGUGUUGGAUGGGUGUACUAACUACGAUGUAAUUCUAGCUCUCGCCUCUUCAAGGUACAAAUGCAUGAAAUCUUGGAACUCAUCAGCGGUUUAAUGUUGUGUUUUAAAAUGAAUUAGUAAUGUGGUAUGGACUAUCUCCCUUUGUUGAAUAAAUGAAGCAUAAUCCCCAUAUUCGUAUUGAGUUGGGUAGGUAGUGUUUGGUAGGACUUGCUCAAUUGGUAUGAUGCGAUUGAGCGCCAGUCGCGCCUCCCGAGGUUUGGGGCGUGAUAAUAAAAUAUUGAAUCUCUGAACCAUGCACAGAGUAAACCUCCCUUCAAGUCAUUCACUGCUCCGAUACGUAGGCAAACAUCCUACCAUUAUAUCAAUACUGCGGGACAACCAUUUAGAAGCAUCAUGGAAACUUGUGCCUAGCCUCAGAGCUCUCAAAAGUACCGCUACUAAGCUGAAACGACAGAACAUCCUUCCAUAAGGUGACGAUAAUAGCUCAAAUAACCCCGCAUGGAGAAAUACCCCGCACAUUCGUAGUACCAGUACAAUUUACUUGCUCGUCGAUUCAUAACCAGCGUUGCGCGUUGCAUAAGAUUGAGUGGAAAGGAAAAGAAGGUAUAAGCCUCAAAGGAAUCAAACCGCACGACGAGGAAUCAAGAAAGGAAGUACUCCUAAUAGCCCUGCAGCCUCCCAAAGAUAAGUACAGACAUCUCUGUACCAAUACGCGAGACUCUACUAGACUUGCUCAUGACUCGUGAGACCUAAGGGAACCUAGUACUCUGAUACCAUGUUGUCACGAUCCAAAAUCAAAUAAGGGUCGUGAAGGUGCAGGACACCAUUGUCAAGCAAGCCAACAACAAAUAACUAGUAACUUAUCGUUUUAAAUGUUUCUGAAGUUACUACUUUUAUACGUUUAAGUAAUACUUAAUAAAUUCUACUGAACAAAUAAUGAAAAUAUUUAACAAUUUUUAAAUCUCAGAAUAAACCCAUGUCAUCGUUUAUACCAUGAAAAUAUAUGUAUAAACGAUAAAAAGGAGAAUUGAAAAUUUCCUAUAAAAUAAAGAAUUGCUUACUUGCUUUAUUCAAUUGAAUUAUAAUCAUGUUCAAAAAGAGAAGUUACUAGUUAUUUGUUGAUGGCUUUCCUGACAGUGUUGUCCGGCGCAAUCACGACCCUUAGUAAAUUUUGGGUCGUGACAAAGCUUGUGUGUAUAGGAUUUUCUGUCCGUACUCUAUCAAAUUCUAGUAUAGUUUAUGAUAUCGUCCCACAGAGAUUGGACAAUCUAAGCUAUUGUCAUGACCCAGAUUUCCCACCAACGAGAGUCGUGAUGACGCCUACUAAUGUGAGCUAGGCGAGCCAAUUAUUCGAACAAUUUGACCUUUCACCCAUUUUAUAUCCUUUAAUAAUUAUCGAGAUAUAACAUUUAAACAACGAACUUUAACAUAUGCGGAAGAAGAAAAAUAAUUAUCUGAACAUAAGCACCUAGUACAACUAUUUAAGUUUCGACUACCCAACCUGGUGUCACAGUUUCACAGAUGGUCUAAGAAUUCUACAAAUAAGGCCCGAAAGAAUUAAAUACAACGCUGUCUUUGGAAUUACAUGUAAGAAAUAGGAAAGUAGAUAGAAGGAGACGCCAGGGCCUGCGAGCACCUGCAGGCCACCUCGGGUCGCCUGAUGAACAAGAUCCAGCAAUCUCACUGUGGUCUUGAAUCCGCAACACUGGGGUCUGCACAAAAAAGUGUAGAGUGUAGUAUCAGCACAACCGGCCGCAUGUGCUGGUAAGUGUCUAGCCUAACCUCAGCGAAGUAGUGACGAGGCUAGGACCAGACUCCAGAUAAACCUGUGCAGUUAUAUAAUAUACAGCGGAAAAAUAAGCAAGUAAUGAACAAUUAAAGCUGGGGAAGGGAAGCAUGCUACGGGGAUAACAGAUAAUACAUAAAUUUCAAGAGAAUAAUAAGGAACAUCAAUAAUUUAUCUCUAAUACGGAUGGGGAAAAUAAAAGCAGACGUCGUCGUAUGUACACAUCUCGUUGCAGGUGUGCAAUCCUAUCCCAUUUCUCAAUGUUUCCAUGGUAGGUGUACCACCCGCUCCCUACUUCAUCAAACCUCGUGGUAGGCGUACCACCCGCUCCCAUUUCAUUAUAUCAAUAGUUCUUCCAAAUGAUAUUUACUCUAAUAACACAAUAAUUAAUACGAAUUCAUAAUACAAUAAGUACAGAAUAAUUAUAAUUCACCGAGGAAAACAAAUGAUGAGAAGUAGCAAUUAAUUAUGGGCUUUACGAAGCAAUUAGGAAUAUUUAGUAUUCAAUGUGUCGAAUGUCAAGUAGCAAUUAAAUCACAUAAUCACAUAGCAAUUAUGGCAUAAAUUCAUGACAUGAUGUUGCACAAGGAUACCUUGAUUCAAUAAUAACAAGCAACACAAUAAAGGGAGUUGUCAACACAAAGAAUCACAACCAUAGUGGAAUAAGACAAUUAAAUGAACUUGAACUGAUAACAAUAAGAAAUUAUAACAAAUGGAAUAGGUGCACCGCAUCACCCUUCGUGAUUUACUCUCAUCCUCACCAAAUAAUGAUAUAAUAAAAUGUACACGGCAUCACCCUUCGCGCUUUUCCUCACAAAAUGAUGGCACGGAAUGAUCCUUCGUGCAUAAACGCUCAUAUCAUGACACAGAAUGUUCCUUCGUGCAUUAAUAUUCAUAUUAUGGUACGGAAUGUUCCUUCGUGCAUUAGUAUUCAUAGCAUGGCACGGAACGUUCCUUCGUGCAUUAGUAUUCAUAUCACGGCAGGGAAUGUUCCUUCGUGCAUUAAUAUUCAUAUUAUGGCACGGAAUGUUUCUUCAUGCAUUAGUAUUCAUAUUAUGGUACGGAAUGUUCCUUCGUGCAUUAGUAAUCAAAUUAUGGCACAAAAUAUUCCUUCGUGCAUUAGUAUUCAUAUCAUGGCACGGAAUGAUGCUUCGUGCAUUAGUAUUCAUAUCACAAACGUGCACGGCAUCACCAUUCGUGAUUUAUCACUCUUCCUCGCCUAAAAACAAUCACAACAAUGGGGCAAGGGAAUAAACAAACAAAGAUAGGAAUCCCGACAAGGGAACAAUGUCAAAAAUCAAACAGCAAAACAUCCCGUCAAGGGAAUAACCAUUAACUCAUUAGCUUUCUUUCAUUUCUUACCUCAUAUCUCGCUUUAUCUAUUGAGCCAAGGCUCCAUGGAAUUCAUAAUCCUAUAUGCAUUCUCAAUUCGUAUCAAAACCGAGCCAAUGCUCCAUGAAGUCAAGUGAUCAUAAUGUCUUUCACAUGUUCUUUACAAUAUAUAGAAAUCCUCAAUUUAACAUGGAAUUCAGUACUAAAUCAUGAUAAUCACAUUUCAAGGACUCAAGGUCAAGCUAGACACCAAUGUAUAGAUACUCGUCAACAUGCCUAUACACCCUAUCGACCAUUAGCAAGUAGCAAACAAGACUCAACACUUAUUCCCUCAAGCUAAUGUUAGACCGAACACUUACCUCGAUGUCUUUUAACUUACUCUAGCCUCAAUUACAGCUUUACCCCUCGAUUCCUCCACCAAUCCGCUCGAAUAUAGUCACAAUUUACUUAAAUACAUCAACAAAUGCUAAGUGAAAUAAUUUGAAUGCAUAAAAAUGGGUUUCUAAAAGUUUUGUCCAAAAAUUUCUAAAAUACCCCCGGGCCCGCAUGGUCAAAACCCGAGGUUCAAUCAAAAACAUGUUUACCCAUUCCCCCAUGAACUCAAAUAUAUGAUAUAUUUUGAAAUCGGACCUCAAAUUGAGGUCCAAAACCCCCAAUUUUAGAAAACCUAGGUUCUACCAUAAAUUCUCAAAUUUCCUCGUUAAAAUCUUUGAUUGAAGUUGAGAUCAUGUUAAAAGAUGUUAAGGAGUGAAGAAAAUAGUUUAUAAAUCACUUACCAAAUGUUUUGAAGAAGAAGAAUUGCUUGAAAAAUCGCCUCUUAAGUUUUGGGUUUUGGAAAAGUGAGAAAUAACUAAAAAUCCCGUGUAUUUAUACUCUCAGACACGCCCAGCGCGGACUGCGCAAAAAGAAUCUCGGCCGCACUGGUGGAAUGAAGACUUGGUGGCUCUUUGAAGUUUUCCACGCGGACCGCACAAACACGAUCGUGGCCGCACGACUUCCACUACGGCCCGCGCCAAAUGGACUGCGGCUGCGCCAGAGGGUUUCGAGACCUGCAAUUUUCACCACUCUCUGAUUCUUCAUGUGCGUACCGCACAAAGAUGACCGCAGUCGCGCUGGCUAACUUGGGACCCUGCUAUUAUUAAGUCUAAGACCUUCCGUAACCUACUGGAAACUCAUCCGAGCCCUCGGGUUUCCAAGCCAAAUGUACACACCACCUCAAAAAUAACUCAAGGACUUAUUUGUACGAUCAAAUCGUCAAAAUAACAUCAUAUACAUAGAAUCAAGCCCCAAAGCUUAAGAUUUCUUUCAAUUCUUUAAUGAAACCCAAAUUUUCCAUCUUAAGUCCGAAAUACGUCCAAUGACGUCCACUUUCAACCAAACUUUACCAAAAGUGCUUAAAUCACAUAUGAGACUAGUAUCGGGCGUCGGAACCAAAAUACGAGCCCGAUACCAUAGUCUUUUAAUCAAUCCCAUUUUCCAAUUUCUUUAGUUAUUUUCAGGAAACAAUUUCACAUAAAAAUUCAUUUCUCGGACUUGGGGCCUUGGAAUUCGAUUAGGGUCAUAUAUUUUCUAUGGACCCUCCGGGACCUUCAAAUCACAAGUCCGGGUCCCUUUAUCCAAAAUGUUGACCAGAGUCAAUUUUAAUCAUAUUAAUAUCAAAAUUCAAUAUUUUUCACACAGAAUUCAUAUUUAAGCUUUUCGAUUACGUGCCCGGACUGCACACGCAGAUCAAGGCGGCCCUCAAUGAGCCUCAAUGAGGUUUUUAAGGACUCGGAGAUAUGAAAUGAGUAAAGAAACAGGUGAUGACCCUUUGGGUUGUCACAUUCUCCACCUCUAAAACAACCAUUCGUCCUCAAACGGACAAAAGAAAGAAGUACCUAAGUCGGGAAAUAGAUGAGGAUAACGGCUUCGCAUAUUAGACUCGGACUCCCAGGUCGAUGCCAGUAACCGAGCCUCCCCCGGCUCAAACCAUCCAACUGGAGACCAACAUCGUCUACCAUACAAUACCUCAUAAGGAGCCAUCUGAAUGCUGGACUGGUAGCUGUUGUUGUAGGAAAACUCUGCUAACGGCAAAAGCUGGUCCCACGAGCCUCCCAAAUCAAUGACACAGGCUCGGAGCAUAUCUCCCAAUAUCUGAAUGGUCUAUUCGGAUUGCCCUUCCAUCUGAGGAUGAAAUGUUGUGCUCAACUCCACCUAGGUGACCAACUCUCACUCAUCGGCUCUCCAGAAGCGCGAGGUAAACUGCGUACCCCGGUCCAAAAUGAUAGAUACUGGCACCCCAUGAAGGCGAACAAUCUCUCUGAUAUAAACUUCAGCAAACUCUCAGAUGAAUAAGUGGUUGCAACAGGAACAAAAUGUGCUGACUUGGUCAGUUUAUCAACAAUGACUCAAACUGCAUCAAACUUCUUCUGGGUCAACGGGAGUCCAGUAACAAAAUCUACAGUAAUCCUCUGCCACUUCCACUCGGGAAGCUCAAUCCUCUAAAACAGCCUACCAGGUCUCUGAUGCUCAUACUUAACCUGCUGACAAUUCAAACAUCAAGCCACAUAUGCAACAAUAUCUUUUUUCAUUCUGCGCCACCAAUAAUGCUGUCUCAGAUCCUGAUGCAUCUUCGCGGCGCCCGGUGAAUAGAAUACCGAGAUUUGUGGGCCUCCGCUAAGAUCAACUCUCGAAUACCGUUAAUAUCGAGCACACAAACUCGCCCCUGUAAUCUCAAGACACCAUCGUCACCUAAGGUCACCUUCUUGGAACCUCCACGCUGUACCCUGUCUCUCAGGACACAUAAAUGGGGAUCGUUAAAAUGUCGUUCACGGAUACGCUCCAACAAUGAAGAGCGAGCGAUUGUGCAAGCUAACACGGCUAGGCUCAGAAAUAUCCAAUCUCACCAAUCGAUUGGCCAAGGCAUGAACAUCCAAAGCAAGCGGUCUCUGGCUAACCAGAAUAUAAGCAAGACUACCCAUGAUGGUUGACUUCCUACUCAACGCAUCGGCCACUAAGUUGGCCUUCCCCGGGUGAUACAAGAUAGUAACAUCAUAAUAUUUCAACAACUCCAACCACCUUCUCUGCCUUGGAUUCAACUCCUUCUGCCUGAAUAGAUACUGAAGACUCUUGUGAUCCGUGUACACCUCACACGUCACACCAUAUAGAUAAUGCCUCCAAAUCUUCAAAGCAUAAACAAUGGCUGCCAACUCUAAAUCAUGAAGUGGAUAAUUCUUCUCGUGGAUCUUCAAUUGCAUCAAAGCAUAGGCAAUAACUCUGCCAUCCUGCAUCAAUACUGCACCAAGCCCAAUACGGGAAACAUCACAAUAGACUGCAUAAGGCCCUAAACCUGUGGAAAAACCAGUACCGGUGCCGUGGUCAAAACUAUCUUGAUCUUCUGAAAGCUUGCAUCACACACGUCUGACCAUCUAAACUAGGCACCUUCUUGGGUCAACCUGGUCAUAAGGGUUGCAAUAGAUGAAAACCCCUCCAUAAACCGACGAUAAUAGCCUGCUAACCCCAAGAAACUCCGAAUCUAUGUAGCUGAAGCUGGUCGAGGCCAGUUCUUGACUACUUCAAUCUUCCUCGGCUCCACCUGAAUCCCCUUUUGCCGAAAUAAUGUGACCUAUAGAUGCAACCAAAAUCAACCAGAACUCACACUUCGAGAACUUAGCAUAUAACUGGCUAUUCUUCAAAAUCGGAAGAACCACUCUGAGGUGUUGCUCGUGCUCCUCCUGGCUGCGGGAUCACACCAAAAUAUAAUCAAUAAAGACUAUCACGAACAUGUCCAAAUAUGGUCUGAACUCUCGGUUCAUUAACUCCAUGAAACCGGCUGGGGAAUUGGUCAACCCAAUAGACAUGACUAGGAACUCAUAAUGCCCGUACCGAGUGCGGAACGCUGUCUUAGGGAAAUCGGAUGCCCUAAUCCUCAACUGGUGGUAGCCAGAUCUCAAGUCUAGAUUUGAAAACACCUUUGCACCCUAAAGCUGGUCGAACAAAUCGUUAAUUCUCGGCAGUAGAUACUUGUUCUUUAUCGUCAGUUUGUUCAAUUACCGGUAAUCAAUGCACAUCCUCAUCGAACCAUCCUUUUUCCUCACAAAUAACACUAACGCACCCCAAGGCAAAAUAUAAGGUCUAAUGAAGCCCUUCUCUAGCAAAUCCUACAACUGUCCUUUUAACUCUUUCAACUCUAGCGGGGCCAUGCGAUACGGCGGAAUAGAAAUGGGCUGAGUGCCCGGAGCCAGAUCGAUACAAAAGUCAAUAUCCAUGUCGAGCGGCAUACCGGCAGGUCUGAAGGGAAAACCUCAGGAAACUCCCAAACCACGGGUACUGAAUCAAUAGAAGGGACCUCUGCGCUGGAGUCGCAAACAUACGCCAAAUAAGCUACACACCCUUUCUCGACCAUGCGUCGAGCCUUCAAAUAUGAUAUAACACUGCGAGUGGCAUUACCUAGGGUCCCUCUCCACUCCAAACGGGGAAAAUUUGGUAAAGCCAAGGUCACGGUCUUGGCAUGAUAGUCCAAGGUAGCGUGGUAAGGUGAUAUCCAGUCUAUCUCCAAUAUAACAUCGAACCAAUCAUGUCCAGAAGAAGCAAAUCUAUACGAGUCUCAAAUCCGCCAAUAACCACUAUACAUGAACAAUGGAUGCAAUCCGCCACAAUAGAAUCACCCAUCGGCGUGGACACAUAAAUAGGGAACUCAAAGAAUCACUAGGCAUGACCAGAUACGGUGCAGAAUAAACUUGAAGCUUCUCUACCACAUACCAGAACAACACAUGCACCUCCACCUCUAAUACCUUUACCUCCACCUCUAGUAUCUCUACCUCCACCUUUAAUACCUACUCAAGGCCUCCAAAGAUGAAAUUGAUCUAUCACUAGUCUGUGCUGCUACUUAGCUGAAUAAGCGGUACAUGACCUCGCCAUUCACGAAAAGGACAAGAGUACAAGUUUCAAUUUAGCAUUGAGAAACCAACCGGCACGAUAAAAGAGAACAAAUGUGAUGUUUUUCCUAACUCUGUAGCCUCUGGGGGGUAAAUACAGACGUGUUGGGGAGGCACACCUUCACUUCCUUCUUAAUGAAGGGGUUCCCCGGGAGUCUGACCUUGUCCUUUCUUUUAAUUGUCGGGGCCGUCAUGAGUGCCGAAACCUAUUUCGGUAAGAUGAUGAUGGCUCCUUCGGGCGCAUCAAGCUCUGAAGAUCCAAACUGGACGGAAGCCCUGAGAUCUUCUAAAGGGCAGGGAGAGACUUCAGAAAGGGAAAGCACAGGCACAUCGUCGUCCAUCAACCUACAUUGUCACGAUCCGGAUUUCCCACCAUCGGGAGUAGUGAUAGCGCCUACUAAUGUGAGCUAGAAAAGCCAAUUAUUCGAACAAUUUGACCUUUCACCCAUUUUAUAUCCUUUAACAAUUACCGAGAUAUAACAUUUAAACAGCGAAAUUUAACAUAUGCGGAAGAAGAAAAAUAAUUAUCUGAACAUAAACACCUAGUACAACUAUUUGAGUUUCGACUACCCAGACCUGGUGUCACAGUUUCACAGACGGUCUAAGAAUUCUACAAAUAAAGGCCCAAAGAAUUAAAUACAACGUUGUCUAUGGAAUUACAUGUAAGAAAUAGGAAAGUAGAUAAAAGGAGACGCCAGGUCCUGCGAGCGCCUGCAGGCCACCUCGGUUCGCCUGAUGAACAAGAUCCAACAAUCUCGUUGCAGUCCAAAAUCCACAACACUGGGUCUGCACAAAAGAAUGCAGAGUGCAGUAUCAGCACAACCGACCCCAUGUGCUGGUAAGUGUCUAGACUAACUUCGACAAAGUAGUGACGAGGCUAGGACCAUACUCCAGAUAAACCUGUGCAGCUAUAUAAUAUACGGCGAAAAAGUAAAAACAAGUAAGGAACAAUUAAAGCUAGGGAAUUGAAGCAUGCUACGGGGAUAACAGAUAAUACAGAAAUUUCAAGAGAAUUAUAAGGAACAUCAAUAAUUUAUCUCUAACACGGAUGAGGAAAAUAAAAGCAGACUUUGCUGCCUGUACACAUCUCGUUGCAUGCGUGCAACCUGAUCCCGUUUCUCAUAUUUAUGUGGUAGGCGUACCACUUGCUCCCAUCUCAUCAAACCUCAUGGUAGUCAUAUCACCCACUCCCAUUUUAUUAUAUCAAUAGUUCUUCCAAAUAAAAUUUACUCUAAUAACACAAUAAUUAAUACGAAUUCAUAAGAUAACAAGUACACAACAAUUAUAAUUCACUAAGGAAAACAAAUAAUGACAAGUAGCAAUUAAUUAUGGGCUUUACGGAGCAAUUAGAAAGAAUUAGUAUUUAAUGUGUCGAAUGUCAAGUAGCAAUUAAAUCACAUAAUCAUGUAGCAAUUAUGGCAUAAAUUAAUGACAUGACAUUACACAAGGAUACCUUGAUUCAAUAAUAACAAGCAACAGAAUAAAGGGAGAUGUCAAUACAAAGAAUCACAGGCAUAAUGGAAUUAGACAAUUAAAUGCACUUGAACUGACAACAAUAAGAAAUCAUAACAAACGAAAAUAGGUGGACGGCAUCACCCUUCGUGCUUUACUCUCAUCCUCACAAAAUAAUGAUAUAAUAAAAUAUGCAUGGCAUCACCCUUCGUGUAUAAACGCUCAUAUCAUGACACAGAAUGUUCCUUCGUACAUUAGUAUUCAUAUCUUGGCACGGAAUGUUCCUUCAUGCAUUAGUAUUAGUAUCGUGGCACGGAAUGUUCCUUCGUCAUUAGUAUUCAUAUUAUAGCACGGAAUGUUCCUUCGUGCAUUAGUAUUCAUAUUAUGGCACGAAAUGUUCCUUCGUGCAUUACUAUUCAUAUUAUGGCACGGAAAGUUCCUUCGUGCAUUAGUAUUCGUAUUAUGGCACAGAAUGUUCCUUCGUCCAUUAGUAUUCAUAUCAUGGCACAGAAUAUUACUUCGUGCAUUAGUAUUCAUAUUAUGGCACGAAAUGUUCCUUCGUGAAUUAGUAAUCAUAUUAUGGCAUGGAAUGUUUCUUCGUGCAUUAGUAUUCAUAUCAUGGCACGGAAUGUUCCUUCGUGCAUUAGUAUUCAUAUUAUGGCACGGAAUGUUCCUUCGUGCAUUAGUAUUCAUAUUAUGGAACAGAAUGUUCCUUCGUGCAUUAGUAUUCAUAUCACAAACGUGCACGGCAUCACCCUUCGUGCUUUAUCACUCUUCCUCACCCAAACAACAAUCUUCCUUCGUGCAUCAGUAUACAUAUCAUGGCAUGGAAUAUUCCUUCGUGCAUUAUUAUGCAUAUUAUGGCACGAAAUGUUCCUUCGUGCAUUAGUAAUCAUAUUAUGGCAUGGAAUGUUUCUUCGUGCAUUAGUAUUCAUAUCAUGGAACGGAAUGUUCCUUCGUGCAUUAGUAUUCAGUAUUCAUAUCACAAACGUGCAGGGCAUCACCCUUCGUGCUUUAUCACUCUUCCUCACCCAACAACAAUCACAACAAUGGGGCAAAGGAAUAGACAAACAAAUAUAGGAAUCCCGGCAAAGGAACAAUGUCAACAAUCAAACAGCAAAACAUCCCGGCAAGGGAAUAACCAUUAACUCAUUAGCUUUCUCUCAUUUCUUACCACAUGUCUCGCUUUAUCUCUUGAGCCAAGGCUCCAAGGAAUUCAUAAUCCUAUAUGCAUUCUCAAUUCGUAUCAAAACCGAGCCAAUGCUCCAUGAAGUCAAGUGAUCAUAAUGUCUUUCACAUGUUCUUUACAAUAUAUAGAAAUCCUCAAUUUAACAUGGAAUUCAGUACUAAAUCAUGAUAAUCACAUUUCAAGGACUCAAGGUCAAGCUAGACACCAAUGUAUAGAUACUCGUCAACAUGCCUAUACACCCUAGACAUUUCAAGGACUCACGGUCAUGCUAGACACCAAUGUAUAGAUACACGUCACCAUGCCUAUACACCGUACUCGACAAUUAGCAAGUAACAAACAAGACUCAACUCUAUUCCCUCAAGCUAAGGUUAGACCGAACACUUACCUCGAUGUCUUGAACUCAUUCAAGCCUCAAUUACAGCUUUACCCCUCGCUUCCUCCACCAAUCCGCUCGAAUCUAGUCACAAUUUACUUAUAUACAUCAACAUAUGCUAAGUGAAAUAAUUUGAAUGCAUAAAAAUGGGUUUCCAAAAGUUUUGCCCAAAAAUUCCAAAAAUACCCCCUAGCCCGCAUGGUCAAAACCCGAGGUUCGAACAAAAACUCGUAUACCCAUUCUCUCAUGAACUCAAAUAUAUGAUUUAUUUUGAAAUCGGACCUCGAAUUGAGGUCUAAAACCCCCAAUUUUAGAAAACCUAGGUUCUACCCUAAAUUCUCAAAUUUACCCAUUAAAAUCUUUGAUUGAAGUUGAAAUCAUGUUAAAAGAUGUUAAGGAGUGAAGAAAAUAGUUUAUAAAUCACUUACCAAAAAUUUUGAAGAAGAAGAAUUGCUUGAAAAAUCGCCUCUUAUGUUUUGGGUUUUUGUAAAGUGAGAAAUAACUAAAUAUCCCAUGUAUUUAUACUCUCAGACGUGCCCAGUGCGGACAGCGCAAAAAGGACCGCGGCCGCACUGGUGGAAUGAAAACUUGCUGGCUCUUUGAAGUUUGCCACGUGGACCGCACAAAGACGAUCGCGGCCGCGAGGCUUCCACCGCGGCCCGCGCCAAAUGGACCGUGGCCGCACACGUUUUCAAGGCGCUAGAGGGUUCCGAGACCUGCAAUUUUCACCACUCUUUGAUUCUUCAUAUGCGGACCGCACAAAGACGACCGGGCCUCGCUAGAUAACCUGGGACCCUGCUAUUACUAAGUCAAAAACCUCCUGAAACCUACUCGAAACUCAUCCGAGCCCUUGGGGCUCCAAACCAAACAUACACACCACCUCAAAAAUAACCCACGGACUUACUCGUGCGAUCAAAUCGCCAAAAUAACAUCAUAUACAUAGAAUCAAGCUCCAAAGCUUAAGAUUUCUUGCAAUUCUUUCAUGAAACCCAAAUUUUCCAUCUUAAGUCUGAAAUACAUCCAAUGACGUUCGUUUUUAACCAAACUUUACAAAAAGUGCUUAAAUUACAUAUGAGACUUGUACCGAGCGUCUGAACCAAAAUACGAGCCCGAUACCACAGUCUUUUAAUCAAUCUCAUUUUCCAAUUUCUUUAGUAAAUGCUUAAAUCACAUGUGAGACUUUUAUCGGGCAUUAGAACCAAAAUACGAGCCCGAUACCAGUCUUUGGAUAAAUUUCAUUUUCCAAUUUCUUUAGUUAUUUUCACGAAAUAAUUUCACAUAAAAAUUCAUUUCUCGGACUUGGGGCCUCGGAAUUCGAUUUCGGGCAUACUCCAAAGUCCCAUAUUUUCCUAUGGACCUUCCGAGACCGUCAAAUCAUGGGUUCAUAUCCGCUUACCCAAAAUAUUGACCAGAGUCAACUUUAAUCAUAUUAAUAUCAAAAUUCAUUAUUUUUCACACAAAAUUCAUAUUUAAGCUUUUCGGUUACGUGCCACUCCGCGAGCAAGGAGUGCCACGCACGAGCGGAGCAAAAAGAAAGCAAGGGAAAUUCUUCUCUUUUUUGGGGAGAAAUCCUUUGAUUGCGUAUUGAAUAUAGAUCCAUGUCUUUCUUGUUCCACUAGCUAAGACCAAAUUCUCACAUGUCCCUUUCGUUAGGUUUCCAAGGCCUUGGAGACACGAAAUGAGUAAAAAAACAGGUGAUGACUCUUUGGAUCGUCACAGCUACAAACUUGUAAUAUUUUGACUAAUAUGUAAGAGAACCAAAUUGAUGAAAGGUGUGUUUGAAAUUAUAAAUUAAGACAAAUUUCUUCCAAAAAGUUUAUAUUUAAAAAGAGUUGGAAAUCGUUGAAUUCACUUGAUAUAUCAUUACAAUAAAAUCUCAGUUCAUACAUAUUUCUCUAAAGAAUAAUUGCUUAUUGCUAAUACAAUUAUAUUAUUACACUAAGAAAUAAAUAAAUAAUUAACACUCCGUGAGGUUAUUUCAAUUAAUUGAUUUAAAACUAGUGAUGAUUAAACUUAAAUAUCUUACCUGAAUUGUGCUCAAGCAUAAUAAAAAUUUUGUGAGAAUUUUUUUACUAGAAAAUUGAUAUUCUUGCCUUCAACAAUUUCUCCGUAAGAAUUAAAACUGAGAAUGCAAGAUUACAUACUUGAAACAAUAAUCUUACUAAAAAUUACUUUGACUCUAAUAUAAUGUGUUCAAGUAUAGUAACUUCGUGAGAAUAUUUUUACUAGAAAAUAAAUAAUAUUACCUUCAACAAUUCCUUUGUGAGAAAUAAAAAUGAGGAAAGCAAGAUUACAAACUUGAAAUAAUAAUCUUACUAAAAAUUACUUUCACCCUAAUUUUCUAUUCAUCAGUUUAUAUAUUAAUUUUGCUCCGUGAGAGUUACAAACUUAAUAUAAGAAUAACUUAGAUAUAAAAUAUGUAGAUGUGAUAAUAAUGAUUAAAAACUUACAAUUACAUCACAAUAUAAAAUGUAAAUACAGUUUCAGGCCAAGAAUGUAUUGAAGAGAUAGUAUUAUAAUUAUAUCAAGAUUUCUCAACUAUUUCAACGAAAAGAAAUUACUCCAUUAUGAAGUAAAAAAGGCUAAAAAUACUUUCAAAAGACUAAGAAUAAUUUCAAUACAAAGAGAGCUAGAGAAAAAGACCAAAAUUACUCUUCUCUUUCUCUUUAGAACAUAAAAAAAAAAAACUAGAUAGAAAAGUGGAUACAAAGUGGGAUGAUAUUCUUCUACAAAUAUAUGCCUAUUUAUAGGAAAUUUUCUCCAAGACCUUAGUGAGAAUUUGUAAUAUAAUAUCAAUAUAUCCUAUAGCGUUGAUGAGAAAUUGACAUGACAAUUUGUCAUGAAAUUUUGGUGAGAUUUUUUCAUAAUUUUUAUAUCUUUUGACUUUAUGUAGUCUUAGAUGAAGUUGUCACGGAUGCAUCCUUCUUCCUAGAACCGUAGGUUCUUUCUUUUUCUCUUUUUCCAUGUAUUCUUUUUCCUGCAAGAAUUAUUUAGAAAAAUGUGAGAAUAGGAUAUAAAUUAGUCAUGUUAUAUAUCUAAAAUAUUAUAUUUUUAUAUUAAAAUAUAUAAAGAAUGUAUAUUCAUCACGGAUAGCACACACAUAGGAUACGACUUGGAAUUGAAUUAAAACGCCUUUAGGUAAACAAUUUUAACAUAGUAAUCGGAUAUCAGGAGAUGCUACUCAGUGCCCGCUGAAUAAUAUGAACAAUUCCUACUCUAAGAGAAUUGUGAAGUAUUAUUUAUGUUGCACGAUGUAAUCCUUUAGGCUAAAAAACGUAGGACCCCUCCCCUUUUUUGUAUACUUGUCAUUUAAUCUAGUAAUUUGACAUAGACCAAUGUAUUUGUACCCUUGUAAUCAUUAAGAUUUGUACCAAUUCCCAUUGUGUCAUGAUGAGACUCUUCGCCUCUAUUUCCUUUCUUUAUUUGAUUACCUAGCUUAAUUACAUAAUUCGCUUAGUUUUGAAGUUUACUUUGGAUCCAAAUGAAGAGUGUUUAACACCUUCUUUUUGAGGUAAUUUGAGCCUUGAUUCGAUCUUUGGUGGCGUUGACUAGUGAAACAGAGUUAUUUGCAAAUAGGUUCCCUAAUGCACCUUAAUCAUUAGAUGACGACUCUUCUAUUUUAAUACCUCCUUUAAAAGAGUUGUCAUACCUCGAAACCCAUUUUCGCGAGAAAACAGGACGAGAUAGCGAGUAAGAGAAUAAAUCUACAAAACAAGUUACAAUUACCAAGUUUUUCAUCAAUCUUGAAAGAAUAAAUAUUUUAGGUAGUUUUAAAAUAUCCGACUUAGAGUUUAAAUCUUUAUACGUUUAGUUAUGAAUUUAUUAAUAAUGUAUUAGUUUUAUUUCAAUAUUUAGCUAGUGAAAUAUGUAUAUUUUUUGAGAUUUUAAAUUUGAAUAACUUUUAUAUGUGCCAUUAAAAAAUAAAAUAAUUUUUAAUAAUUUCUAUUUAUAGCAACUAAAAUAUAUUUAAAUAUUAAAUGAUAUUAUAGGUGUAUAACAACCGAACGAAAUUAUUAUAGAAAAAAACUAUUAAAAAAUUUGUUUAUGUAGCACUCCCUUCUUAAAUAUAGUUACCAGGCGGCACAAUUCGAAAUUAGCGGUGAUUAUUAUAAAACAAUAAAAGAAGAAGAGCAAUAUUGCAGAGAAAGAGAGAGAAAAUUUUUAUUGAAUUUUGGGGUCAUUUACAAUGGGAUAAGACCCCUCUAUUUUUAGGAGGAAAAAUGACUUAGCCUCAAAGUAAAACUCUCUACAAGAUAGACAUUCACUCUAAAUAGAAUUCUAUUCUUAAAGUCUCAAUAGUUUUAUUAAGCAUAACAAGGCUUUAAACAGCCAGUAGGAACAUAAUCCGUAGAAAAUCUGCAUAACAAAAAUUUAAAAAAAACUAAAAUAUCUCAACAAACCUAAAAAAUCUAACUGAAAUUUGAAUUAAAAAAGAUAGUUUAUCCUAAAACUAAGUUACUUAUUAUGCUAAAAAAGUUACUGAAAGCAACAGCACAUGUUCAGAAAUGCACAUAUUGGUUGCCUCGUUAAAAACCUUGCAAGGAAAACCCAGUGGGACAAAAUCUCGUAAGGGAAAAAGAGUGCAACGCGCGUUAACUCCCCCUGAAGAGAGCAUCAAUUCACAUCCAUGAGCCUUCACAUUCCAAUCUUGUGCACCAUCUUCAAGAGAUCCUUGGUAGAGAAUUGAUAAAUAAAUCAGCCAUAUUAACUUGAAUGAAUAUUUGCACCUCGAAAUCAUCACUCGUGAUAGAUAUAUAACGUUUUCACAAAUAUCGUGGAAUGGCUCUUCAAUAUUUUCAUAUAGGUAUCAUCGCUAUCACAUUAUCAUGCUUAUAGUUAUAGCAAGAUACAUUUGUACACAAAUUGCACUGAGNNNNNNNNNNNNNNNNNNNNNNNNNNNNNNNNNNNNNNNNNNNNNNNNNNNNNNNNNNNNNNNNNNNNNNNNNNNNNNNNNNNNNNNNNNNNNNNNNNNNNNNNNNNNNNNNNNNNNNNNNNNNNNNNNNNNNNNNNNNNNNNNNNNNNNNNNNNNNNNNNNNNNNNNNNNNNNNNNNNNNNNNNNNNNNNNNNNNNNNNNNNNNNNNNNNNNNNNNNNNNNNNNNNNNNNNNNNNNNNNNNNNNNNNNNNNNNNNNNNNNNNNNNNNNNNNNNNNNNNNNNNNNNNNNNNNNNNNNNNNNNNNNNNNNNNNNNNNNNNNNNNNNNNNNNNNNNNNNNNNNNNNNNNNNNNNNNNNNNNNNNNNNNNNNNNNNNNNNNNNNNNNNNNNNNNNNNNNNNNNNNNNNNNNNNNNNNNNNNNNNNNNNNNNNNNNNNNNNNNNNNNNNNNNNNNNNNNNNNNNNNNNNNNNNNNNNNNNNNNNNNNNNNNNNNNNNNNNNNNNNNNNNNNNNNNNNNNNNNNNNNNNNNNNNNNNNNNNNNNNNNNNNNNNNNNNNNNNNNNNNNNNNNNNNNNNNNNNNNNNNNNNNNNNNNNNNNNNNNNNNNNNNNNNNNNNNNNNNNNNNNNNNNNNNNNNNNNNNNNNNNNNNNNNNNNNNNNNNNNNNNNNNNNNNNNNNNNNNNNNNNNNNNNNNNNNNNNNNNNNNNNNNNNNNNNNNNNNNNNNNNNNNNNNNNNNNNNNNNNNNNNNNNNNNNNNNNNNNNNNNNNNNNNNNNNNNNNNNNNNNNNNNNNNNNNNNNNNNNNNNNNNNNNNNNNNNNNNNNNNNNNNNNUUCCUCAACUUUGGAAAUCCAUCUUUGUGCAUUAUGGUGUUAAUGAAAAUAUACACCGCACAUCAAUAAUAAUAAUAUGGAAUUAUUUGAUUCCUAACUUUGAACCACUUGUGAGGGGAGAAUAUAAUAUAUUAUCGUAUCUAACGUAUAUCAUAAUGAUAUAGAUAACUUUGUUCUCAUAAGAAAUAGUUUAGCUAUUAAGUGGAGGCACUCAAUAAGUUAUCUUGCUAAACCAACUAUGAUGUAAACCAACUUAUCAAGAUGAACUAUCUUGAAUAGAAAAGAUGGAAAUUGUGCUCUAAAUUGAAUUAUUGAGCAAGUCACCUCGCAAAACACCAUAUUGCGGGUUAAUAAUAAUCGCACAUGUAACCAUCUCAUAGAUGCANNNNNNNNNNNNNNNNNNNNNNNNNNNNNNNNNNNNNNNNNNNNNNNNNNNNNNNNNNNNNNNNNNNNNNNNNNNNNNNNNNNNNNNNNNNNNNNNNNNNNNNNNNNNNNNNNNNNNNNNNNNNNNNNNNNNNNNNNNNNNNNNNNNNNNNNNNNNNNNNNNNNNNNNNNNNNNNNNNNNNNNNNNNNNNNNNNNNNNNNNNNNNNNNNNNNNNNNNNNNNNNNNNNNNNNNNNNNNNNNNNNNNNNNNNNNNNNNNNNNNNNNNNNNNNNNNNNNNNNNNNNNNNNNNNNNNNNNNNNNNNNNNNNNNNNNNNNNNNNNNNNNNNNNNNNNNNNNNNNNNNNNNNNNNNNNNNNNNNNNNNNNNNNNNNNNNNNNNNNNNNNNNNNNNNNNNNNNNNNNNNNNNNNNNNNNNNNNNNNNNNNNNNNNNNNNNNNNNNNNNNNNNNNNNNNNNNNNNNNNNNNNNNNNNNNNNNNNNNNNNNNNNNNNNNNNNNNNNNNNNNNNNNNNNNNNNNNNNNNNNNNNNNNNNNNNNNNNNNNNNNNNNNNNNNNNNNNNNNNNNNNNNNNNNNNNNNNNNNNNNNNNNNNNNNNNNNNNNNNNNNNNNNNNNNNNNNNNNNNNNNNNNNNNNNNNNNNNNNNNNNNNNNNNNNNNNNNNNNNNNNNNNNNNNNNNNNNNNNNNNNNNNNNNNNNNNNNNNNNNNNNNNNNNNNNNNNNNNNNNNNNNNNNNNNNNNNNNNNNNNNNNNNNNNNNNNNNNNNNNNNNNNNNNNNNNNNNNNNNNNNNNNNNNNNNNNNNNNNNNNNNNNNNNNNNNNNNNNNNUCUAUUGCCACGUCCACAUCCAUUGAUACCUUCAUGGUAAUAAUUUUUGUCUUCUUUCAGACUUAUCACAUACUGCUAUCACAUUCUCUAAAUAGAAUGAGAAUGGAGCAAAUUCAAUGGGAUGAGUUUUCAAUUCUUUGCCCACAAUCAUACAUGAAUUUGAUCAUGACAAGACAUAUAAAAUUUACCACGUUGGGUGGUUAUAAUAUCUUUCAAGCUACCUUAAAAUUGCAAUCAAAAUUUACCGUCUAUGCUUGUAUUUAUAAUCAAAUUAUAGGAUUACAAGAAUUUGAAAGAGAAAAGUAAAAUACUUACCUUAAAUCCAGAAUUAAUCUUGAAGGAAGUUCAUAGAACGAUUAACAGUCAUUAUGAUCAAUCUCAAAGCUUCUACUCAAUUGAUUAGAGUCUCGUGUUGAUAACGUGUUAUAAAACAAUAAAAGAAGAAGAGCAAUAUUGCAGAGAAAGAGAGAGAAAAUUCUUAUUGAAUUUUAGGGACAUUUACAAUGGGGUAAGACCCCGCUAUUUAUACGAGGAAAAAUGACUUAACCUCAAAAUAAAACUCUUUACAAGAUAAAUAUUCACUCCAAAUAAAAUUCUAUUCUUAACUGUGAUAAAGAAUCUAGAAAUUUUCUACUAUUUGUCACCCAAAAAGUUUAAAAGAAUCCAAUUCCACAUCUCACGAGACUUAACUAAUUUGAAACUUCGAAUUGUCGGGCCUCUACCUACUAGCUUGUUUGGAUGGUCAUUACUUAUCGUAUCGUUUCAUAUUGUUACUUUAAAUAUAAUAUUUAUUUUAAUUGUUACUUAAAUUUUAUUAUAUCGUAUUGUUAAAUUCGUCAUUACGUAACGAUAAAAUAUGCCACUUUAUAUAACGAUUGAUUUAGUAUGAUCAUAUUAUUUCCUUAUAUUUGUUUCUCAAUCUCACCCUUUAUUAUUAUUUAUCUUAUUUUUUUACAUAUCCUAUCAUAAUUUUUGUUUAUAAUAUUACAAAUUUAUAACAGAUGUGUGAUACCACGAAACACGUCAAAACGACACAAUCCAAACAAGCUGUAAAAUAGCUGAUAUUUCCGACAAUCCUCGAGGCAUCCGCUAAAAGAAGAACAGAACAUCCAUAGCUUUCGCAUUUUAUUGUCAUUUCUAAAGGGCAGAGUCUUUUCUAGAUCUGCCCCUCUUUCUCGCUCUCUCCUGAUUCGUUGUUCAUCACUGUAAGAUCUCUCUUCUCCAAUUCAUUGAUUUUCAUCACACACACACAUCGUUCGGUUGCUAACAAUUGAUAUGAUAAAGUUUGUUUAUUUGUGUAUCUAUUUUGUUGAUCGAGAAGUUUAUGGAAUUUAAGAUCUGGAUUUAGGCCGUUUGGAUCUGGGGUUUUAAUAAGGUUUUCAUCUUUAUUUGAUAUUCAUGUGCAUUCUUCGUAUUUCUAUUGAUUUGAUCUGGUUAUGCUUUCUGUAUUAUGUCAAUUUUUGGAUGUGGAUUUUUGUUCUUUUUUGUUAAUGGAUCUGGAUUUUGGUUAGUUAUGUCAAUGUUCAAGGAUUUGUUCUUUUUUGUUAAUGGAUCUGGUUUUUGGUUAGUUAUGUCAAUGUUCAAGGAUCAGAUUUACAUACACGGGUCCUUGAUUCAAUUGAUUAUUAAACUUAUUGAUAUGGAUCUCUAGAUAAAUAAAGGAACAUUGAAAUUUAAGAUGAUUUAAAAAAAAGGAUCCAAAAGUUGCUUUUUUUAUCACCAUAUUAUAUUUGGGAUUUCUGUUGGCUUGAAAGAAAUUUAAGAUGAUUUUCUUAAACAAAAAAAGAGGAACCAGAAGUUGCUUAUUUGAUCACCAUAUUGUAAUUGAGAUUUUUGUUGGCUUGAAAUCUUAGCUCUGGUUCUCAUUUUCCAAUGCUUGUGCUUUUUUGAAACCUGUCGAUACAAUAAAAUCCAUUGGUGUAAGUUUGACGGUGAAUUUAGAUGUGUGGUGAUCUGAGUUUUUAUUUUUGGUCCAACAGGCAUUGAGAAAAGAUGGGUUUAUCAUUUGGGAAGCUUUUUAGUCGGCUGUUUGCCAAGAAGGAGAUGCGUAUUCUGAUGGUCGGUCUUGAUGCAGCUGGUAAAACCACCAUAUUGUACAAGCUCAAGCUGGGAGAGAUUGUUACCACUAUCCCUACCAUUGGUAAGUUAUGUUUUUGUACUAUAUGAAUGAUCUAUAAUUGUUGUAUUGCUUGUGCAUUCCUACCAUUGGUAAGUUAUGCUGUACAUACAAUAUGAAUGGUCCUUAAUUAUUUUAUUGCUUGUGGGACUGAUCUUGUGCUUUGAUAACUAUUUUAUUACACCCUCCAUUUCAAAUUAGAUGAGGUACUUUCCUUUUUAGUCUGUUCCAAAAUAAAUGACAUAUUUCUAAAUUGGAAACAAUUCAACUUUAAACUUAACUACCUCAUCUAAAUUGAAACGGAGGGAGUAACAUUGUCUUUCUGUUUUUCUUUUUUUGAGUAAUUGCUUUCUGCUAUUAGAGUUUUUUGAAGUACACCUGUAAAAUAUCAAUGUGAACAAAAAUGCAUUCUUAAAGUUUCCCGAGUAGGUUUCGUCCUUCCAUUAUACACCUUAAAAGGAUUAAUGGAAUACUCACAUACAUGACAUGUGGCAUCCCAAUUUCCAUUCCCAAAACAUUCAUUGCUCGACCAUCUUACUAUAGAGUUUCCUUGCAAUAUAACCUUCACUGAAGAGUAAAUGCUUCCAAAUAUUGGACGAUAGGGGUGUUCAAAAUCGAACCGAAACUGAAAACCGAACCGAAAUCGAAGCUUAAUGUCUUAUUGAUAUCGGGUUAACAGUUUAACGGACGGGGAAUGGAUUUUGAAAUUAUUUCAUUAACGGCUUAUCAAUUUGGGG
rnacentral:lncRNA from 1 species